rnacentral:lncRNA from 1 species
CUGGUCCAUGCUACGAUGACUAUACUGUCUGCAAAGCCCAUUGCCCGUGAUUCAACACAAUUUCCAUGAAUAGUUUUCAUGUAAUAAGGAAGAGAUGAUAUGCAAUAAGUUUUCCUAUCAAUAUUUGCUUUUACAAUUGCUAAAGUGAAUAAGGAUAUGAUUUCCUAAAUUAUUAUGGUGCUUGUACUUAUCCCUAUCAACUGUUUUAUCAAGAAAUACAUUUUUUGUGCAAUGGAGACACAUCGCUGGCACUACAGUGCAGCAUAACAAAGGCUGGCCAGGAUGGUGGUCCAUGGACCACCCUAGAUUUUUUUCACUGGCUUACUUGGGUGUACUUGAGCACAAGAAAGCCCAGAAUAGGAUUGUUUUUUGCUAGAUAAAUAUUAAAUUUAUUUGCGUUAGCACAGAUAAAGAUGUGAUUUCUAAAUUAUUAUUGUCCUUGUACUUAUCUAUAUGGACUAUAUUUUUGUAGAAAUACUUUUUUUGUGCAAUGGAGACAUACCACUAGCACUUCAGUGCAUUGGCAUAACGAGGGGUGGCCAGAUGGUGGUCCAUGGACCACCCUGGGAUUUUUCCAUUGGCUCACUUGGGUGCAUUGGUGCGCUUCCUAAAAAAGUGAAAGCACAACUACGCUCGUUGGUUUUUGUUUUUCUCCUGAUUUUUAUUUUUAUUUUUGUUGUUUUAGGUUCUUAUUAUUUCCUAGUUUUUGGUUUUCUUCGGAUUUUGGUGUUUUUGGACUUGUUUCUUAUUUUUGGUUUUCCCCGGAAAAAAGUUCAUCCAAACCUAUUAAGAUGGAAUCUAGUUUUGAAGAUCUCGAUGCCAGAAACCCAAUGGUGGAAACGAUUCGUGAUUUGGAUGGAUGGUUCGAGAGAUAAAACUUUUUGUAAAAAAAUGAAUCUUUAAAAAAACUGAAAAACUCUUAGCUGUGACAAGUGCUACUUGUCACCACAGAGAAGGUGGGAGUGAUAUUUGCAAGGGAAACGAGGUUUCUCAGCAAGGGAGUGACGCUCAAGUGUCGUCAUCACUAGAUCCAACCAUCAAAGGCUAGAAUCAAAGUUUUCACCUUGAAAAAUAACUCUGAGCAAAUUCGAGCAAUGCCUUCAACAAGGUAGUGAAACAGAAAUAUCGCCAUUGUCAAGUCUAACCAACUUGGGUUAGCCCUAAGUUUUCACUCCGGAGCUCGAGACCGAGAACUGGAGAAGCACCAACAAAUCGAAGGCAAUCAUGUGUUAUCACCACCACUUUUCCAACAUUCCAAUAGCUACAAGCUUUGGUCUAAAAGUUCCACCGCCGCCGCUGCACAACCAUACUCUUUUGCGUUAAGUUGUUGUCGUAGAUUGCAUUUCAUGGCUGAAGGCAAAGUGGCCGGAGUGAGUGCCGCCAAAACUCACAAAGGAGCCUACUGACUUGCAAUGGUUUGAAGAUGUGACAUGUCAGCAUCCAUCAACUGCUUCAGAGAUGAAUGUUUUGAUCAACUACUUUCCUAAUAUCUUUUCUAGAAUCCACCUCCCAUAUGAAGCCAAGUUUUGAUGCAAAGUAGUCUGUCCUCAUGAUGUUCUCUCUCUCACCCUGCUAUUCUACUUCAUCAUCAGUAAAGAACAUAAGCAACGGGCAACCGCCAAUUAUUAAGCACUCAAGUGCUGCUGGAAGACAACAUAAUGUUUUCAGAGUUGACACAUUCUCGAGCUCCAGUUUAGUGCAAUGCCUAAAGAGCUCGGUAUUGAGUGGUAGGCCUUCUAAUGCACUACAUUUCACAAGCUUAAAAGAUUGCAAACUUUCAAAAUAUGAACCCUCAAGUAGCCAACUUGGAUACGCGGCACAAUUGUAACCCUCAAUUUCGAGGCACUGAAGUUGAGGCGGCGGCAUCAAACCUUCAAUAAUCUCCAACCGUAAACUAUCCUGCACACUCGUGUCAUUAUUCGAACUCCAGACAAGGCACAGGGUUCCGAAGUGAUUUUUCUGAUAUAGCUUAGAGUCUAGGGCCUCAUUCUUUCCACUGACAUUCUCCAGAUUUCUGACACUUAAACUGCCACCAUGCUCUUUCAUGUCACUGAGCUGUUGCAACCCAGACCCCUUCUGUUUUUGCACACAAAAUUCUUUAAGAUGUUGUAGCAAAGUUAGCUUGCCUAUAUAACGGAUUUGUGGCAGAGCUACUUCAUACAUCCUGUAUGACAUAUCACUGUACCCUUCAGGAUGCCGUAGCUUGCUUAAAUUACAGAGUUUGUCAGGCAAGCUCUUAACUUUUAUGGUUUAACUGAAGUACCUGUAGCUGACAAAGAGCACAUAAUGACCCAGGCAAUUCGGCAAUAGAAGUUUUGACAAGGUUCAAAUGCCGAAGAUGCUUCAGCACACCUAAAGAUUCAGGUAGCUUGCUACUAUUGUAAAAACACAAAUGGAGCACACGUACCUUCUUCGGAUAUUGCAGAACCUGAUGGAAAACAUCACUUAUAUCAUCUGUAAGUGGUUCAAUGCAGAUAAAGAUAAGGGUUGUACCGAAGUGGGGCUCCUAAACAAAAGGGUUGUUAGGAGUUGGGAGUUGGGACGGGGUGAGCUCACCAUGUUGAUGAGGACUAGCUAAAGAAUGGUUGAGAGGAUUCAGAAUAUACACUGUCACACUGUCUCGUACUGGAAAAGGUAAUCCCAUUUGCAGCAGUAUAGUAUCUUUCAGCUCAAACGUCCAUGUCUUGCGUGGCCUCAGAGCUAGUGUACACAAGACAGGACAGUCGAGGCGGCAUCUCGGUAUCUUGCCUGUCACUUCGUCCGCCUGCAGUUUUGUCUUUCAAAAUUGGAAACCGUGCUACCUCUAGCCGGCCACACUAAUCUCCACAAGUUUUCUUUUCUUCAGUCUCGCACCUUUCUUCAGUAGCAAAUAGCAGAGAACCAGCAGUUGGUUGCAUUCCCGCUAUCCACUCAGCUAAGCUAGAUGGCAGAUCCCUCUGGUGCUCGUGGCGGCGACAUGCCGGCUGAUCCAAUGGUUGAGGCCGUGGAAGAAGCUGUGGCUCCGGUUGAGCAGCACUUGAAGUGGACGAAAGAGGACGAGGAAUCGGAUGCUGCUUUAUCCGCUCCCCUCAUUAGCAGCCUCCAGCAAGUUGACUCAGCAGGGGAGACCAUUGAUUCUGCAGAAGUAGCACCAGCUCCGGUUGAGGAGGAGGAGUACUUGCAGGAAGCAGCGCAAGAGUUUAGGUCCUCUGAGAUCAUAGAUGUAGGUGACAUUUCUAGCUGUAGCCGCGAGCAUGUUGAUGAGGGAUCUGACUUUGCAGAAGGAGAACCGUCUCCGGCUCCGGUUAGGGGUGGUCAUUUGAUGGAAGAAGCAGAAGAGUUCAAGAUUGAUUUCGAUAAGAGAAAAGAGCAGAUGCAUGGGUUCCCUGCAAGCCUACGCAGUCUCGACAGCCAGUACAUCUAGCCGAGGGUCGUUGCCAUCGACCCUUACCACCACGGCAAACCUCACCUCCAGAGGAUGGAGAGGGUAAAGCACGUGGCUGCCAGCCAAUUCCUCCUCGAGUCAGGAGACCUCUCAGUUAGGGAGGUCUAUAACGCUGUCUACCUGGUAUCAGGCGAGGCCCGCCGCCGCUACGGUCAAGACUCUGUGGUGGCAGGUAUUGACGAUGCUGACUUUGUGCCUAUGAUGUUCUUUGAUGCCUGUUUCUUGCUGGAGUUUAUGCAUUUUAUUAGCGAUGAGCAGCUUCCGUUUGAUGAAGCGUUGUCAUACGUUUUCCGCUCCAACCAAGAACUUAUCAUUAGCGAUGUAAUGCUGCUGGAGAACCAGCUCCCCUGGCUGGUUCUGGAAAGCCUGAUGGGAUUUAGCUCUGUGCCCGUGCAAGAGAAGAUGAUAAUUUCAAGAAUGGGGAAAGGUCUCACAAAACGUAGGCAUCAUAUUCAAACCGGACCAGAAGAAAUCCUUUCAAACUUGUAUGAAGAUGAAGAAGAGUACAAGCCGCCACAUCUCCUUGGUCUCCUUCGAUUCUACAAAGCAAGCAACAAGAUGGCCACCAAAGCCAGCAAGAAAGCCAACAAGAAUGAUGUAUUUUCAACACUGAACCGUUUGAAAGCCCGGCUAAUUGGUGCGCAUAAAGAAAUGGAUGUACCAUCAUACAAUAACAUGUCCAUGGAAACACUUAGUCAAUUGUCAAUAUCUCCAGGAGCCACCGAGCUUGCAGAAAUUGGCAUCAAGGUGAAAGCCAUCAAGACGGGAAGUCCCACAGAAAUGGACAUCAGGAAAGGACCCCUCUUUGGCGAUCUUUCCUUCACGCCACUGGCGCUAAACGUAUCAAACGCAUGUUUGCUUGCAAACAUGGCGGCUUUUGAGGUAUGCACGGCAUCAUGGGAUCUAUGUGAUGUUCAAGAGACGGCCGUCUUCUUGUACCUCGCUCUCCUUGGCAUGCUCAUGGACCAGAAAGAGGAUGUGCGCGACCUACGAAGGAAGCAUCUUGUGCAAGGAGAACUCACGAACCAAGAGGUGUUUGACUUUUUCAAGAGCCUUACCAGGCACCUGCCGGUGGGCCUCUCCUUUCUCCUCGUCUUAACGAGCAUUGAGAAGUACCAGGCCAACAGGAGGAUCUGGGUCAAGGCGCACAAGUUCAUCUACAACAACUUCAAAACCAUUUCCGCGGUCCUCUCCGUGGUUGGUGUUCUGGUGGGCAUCUUCAAGACGCUCCUCUCUCUCAAGCAACACCAGUAAAGUCAGACCAUGUUUGCCAUAUUUUCAGUUAUGAACCUUCUGUAAAUCUCUUUUUUAAACAAUAUAUGCAUGUUUGUUGGUCUCAUUUCUGCUACUUAAUUCGUUUCUACUGCCUAAUUCAGUGAAGACUUUGAAAUCUCUUCUUUACCAUGAAGGCUGUCUGGCAGAUAGUUUUUAGAUUGGUACCUUCUGUAACACUUGUACAGUAUGAGUUGCUGGUUGUUCUGUUUUGGGGCCUUCUUCUUUCUCUGUAGUUUGUACCAUCAGUAUGAUAAAAUCUUCUGGUCCGUCAAGUAGCAAUGCCACUGACAAAUAUCAAGCUGAUGAUCUGCCCAAGGGGCACCAGUGCCCAUCAGCAUUGGUCAAUGGCAUCACAAGGGAAGCGACACAACAGGGGAAGAAAUUUUCCGACUUAGAAUCAUGUUUCUGGAUGCGCCAAUCCGUCUCUGCUUCACAUUGCUCUAUUUGCUUUUCUAUGUGUGCCAAUUCUUUUUCCUGUUGAUUACCGGUGCCAUGCAUGUUUGUUGGCGUCGUUUCUGCUACUUAACUCCCUCCCCGUUGCUGAAUCCAAUAAAGACUACGCAAUGUCUGAUGUAACAUUGAGGCUUACUACUGCUAGAGUUUUCAGUUUUGUACCUUUUGUAACACUUGUACACCAUGAGUUUCUGGGUGCUCUGUUUUUCAUGGCUUCUUCUUUUUCCAUAGUCUGUACCAUGAAUACUGAAGCAACAUUCUUCUUGCGGAAUCAGAUAUGUAAUUUGCAGGGGACGGAGCAGUUUUUUUUUUUUGAUAAACAGAAAGCAGUUUUGUUCAUUGGUCUUGAUCUAGAAUUCCUGAUAAUACUUUGAAUCAAGUUCACAUCAUAUAUUAAUGUCUUCACUUCUGUUAUUGUUUCUCAUGCUGAACUGUGAGCAACCUUCAUGCUGAACUCUGAGCAACCUAAGGUAAUUAACAACUGUUUGCUUCCCGCAAAAGGGAAAAGAAACAACUGUUUGCGGCAAUUAUGUCUGAGGAAAAGCAUUCUUCUGAGAAAAAAAAUACACGUGCUCAAUUUAGUACUCGCUUUCCUAAAUUUAUCUUGGUAAAAUAGUAUGGCCUUCAACUACUAAACCACAGCUUUAAGCAUCCAUGACAAUUUCCAAGGUACAAUGUUCUGAAUAUUCCGGUGUCAAGUCAAAUCAGUAGAUCUGUGACAAGUACUACAACCUAGACAGUCGCCUCUGUUCUUCGCUAGGCAUGUACACACAUAAUCAAAUAUAUAAGUUUUAGAGUGGUUGGGCUUUUUUAGAACCGUUCGUUGAUGUCGAUCUAACGGCAGACAAAUACGAAGUACUGGGUAGUACUCCGAUGAAAGUACGCGAAAGUACUAAAACGAGUGGGGCCAGUACUCGUGACAAGGUGGGGAUGCGUUUUAAUCUAGGGGCAGUUUAGUCCUAGGAAAAUUUGCACGCGCCGCCCCUCUCGUCGAAUGCAUAACCGCCGCCAUGGUGAUUCACAUUCCACAAUUACUCAUCGGCGGCCAUCUCCUCCCUCUCCUCCAAGUCCACCUCAGUCAUCUCCUCCUUCUUGCCGCUGCAACUUCGCUCCACUCAGGCAACUCCCCACCCACCCCCACCCCCUCUUACACGGCAGAUCGAGCUGAUGGCCGGCGACGAGAACACCGACUUCGUGCAGAUCGCCGGCGGCGACCAGGUCAAGUUGGCCAGGUUGAGGGAGAUCCGUUCUUGGUUUGACAACACAAGGUAGAUGAACUGGACGGCAAUGGCCACUCUCAAGAAUAUGACGAAGAAGGAGAGGGCAAAGCUUUGCCCCCCGCCCGCACAACUGAUUGACAAGAUCGAGAUCCUCCUCUGGGCAAUGGAGCAGGCCAAUUCGUCCAGCGAGUGGACCAGGCGGAGGUGGUGGGCGUUCAGAUCCAGGGUAGAGCAUCCACUGGAUCAGGAACCCACCGUGCACGAGGUGCCGUUGCAGAUUGUGCAACCUCCAACCGAGUCACCGGAGACUCCGAAGCGCAAGAUGAGGAGGACAGUGGUCGCGACCUCGCUUCCCCGCCGUUCUCCACGCUUCCCUUGCCGCUCUCCUCGUCUGAACGGCGGCGGUAGCUAUGUUUAGAGUAUGCUUCCCCACUCCUCAUCUUCCUACUGCUCGUGCUUACAUCGUGGUGAUACUGAUCGUAAUAGCUCAGAGAGGGAAUGCUAGAUGGCAUUUUAAUCUCAAUGAAUUGCAUGAAUAUUUGAGUACAUGGAUUUGGAGGAUGGAUUAUGAUGUAUGUGAACACUAGGCAUCAUAUGAACCCUAGGAAAAAUUAGUAAUGUUCUAGUGGUAGACACUGAAAUAUUUCGGUACACACCGGUAGGCACUGAAAUAUUUCGGAACUGCCCUAGGCAAAAUUUGUAAUGUUGUAGUGGUGGACACUGAAAUAUUUCGGUACACACCGGUAGGCACUGAAAUAUUUCGGUACUGCCCUAGGCAAAAUUUGUAAUGUUGUAGUGGUAGACACUGAAAUAUUUCGGUACACACCGGUAGGCACUGAAAUAUUUCGUUACUACAAUUUCAGUACACAUCGAUGCACAAUGAAUUAUUUCAGUACUGCAGUUUCAGUACACACUGAAAUAUUUCAGUACUGCAAAUUCUAUACAAAGUUGGCAUUUUGUCAUUUAUGUGUGAAUCAAUCCAUGCAUCAUAUGGCAUAACUUUGUACAUGAGUUUGGGUCAAUUUCAUGUCUAUUUAUUGUUAAAAUUAUUGUCAUGCCAUGAAACACAAGACAAGUCACUGACCCAAGCUUGCAAAGAUGACAUAUCAAUGUUGCUGAUAUGCACGUUUUCACCAAGUCUUGUGUCUGAAUUAAAACUAAGCAUUUUUUCUUGAUGGUAUCCAUGGAUCUAGAACUCCUAUGAAUUUGCUCAUGUUGGAUGUUUUAUUCUCCAUCAUUUGUACUAGCAUUCUGUGCGAUUAGAUGCCAUGACAAGACCCCUGGCAUAUUUAUUUUCUUGCCUCCAACAUCACAUGUGUGUUUUGCAGGAAAGAACCUGGAGUUCACCAGGCUGGCUGAAGUUGUGAGGCUGGGAGGCUGAUGGUGCUGCUACUGGCUGAUCCUUCUUCUUUCAGUUUUUGUUCGUCAUUUAUCAAGCCGUUGGACCAGGGCUACUUCCCUAUGUGCUGUUAAUGUAUUAAGUAGUUCCUUCGAAUUUGUAGUACUAGUUAGUUUGAAUGUGGAAGUACCUUAAUUUUUGGAACGAAAUGUUGCUAUGUAGGACCAAGGGUUUCAUACCUUAAUCUUUGGAUAAUUAAUUAUGUGAACUGUUAGAUGUGGUGCACAACGAAACGCCUCUACCAUUGAUACUAUAGUUCAACAUGUCGGUCCAAUUAGAGACCAGCCACUACCAUAUAGAACAGUUAGCAUUUCAUACUACAACCUGGCACGUACAAAACAUCACACAGUGGAAGCACAUCCCUAAGCACCUUGCAUUGUACAAGGUCUAAGAGACCAGCCUCUACCAUAUAUAACAGUUACCAUGUCACACUACAGCAUAUAAAACAUCACAUUGUGGAAUAAUCAUAGCUAGUAGAGCAUUAGGUACCAGUUAAUAAUAGUUGCAAUCCAUCACAAGCAAUAGUACCUAGAUAUGAGUAGAUAUAGGUACGGUAAUACACGACAAGUACUCGCAAACAAGAGCUGACAUAACAAGUUCAUUUCACAUUGAUACAUGGCCCACCCCAGUUCUAAAUGAGGUGGAUGGUGAUCAUCAUCCUCAAGUCAUGGCGACGGGUGUUCGCAACGGUGAGUAGGAUGGCCUGUCCUACCCGAAGAUUCUUGGCACGAAGGAACUUCUUCCACCCUGCCAUGCUCAAGACAGUCCGACCGUUCGUGUCCACUACAUAGGCACAGCUGGUGAUGGAGCCGUUCUGGUAAGGCGUAGUCCAGCAGCCAUGCCUUCUUCGCCCGGGUCGAUGCCACAGCUAUCAAGUAACCUCUUAGGUAAUUUCUGAAAACAGUUGACAUGAUAUAUGAUCAUGUCACGUGCAAUUAUCAACAAAGCAUACACUUCAAGACACAUAUAUCAUUGGAUUCAACACUGAGCAUAUAUAUCAUCACAUGACUACACUAUACGCCAAGCAUCAAAUUACUACAGUAAUUAGGCAUAUCAUUAGAUUACUUCCUACACUAAGCAUAUCAUCGCAUAUUACUACACUACAUGCAUGUCAUAAAAUUCUUCACUAAAUGAAUUCUAAACUUGGCCUCUCAUCACAGUACUACAACAUGCAUAUCAUAUGAAGUACUACACUAACUAAGCAUGCAUAUCAUGUAAUUACCACACUAAGUAACAUACCAUGAUAUGUCGUUUAACAUUCGUCCUUGUGAGGCGGGUCACGAAUGGCUUCCCUAGGUAGUCUUCACGUAGCGGAAGCAUGUCCCAGAGGUUGCCGAUUUCCUCGUCGCCCAGGCUGAGUCCUUGGGCAUACAGGUAUUCAACAAGUGGGUUCUCAUCAUCAUCUGAAUCAGCACCAUCUUCGUCCUCGUGAACUUCAUCCUCACUAUCCGGAAUGAAAUUUAGAUAGAUAACAGAAAUCCUGGGCCUAUCUCUUCUGAAGGAGAAGCUGAUCAAUUCACCCCCAGUAAGACGCAUGCGGGCGAUGAAACGAUCCCAAUCAUCUCCUCCUAUCUGGGUUAUCUUUCGCCCCUUCUCGACCUGCAUAGUGUAUGGGCCCCCAAGAGCGUCAAAGGUCACUGUGUCUGCGACGAGCUCAUUGAAUGCCAAUCUCACAUUGCAUGGUACGAUCUGUGUAAGAUAAAAACAAAUAGCAGACACAAUACAUUAGUGCAAAUAGCAAAAAAAACAAAAAGAAUGUACUGUCAGAAGGUUCAUAUAAAUUAUUACCACUGCAACAACAAAAGAAGGCUGGAAGUAGAUGCCGAACAACGUGGCAGUAGAAAGGCUGGUCCGGCACCGUGAGUUGCAGCGUCCACAUUGUGCUUCCUCCAUUCUACACAGAACAUGUUGAACUCUAAGUUGAAUUGUACAUAGUACAAUACAAAGAUCAUACAUAUAAUAAAUCAUAGUGAUAACCUAUACUGGCAAUGGCCAAUCAAUCUAUUUUCUAUCAUCUAUGUAAUAAAGCAAUGGCAAUGACAAUGGCAAUGCCCGGUUCAUCUAAACCUGGGAAUAGUUGGGCAUCGAAACUUAAACCAGUCCAAUCCACGGCACACAUCAAAACCAAACCAAUCCAGAUAUUUUCAUUUAGAAUCUAGACCAAACCGAACUAUACAUGCGCGUCAUCCAACCCAGUCCAAACCGUUUUCAACUUCCAAAGGUUCAAACCGUGGACAAAGCCAUAUGCGAGGGCACGUCAUGAAUCUAGAUCAGACAUGGCGUCAAAGCUCGAGAGAGCCGACGAGCCCCGGCCGGCAACUGCGGCUCUUGGAUUUGAAGCAGUACUAGGUGGUAGUGGCGGCUCAAACUAAUUGAUUGAUUUGGUCUCAAACCAUAUAAACCAAAUCAAGAUCCAAUCCAAAAACUAAGUUUCAGUCCGUAGGGAGACGCGUUUGAGGAAGGGAAGAAGAGUGGAGAUCUGACGUACUUGCCGUAGUUGGCGGCGGCCGCGCACCGGCAGCGAAGAGAGGGGUCGUCGGCAGAGGCGGCGGCGCUGGUCGAGAAGGGGAGAAAGAAAGAUGUGGAGUGGUCGAGACAGGGAGAAAGAAAAAUGUGGUACAUGUGGUGGCUCGGUUGUGUGGAUGACAAGGGGACCCACUUGUGAGACCGAUAGCAAUUGAUGGCAAACCGUAGGAGGUGCACGACCGCGUGCACGACCGCCACGUCCCCACGUGGAAUCGGGACGGCCGGGUGGGUGUGUCAAGUCAAAUCGGCACCCGCGGCUUCUCGGUAACUCCAAGAGGCAGGAGCAGUGCCUUUCUUCCCCAAAUCGGGUAGAAAACCCUCAUCCUCUCCCGAACCAUACCACCCUCUCUUCCUUCCUCACCACCUCACCACCCUCUCCUCCUUCGUCACCACCCUCCUCCCUUCCUACGCCUCCCUCCUCCUGUCUUCGACCGACGAUGAAGCGCGGGCGUGAAGAUGCGGCGGAUGAGCCGGAGGCAACCAUCGGAGCAGAGCAGUCUGCUGCCAUGGCUGCAGCCGUGGGUGGAGCGGCUGAGUCCGCCGUAGCGGCGGAAGCUGGCGGUGCAGCGACCGUUGUGCCUGCUCCCGCUGCCAUCGCAGCCGUCGAGGCACCCGUCGGCGAGCACAAGGUCGGGGAAGAUCUGGAGGAGGAGGAGAUGAGAAGGCGUAAGCGCAAGGUGUAUGACAAAAUCGAAGAGCUCAUGGAGGAGAACGCCAUAAAGGAGUUCGACCUAGAUAGCAGGAAGGGCAGCGACUUCGACGAGGAUGCCAUCGACGAGCUAUCUGAGGUAGUACUCUGUUUUUUGCUCAGUUUUUUUCAUGACAUUGGGGUUUUUCUUGUUAACUAGAUGAGCAUCAAUUUCACUUGGGCGUUCUAGUUGUACGUAUGUAGGAUUGUAGGGAUCUAGCAUAGAUCUUCAUGUUGGAUGUGGAUUUUAAAUCUGAUUCACAUUCUGAUUCCAGCAUAUACUCUGGGUUUUUUUCAUGGCAUUGGGGUUAGUCUUGUUAACUAGAUGAGCAUAAGUUUCAUAAGGGAUACAUUAAUGAAAGAAGUGGGGUAAUGAACCCAAAUACAAGAAAAUGUUCAUGGCAGGGAUACAUUAAUGAAAAAAGUGGGUUAAACAAUGGAUAUAUGACAGGAUUCUCCAUUGGCUUCCCCAGGAUAGUGACUAAAUUCUGCAGGUCCUGAUUCAUUAUAGUUUAUGUCCAUGAAUUAAUUUGCACACAUGUUCAUAGAUGAUUAGUUUGCACACAUGUUCAUAGAUGAUCCAUUUGCAAAUUCUAUACAGAUUUCCAUUUUGCAAAGGAAGUGAUCGCUCCCUUAAUAAUUAUGGGCUGACAUUACAUAUCCACUGGAUACCGAAAAAUCAAAACAUCUCAUCUACCCAAUUUUCCACAGUAUUUUAUUUAGAUGAUCACAGCCACAUCUCUCAUCAAUAUGAGCAGUGAGACACCCCAUAGCUCCUUUACCAAUUUCCUUCUGAAAGUUAUCAGGGUCUAACAAUGUUGGAGAAGCAGUAUUGCCGCUGUCAGAAAGAAUAAUUGUUUCUUCAUUCCAGUAGAUAGAACAAACCCCCCUUGUGCGAAACAUGGAGGAGUACAAUGAAGCCAUUUUUCUGAUUCCAAUAAGAAUUACACCUGUAACAAGUAUCAAAUAUCAUUAAACCAAGCCACUUCAUCUAUAAAUGCAACUACUUGGGUUUAGGGUUAUCAGGGGUUAGGGUUAUCAGGGUUUAGGGUUGAGUGUUUACAUGCAAUCCCGGAAAUGCGUGUGUCAGAGAACGUACUUGCAUGUAUAUGUAGUAAUGAUCCCAAACUUUCUUAAUGGCAUCCCAUGACCACAUAGAGAAUGAAUGCAUAAUGGUUUCCAUGUUGGGCAAAAUUUUGAAUGUUUAUACGGUUUAGUGGGGGGGAGGGGUUUAGGGUUAUCAGGGUUUAGGGUUUAAGGGUUUUAGGGUUGACGGAACUAUGUUUGUCUUACGGUGGACGUAGCACACACACCGGACAUUGAUGGAGCGUUGGUCUACAAUGGAUUCCCUCCGGUACCAUCGAUCCGGUCCGUUGACUGGCUCGGCCGACAAACUUCGUGCCACAUAAAGCAUGCAUCCAUCCACUGGACCGGAUCGAUGUUUGGUUGGUUUCAUACAGGUGAGGAACCCAGGUAGUGCUUUCGGGGUGUUGACAUGCUAGGCCGGAAAUGCGCGUGUCAGAGAUCGUACUUGCGUGUAUAAUCCCGAAAAUCUUUCAUGGCAUCCCAUGAGACCACAUAGAGAAUGCAUGCAUAAUGGUUUCCAUGUGGGGCAAAAAUUUGAAUGUUUUUACGGCUUAGUGGGAGGGGGGGUUUAGGGUUAUCAGGGUUUAAGGGUUUUAGGGUUGACGGAACUAUGUUUGUCUUACGGUGGACGUAGCACACACACCGGACAUCGAUGGAGCGUUGCUCUACAAUGGAUUCCCUCCGGUACCAUCGAUCCGGUCCGUUGACUGGCUCGGCCAACAAACUUCGUGCCACAUAGAGCAUGCAUCCAUCCACUAGACCGGAUUGAUGUUUGGUUGGUUUCAUACAGGUGAGGAACCCAGCUAGUGCUUUCGGGGUGUUGACAUGCUAUGCCGAAAAUGCGCGUGUCAGAGAUCGUACUUGUGUGUAUAAUCCCAAAAAUCUUUCAUGGCAUCCCAUGACCACAUAGAGAAUGCAUGCAUAAUGGUUUCCAUGUGGGGCAAAAAUUUGAAUGUUUUUAUGGUUUAGUGGGAGGGGGGUUUAUGGUUAUCAGGGUUUAGUGUUUAAGGGUUUUAGGGUUGACGGAACUAUGUUUGUCUUACGGUGGACGUAGCACACACACCGUACAUUGAUGGAGCGUUGGUCUACAAUGGAGUCCCUCCUGUAGCAUCGAUCUGGUCCGUCGACUGGCUCGGCCGACAAACUUCGUGCCACAUAGAGCAUGCAUGCAUCCACUGAACCAGAUGAAAUGCGCGUGUCAGAGAUCGUACUUGCGUGUACAUGUACCAUCCGUUCCAUCCACUGGCUGGGCCGACAACCUUCGUGCCACAUUGUUCACAUUGUCCAAUUAACACUUUGUAUAGAUUUUUUUGGUAAAAAAUGAAAGAAAUAAUGCAACUAAUCUGAACGUAACGUUUGGCAUGUAUCAAACCAAGUUGCUACUAUUCCUCAAAAAAACCCAGUUAGCCACUAAUUGCGCCAAACAUAUCUCGUAAUUACCAACGAAAAUGGGUUGACAAUUAUAUCUGGAAAUUUUUGGACUGAAUUUAUUGCUCUUCCUUUUUUAGAGAACAAUAAGUUAGAAUGGUGGGCGGCGGGUUGGCACGGGCACGGCGAUGGCUCGGGCUUGUGUGAUAUGUGGUUCGACCCGCGGUCAGUGCACAUGUUUUGGAAGCCCCAAAAAGAUCGCGCUCUUAAAAAAACUUGCAUCGAAGCGCAUUACUUCAAAAUAACUAAUUAACCCUACAAUCACGGAUAUAUACCUUCCCAUUCUACCGAAUAUCUACCCUAUCCUAACCACCCCCAUCUACCUUGUUUCUCCUCACAUAGCCAUCGCCGGGAUCGCGCCAUCGCUUCUCAAGCGACCACGCCGACGCCGGAUUAAAAAGGUCUCUUCCACGGCUUCUCUCAUCUUCGAUUGCAGUGCUGAUUAUUUUUUCCAUUGAUUCGACCAACAAGUAAUUUCCGAAGAGAUUAGAAAAUCCAGCUUUUGCCAUAGUUGAGUAGUUCUGGUGUGAUUCGAGUACAGGAUGUCAUGCAAGAGCUUUUUGAUUGAUAGUUUGUACUAGUUGAUCGUACGAACUAAUUAUGAAUAUUUUUUCACGGUCGUAUUGUUUCGAAUUAGGUGGAUGAGGGUGUGGAUACAGUUUUCAUACUAUGGGUAUAUGUGUUGCUGUAGGGACCAUGGUCUCAGAGGCGUAUAACAACCGUGCGGAGUACGACAAGUCUUUGCAUGAAGCGCGUCGGGAGAUCGACUUGAAGGUGCAAAAGGAUCGCGCUGAGGUAGAUAAGAAACUGAAAAAAGAACAUUCAUACGUGGACAGGAUGAUAAAGGAGGAGCGUCAGGAGUUUUCCCUUAAGAUGGCGAAGAUGCGUCUUGAGAUUGAAGAAAAGUAUAAGAGGGACUGUGAGUACAUGGAAAAAAAGUUUUUCUUAGGCUACAAGGAAAUGCAUCAAACGUUGCAGAAGGACCGGAAGCUUGUGGACAAUAUUAUACAGACAGAGCGAGUCAAGAUGGAUGCCUAUGUGUUGCAGGCACGUGCGGAUAUGGACAGUAAGCUGCUACAGGAGCGGUCGGACAUGGAUUAUAAGGCCAUGCUGGAGAAGGUCCGCUUGGAAGGACAUAUGUUAGAAGACCGUGCGAUCUCACGGCCACCCCGACAACAUGUCUUCAAUUAUUCUCCCCCUGUAAGUAUCUCGCACCGAUUCUAUAUAUUAAGGACCUACGUAUUCUAUGAUACAAACAUCUUCAAUUUGUGGCAACCUUAUGUCGGCGAUUGUAUGUAGGCUAAGCAUCAUGAGAUGGCACAGUCGCCAUUCACUCGAGAUAUUGCGAUAGAGUCACCCGUUCAAUGCCACAUCAGUCCACCCCAACAACAUAUCGUCAAUUGUCCCCUUGUAAGUACCUCGCAACGAUGCAUACCCAAGAUAUGGUAUGACCUUUCAAAACUUGUGUGUAAACCCACUAUCGACAUUUCAUACGCAGGAUAAGAAACCUAUGAUGGCAGAGUCCCUAGUCACACCACAUGAAGGAUACAUUCAACAUAAUAAGGUGAGAAGGUUUGGGAUGGCACAAUCCCAAGUCACUCCACAUGAAGGAUACAUUCCACAAAAGCAGGUAACAACGCCGCAAUGUUGCUAUGCACAUAAAAGUUAUGUUUGGCCCUUUACUCAUUGAAUGUAUUAACUCUGAUGUGAGAUACUAGGUGCUGGUCAUGGAAUUUUUUGUUAGUAGGGAUGAUGAGAUGUCACAUGUCCCGAGAGCAUACUUUGAUGAACACCCGGCAGAAGUCAGAAUUUUUGAACCCGCCAAAGUGACCUACGAUCUCAUUAUGAGUGAAAUGAGAGAUAGUUUUGGUUGCAAACUGGGAGCAGAACUGUACUACUUCUUACCCGGGUCUGCGUGCAAGCUGCCAGAAGGAAUGUUCUUGAUUGCAGGACCAGAUGAUGUACAAAAAAUGUUUUUUGAUCUGAAUGGCAGCAAGACAUGUCACCUGUACAUUGUGUACAAUAGAACUACGGGUUGUUUUCCCGAGGAUGACAUUGAUUCCGAGGUUCAAAUUUUACAUGUUGCAUGCAUCUAGUUUAUGGCAACGUCUUUUUUGAGUUCUUCCUAAUACAAUUCCUAUGGUUUUCUACAGGAAGUGAGAAUCCAAGAAAUGGAGGGUCUUGCUAGAGAGUUGGCAGAGAAAGACCAUGAACAACUUAAGUUGUAUGGUUACAUUGAUGUUAAAGAGAAAAAUAUUGAAGCACAUGGGUCGUCGCCAAGCCCGACGCAAUCUCCAACGACGCAACGCAAGAGGUCACUGGAUUUUGGCAGUGCAGAAGACAAUAUGGAGUAGGCUCAAUUGUUUUUCAACCAGUUUAAGCUUCAAACCAGGAUUAUUUAGUUGCAAACAAACCUUUUGUUUUCUGUUUCACACUAUGUUCGCAAUUAUGGUACAAUUUAUUCAUGAUACAGUUCUUUGAACAACAAUGCAUGUGUUUUAUGAUCAAUCAUACAGUUGUUUCUGAGUUGUUUUUGAGAUGGCAUUGUGUCUAAAGAAGUUUCCAUCUAUAGAACUUGGCACACAGUCGCAUCGGAAUCGCGUAUCACGCGAGAGGCGUGCGUCGCACGGGAGAGCGUCGCACACGAGCUUGUUUUCGGGUAGAAAUCAUAACAUAUUUCGGAUAGAUAAAGUUCACGUCCGCCACCCGCGCAUGCAAACCCACGUCGCCGCCAUUCCCAUGCAUGCAUGCCUCAGGCGCAGACAACGAGACGGCCCAUCCGAAGUAGGCCCAUCCGAAUUAGGCCCAUCCGAAGUAGGCCAUUAGAACCCUCCCCCCACUCCACCUAUUCCCCUCGCGCUGUGGCCUCCCUCCCUCCAUCGCCAGAUCCCCCACUCGUCCCCCUCUGUCCGCCACCCCUGCACGCCGUUGGCGACUCCACCCCCACCGCACCCGCGCCCCCCCAACGGGAUCGGCCGGAUCCAUCUCCUCAACCACCGUAGGACAGCGCAGGUACCCCAGUUUCUGUUGACGUCUCAAUGGUAUCCAUGCUGAUAAUGCUAGGUAGAUCGACUGAGUGUAGCAAUUUUGUGCCACCAAUCCACUUUUCUGGAAAAUUCUUGCUAGAAAACUAUCUGAAACUUGUGAUGCUUGCUACUGUAUAAUAUAGGACUUUUCAAAGUUCUGUUAUGAUUGCACUAUUGGACACAUACAGUAGAUCUGCGUUUUUAGUUGUUAUACUUUAAGUUACCAUUAGUGCUUGGGAAAGGACGAAUUGGAUGCAUUCAGGUCUACAGUUGAUAGUGUAUCAUCAUAAUGUAGGUGCUGUGUUGUGUGAUUCUUCAUGCUGAGAACUUCAGCUUUUUCAGUUAUAGUGAAAGGCUUCUGUAUAAAAAACUACUAAAUGAUCACAAAAACUUCUAGACAACAUUCUGUACGAUCUGACCAAAUCUUGAACUAAAUGAUCACCAAAAGUUGAAGGAUUUUGCAUCACAUCACAACCAUAAGUGUUCUGCACCACCAUCAUAACAAUCACAUAACUACAUAACAAAAGCAAACUUGUUCAUCAUUACAAAAGCAAACUUUUUCAACAUAACAAAAGCUAACUUGUUCAGCAUUACAAAAGCAAACUUGUUCAACCACAUAACUGCAAACUGAGACACAUAAUACCACAAACAACUCAAUAUCCCCAGUAGUAGGGGUCAUCCCAAUGAGCCUCCGCCUCUUGCCAGUACUCCAAACCUUCUUUGAUGAUUUCAAUUUUCUUCCAUGCCUCGUAGGUGACGUACGCAUCUUUCUCUGCGUACUCGAUGAGGUUGUUUGGCAGUGGGUUGUCCCCCUAUAGUUUGUGGUCGAAUUCCUUGUUAAUCUUCUUCUUAAUUUCCUUGUAUAAUGGGUGGAUGAGGCUGGCUGCAAACUCAGCCAAAGCCUGCCACUUCUUUCCAUUUUUUGGAACUCUCCAUUUGCGCUGCAUGUCGACGUACUUGUCGGGGUUGAUCUCCAAACCAGACAAUUUCAGCUUCUCCUUGUCACCUCCAAUGGAGAAGCCAACAAAGGUGUACAGCUUCUUCUCCUGCAGGAGCAGGCGGAGUUCCUUGGGCCUGCAUCAAAUUAAUCUGGUGCAUCAAAUUCAUCUACUUCAAAAACUUCAGAAACUACUAAUUAGACAUAAAAUUCAGAACUAGUAUUGCAUCUACUCCAGAACUUCAGAACUAGUAUUGCAUCUACUUCAGAACUUCAGAACUAUUGCAUCUACUUGAGAAACUUCAGAAACUUCAGAACUAUUGCAUCUACUUGAGAAACUUCAGAAACUACUAAUUAGACAUAAACUUCAGAACUUCAGAACUAGUAUUGCAUCUACUUCAGAACUUCAGAACUAUUGCAUCUACUUCAGAAACUUCAGAAACUACAGAAACUACUAAUUAAACAGAAACUUUAGAACUUCAGAACUAGUAUUGCAUCUACUUCAGAACUACAGAACUAUUGCGUCUACUUCAGAAACUUCAGAAACUACUAAUUAGACAGAAACGUCAGAACUUCAGAAACUUUAGAACUGGAUGUUUUUACCAUUUGGUUGCCGCGGUGAUGUGGUAUGCCAGGACGAGAUCCUCCACGCAUAACUGUAGAACUGCAGCCUUUUGUGGAGGUUCAUCUUCCCUCGUAUACUCGACAUCAACGGCGAUCGACCGAGAAAGCAUGCCGCCGAGCCUCCUCCUGAUCUCGCAGAUCCUCUUGUCGGCUUCGUCUGGAUUGCUGGUGCAUACGACAUCCAGCUUCUCCUUCUUCAGAUGGAUAUCAACCAUGAGCGGCACGGUGUAGUCCUGCUUCUGCCCGAGGACCAGAACGUUGUCGUCGACCACCAGCGGCUCCUUGCCAGACGCCUCACCUUGGUGAUGCUUGGCAGACGGAGGGGAGUUGCUCCAUGAUGCCUCCGCCAUUCUCUUGGCAGACGGAGGGGAGUUGCUCCACGAUUCCUCCGCCAUUGCCCUCCUGGCCAGCGAUGGUGGAGGCAGAGGGGAGUUGCUUGACGGUGGAGGCAGAGGGAGGAAGAUGGAGCGGCAAUGGAAUGAGGGAGGCAGAGGGAGGCAGAUUGAGCGGCAAUGGAAUAGGAGGGGAGUUCCCUGCGUCGUGGGGAGUUGCCAGUGGAGGGGAGUCGUGGGGAGUUGCCAGUGGAAGGGAGGCAUGGGGAGUUGCCUCGAAAACUCAAACGUCCUGCCCUUUGGCCCUCGAAAAAUCUGGAGGGGAGACGUGGGCCCUUUGGUUUGUCCUGUUUCUGAAACAAAAAUAAAAUAACAGCCAUAUUUUGCUCUCACUGCAACCAUAUUAAGAGAUCAAAAAUGGCACCAAAAAGUCACUGCAGCCAUCCUAAAUGCCACGAAAACAGCACCAAAACAACAUCAGCCAAAACAGCAAAAAAUGCAUCCAUCGAUCGUUCUUUAUUUCUUCUAACAUUCCGUGUUCUGUGCAGUGAGAUAGACACAACGCUACAAAUGCAGGCUGACAACGCCCGCGAUUUCAUGACCAUCAGGACAGACGGCGGCUUCAUCCACGCUCCGGUCCCAUGAGUCGAGUCGAAAGUAGUGAUGCUAUGUGUAGUUCUGAAACAUUGAUUGGCUCAUGUUGUAAUUAAACUUUAAUGAAUUGUAUGUCUCUUUGGUUUGGACAGUCGUUAAACUUAGAUGUAAUCGAUGCUAUUUAUUACUAGGACCAUGAAUUGUGCUAUUAAUGUCUUGCUUUUCUCUUCCGAUCCUUUUGUUGCAUACUUAUUUAUUGCUUAUGUAUUGUCUGUUGUUUGGCUUGUGCAUAGAGAUGACGUCGUAUGUCGUGUACAAGGGUAAGGUUCCCGGAGUCUACGACGACUGGGAGGAGUGUCGGAGACAGGUUCACCAUUUCAGCGGUAACAGUUACAAAGGGUACACCACUAGGGCGGAGGCGGAAUCUAGAUACACUCGCUAUCUAGCGGGAGAGAGGAGGGAGCGUUGGAGGAACCGGAUGAAGACCAGUUUCAUCGCGAUGAUGCUCAUCGUGAUGACCGCAACUCUCUUCUAUGUGAUGGUAGUUUAGAUGAUCGAUAUCGACUUGUAAUAUGAACACAAACUCGCUACUCGCGGUCUCGAGGCUUGUAAUGUUCUAUCUUUGUUCGGUCUUUUGAAUUCGGAGACUAAUAUGAUGAAUUGUAUUCGGAGAGCUAUCUUAUAUUGUAUUGGAUGAAUGUGCUGUUGCUGUGUGGUGCUGUCUAUAUUCUGUCCAAUAAUAUAUUUUGUAACCUGUGAAAAUAUCAGAAAUGUGCAUUUUUCCAACCACCUCCAAAUCACCUCAGUUUUGGCACACAUGAUCUCUUCCACAAACUAAACUAGGUUUCCAAGUUUUUGUAUUUUUUAUAUUUUUUUUUGAAUUUAUAAUGCCCUCUAGACUGACUGCUGAAAACAUCGGUCUAUGCCUCAAGGGGGCAUUGUAAAAUAAUUUUUUUCAAAAUUUUCUUGCAUACACAUGUUUUGCACAUGUGGGUGACCAUGUACAAGAAAAUUUGGGUGAUUUGGAGGUGGUGGAAAAAUUCACGUUUUUUCAAAAAAUGGCUUAAGUUAGACCAAAUGGUCCCUCCGGGAAUGCGGGCAUUUUUUCGACCACCUCCAAAUCACCUCAGUUUUGGCACACAUGAUCUCUUCCACAAACAAAACUAGGUUUCCAAGUUUUUGUAUUUUUUNNNNNNNNNNNNNNNNNNNNNNNNNNNNNNNNNNNNNNNNNNNNNNNNNNNNNNNNNNNNNNNNNNNNNNNNNNNNNNNNNNNNNNNNNNNNNNNNNNNNNNNNNNNNNNNNNNNNNNNNNNNNNNNNNNNNNNNNNNNNNNNNNNNNNNNNNNNNNNNNNNNNNNNNNNNNNNNNNNNNNNNNNNNNNNNNNNNNNNNNNNNNNNNNNNNNNNNNNNNNNNNNNNNNNNNNNNNNNNNNNNNNNNNNNNNNNNNNNNNNNNNNNNNNNNNNNNNNNNNNNNNNNNNNNNNNNNNNNNNNNNNNNNNNNNNNNNNNNNNNNNNNNNNNNNNNNNNNNNNNNNNNNNNNNNNNNNNNNNNNNNNNNNNNNNNNNNNNNNNNNNNNNNNNNNNNNNNNNNNNNNNNNNNNNNNNNNNNNNNNNNNNNNNNNNNNNNNNNNNNNNNNNNNNNNNNNNNNNNNNNNNNNNNNNNNNNNNNNNNNNNNNNNNNNNNNNNNNNNNNNNNNNNNNNNNNNNNNNNNNNNNNNNNNNNNNNNNNNNNNNNNNNNNNNNNNNNNNNNNNNNNNNNNNNNNNNNNNNNNNNNNNNNNNNNNNNNNNNNNNNNNNNNNNNNNNNNNNNNNNNNNNNNNNNNNNNNNNNNNNNNNNNNNNNNNNNNNNNNNNNNNNNNNNNNNNNNNNNNNNNNNNNNNNNNNNNNNNNNNNNNNNNNNNNNNNNNNNNNNNNNNNNNNNNNNNNNNNNNNNNNNNNNNNNNNNNNNNNNNNNNNNNNNNNNNNNNNNNNNNNNNNNNNNNNNNNNNNNNNNNNNNNNNNNNNNNNNNNNNNNNNNNNNNNNNNNNNNNNNNNNNNNNNNNNNNNNNNNNNNNNNNNNNNNNNNNNNNNNNNNNNNNNNNNNNNNNNNNNNNNNNNNNNNNNNNNNNNNNNNNNNNNNNNNNNNNNNNNNNNNNNNNNNNNNNNNNNNNNNNNNNNNNNNNNNNNNNNNNNNNNNNNNNNNNNNNNNNNNNNNNNNNNNNNNNNNNNNNNNNNNNNNNNNNNNNNNNNNNNNNNNNNNNNNNNNNNNNNNNNNNNNNNNNNNNNNNNNNNNNNNNNNNNNNNNNNNNNNNNNNNNNNNNNNNNNNNNNNNNNNNNNNNNNNNNNNNNNNNNNNNNNNNNNNNNNNNNNNNNNNNNNNNNNNNNNNNNNNNNNNNNNNNNNNNNNNNNNNNNNNNNNNNNNNNNNNNNNNNNNNNNNNNNNNNNNNNNNNNNNNNNNNNNNNNNNNNNNNNNNNNNNNNNNNNNNNNNNNNNNNNNNNNNNNNNNNNNNNNNNNNNNNNNNNNNNNNNNNNNNNNNNNNNNNNNNNNNNNNNNNNNNNNNNNNNNNNNNNNNNNNNNNNNNNNNNNNNNNNNNNNNNNNNNNNNNNNNNNNNNNNNNNNNNNNNNNNNNNNNNNNNNNNNNNNNNNNNNNNNNNNNNNNNNNNNNNNNNNNNNNNNNNNNNNNNNNNNNNNNNNNNNNNNNNNNNNNNNNNNNNNNNNNNNNNNNNAGGGGGCAUUGUAAAAUAUUUUUUUUCAAAAUUUUCUUGCAUACACAUGUUUUGCACAUGUCGGUGACCAUGUACAAGAAAAUUUGGGUGAUUUGGAGGUGGUGGAAAAAUUCACGUUUUUUUCAAAAAAUGGCUUAAGUUAGACCAAAUGGCCCCUCCGGGAAUGCGGGCAUUUUUUCGACCACCUCCAAAUCACCUCAGUUUUGGCACACAUGAUCUCUUCCACAAACAAAACUAGGUUUCCAAGUUUUUGUAUUUUUUAUAUUUUUUUUGAAUUUAUAAUGCCCUCUAGACUGACUACUGAAAACAUCGGUCUAUGCCUCAAGGGGGCAUUGUAAAAUAUAUUUUUUCAAAAUUUUCUUGCAUACACAUGUUUUGCACAUGUAGGUGACCAUGUACAAGAAAAUUUGGGUGAUUUGGAGGUGGUGGAAAAAUUCACGUUUUUUCAAAAAAUGGCUUAAGUUAGACCAAAUGGUCCCUCCGGGAAUGCGGGCAUUUUUUCGACCACCUCCAAAUCACCUCAGUUUUGGCACACAUGAUCUUUUCCACAAACAAAACUAGGUUUCCAAGUUUUUGUAUUUUUUUGAAUUUAUAAUGCCCUCUAGACUGACUGCUGAAAACAUCGGUCUAUGCCUCAAGGGGACCUGCAUGUGAAUAGUGAUUCAUCAAGGCCUUGACAGCUACUGGCACAGUGGCUGCCGCCUGAUUUGCAUGCAGCGAAGAUGAACGUGCAUGGAGGUUUUUCAAAGAUUUCCAAGCACACCCGAGUGGGCCCCGCUUAUUUAAAAAAUACGUCAGUCAUUAUUGCUCUGUAAUGAAGAAUAUGCAUGAUGAUUAUGAAUAUGCAUGACAACCAUAGUAAGGGUGAAGAAUCAUAGUGCCCAAUUUGUCGAAAUACAUCAUCAUUCUUAAAGUUGGACAUCACAUGAUACACACAGAAAGUGGAAACGAAAGAUGUAGAACUAAUACAGUAACAUGGCAGUACAACCGCACUUCACUAGAUUACUGUCACGAUGAAAUAGAAUGUAAAGACCACGUCACACAAAGCUGAAUGGCACACGACUUUCUCUGGCUCAUCGUCGGUUCAUGCUGUAAGUAGAUAUCACAGUUCAGCCUCGAGAUCCUACACAGAAGAAUAGAAUAAAUCACAUGGACAUCAAUUAUGAGUAAAACACAUGCAAAAAAAAUAUGAACAUAUUUCGUACCUCUAGCAAUUUAGCUCAUUUAGGUCGAUUGUGACCUGGUUUCUUGCAAUAGCCACAGAUAUUCUGUGAUCUUGACUUCUUUGUCUUUGCCUGCGGCCUUUUCUUCAGUGCACCUCGUCCUGGCACAUGCACGGGAUCCAGAACCUUAUCAACUUUCUGCGAGUGCGGCAUCAACGGGCCAAACCUAAUGCUGUUAUGCUGAGCAUUAGUUGACUCCUUGCUGUCAGCUAGUUCAAAACUUCAUGCUUGCCAUGAUGUUGUGCUUGCAAAAGCAUCUUUAGCCGGUGAUAGUCCUCAUCAGAGUGGCAUGCCUGGAAACUUGCGACGUGACUACAAUUCCGCAACUCGCGGUACCUCUGCAGGCUUAGCGAAUAGUCAUACAUCUGGUUUUUUCUGGUAGGUGCGUAUGCACAUUUUGCAUUCAUAGUCCACCUAGUGGGAACGCAACAACCGGGCAGAAUUGUUUGUUUUAAAAUCCCCAAUAUGUAAAAAAUGUGGGAACAUGGUGUGCCUGCGCAUUCCAGCUUACGGAAGAACAACUCACCCUGUGCAAAAGACCUCCUUGCUCUUCAAUGCGCACUCCAAACUUUUUAUCCAUUCUUUCCUGCUUGGACACAACAUAAGUGGAAUCUUCUGAUCCAUCUAGUAUCUCUCUAGUCUGACAUUUGCUGACAGCAUCUAUGCUCCAUAAGACCAUCUUAAAGACCCUAGGUGUGAAAACUGUUACGGCGUGUUUCUAAAGCGGCGAAGCAUUUUCCUCUGUAAAUGGAACGGACUGCAAGGCUUCGACGUCAUGGAUAGCUUCGUUAAUCCGUCGCGACGCAAGGCAACGCUCAUAGUGCUCUAGCAUUUCAAACAACGACAUCUUACCCUCAAGAUGCGUAUGUAGCACAGAGUUCAAGCUCUCACUCCUUUGAUUGCUGCUCAAUCCUAGGAAACAACGCCCCUCAAGAUAUGGAGCACACCAUAACUUUCUCAUCUGAUACAUCUGAUGCAGCCAAGACUCCUCACUGGUUACUUUAUUCCGUUGUAAGAAUUGUAUCCAUUUUAUCUCAUGCUCUUCAAUGGAAGAAGUAUCAUAAAUGAAAGAUCUGAAUUCCUCCUUUACGUCGUCAUCAUGCAGAUGGCGUACAAUGUUCUGCUAAAUGUGCCAUAUACAUAGUCUAUGGUUUGAGUCUGGCCAGACCACCCUUAUUGGUCUCUGCAUUGUAAGGUCCCCAUCUGUGAUCACAGAUAUCGGAUGCUUCUGUGCCAUGCAAUCAGAAAAGGUCCGCAACAUCCACUCGUAUGCCUGGCUUGUUUCAUGAGAAAUUAUACCACAGCCAAAUAUAACAGUGCUACGGUGGUGAUUCAACCCGACAAAAGGCACGAAUGGCAGAUUGUAUUUGUUGGUUCUGUAUGUGCUAUCAAAAACAAUGACGUCUCCGAAAGCCUCGUAGUCAAGUCGCGAUUGACUAUCAGCCCAGAACAGUCCCUUCAGAUGGCCAUGCUCGUCUACCAAGUACUUGAAGAAAAAAUACACAUCUCGCUCUCGCCUCGCCAUCAUGUGCAUGAUCACCGUUUUAGCAUCACCGGCACUGAUUGUCUCCUGCUUAUUAGCAUGGCAGAAAUUGUAAAGGUCCCUCUUUAUGCAUCCAACCUUAUCAAAUCCACCGUAUUGAAAGCACAAAAUAUUCAUAAUACGGUAUUUACGGAUCCCGCAUUUUUUCAUGUCCGCAAUGUCCGCUUUUUGCUCAUCGCUAAUUCGUCUGUGCGAAUGCAGCAGACAAGAAAGAUCCCGUGGGGCUAGAGGAUGGCUGUGCUCAUCGAUGAAAUCCUUAACAAACCACCGACCGGUUUCCUCCUGUCUCGUAAUGACCAAUUUAGCAUUACACCCAACACGAGUUAAACUUCGUGGCCUUCUCUUUCUAUCUUCCAUCUUUCUUUUCAUGUGCUUAUCUUCGCGAAACCCUUGACGACUACACACAAUUUUCCUUAAAAUUAUGUAUUUGUUGGAUCCAUCCCACUCAACGUAGCUUUUCCUCACACUAAAACAUUUUUCAAGAGCAUAUUUCUUGUAGAAUUCAUAGCCUUCAGCCUCACUAUCAAACAUCUUGCUGACAACAUUUACAUACUCGAACAUACUCUCAUCACUUGCAUACGCCAUGUCUUCCUGCAUAUGACAUGUGAGGGAAACCAAUCAUCAACAUCUUUCUGUUUAUCAAUGUUGCAGGUGUAAAAUAGCUCAUAGGCAAAGACAAGUGCAUGGAAAAGACUUUGCUGGUUUGACAUGUGAGGGAAACCAAUCAUCAACGUCCAACUAGUUUCUCAUCUUCCUUUAAACUAUAUUUCAUGCCUAUGCAAACCUAAAGUGAUGAUGACUUUAAUAAACUAAAUUAAGUGAACUAUGGAACCAGUAUCUCAUCUUCCUUUAGUAUAUCUCAUCUCAAACGUCAACAUCUUACUUAAACAAACAUGAUGCGAUUAGCUCAAGAGAAACUAUGCCACGAUGAAGCUUUCCAUUCGUUGUUCUAGUCAGUACCCGGAUCUUGUGGGGUUGAGGUUGUACUGCAUGCACGGUGGAGGGGCGCAACGGCCAAGAGAACGAGCAGAACGCCAAGCCGAAUUCAUACCUUAAGGAUGGUACGCGCGAAGAGAUGGGAUCGCCCGCCGCGGUCGCCGCCGAUUCAGCCGGUGCAGAUCCGGCCUUCUUCUUCUUCGGUAACGGCGUGGGGGGCUGGGGUUGGUUGGGUGGAGGACGAGGACGAUGAAUUUAUUCCUCUCGCCGGGCAGGUCGAGGACGGAGAAGGUCAGGAGCGGGGAGCGGCGACGAAUAGAUCGGAGGAGGAUUCUGAACUGGAUCGAGUAGACAUGGAUCUGGUCCUCAGGUGAUCGGUUCAAGAAAAGAUAUUUCCCCCUGGACCAUUAUGCCCUUAUCGCAAUUAACAUAUUAAAUUUAAUCAAUUAAAAUUCCCCGCAAGAUCUGACGGCUAAUAAAAAUCAGACGUGAUCAGACAUGUAAGUACUGCUAAGUACUCCGAGUACUAACCCAAUCACCGUAAAACAGCUCAAUCAAAUAAGUUACAGGCAGUUUCUAUCAAAUGCUAACACUGGUACCAAGAAUAAGUUCUUGAAAAGUAUUACUACUGUAGUAAAAAUAACCAGAAGUUGUGUCCCUCCCUUAGUUCCUUUGCAUGACUCCGGUAAUUAUCAAAACAGAACCAUUUGAAAACUUACAUGCUCACGAAUGCACGUGUCUGGUCUAGUAUGGCAUGCUCCUCUAUGAUGGUAUCAUUUAUUAUGGAUAAAUGACCACAACUUCUUGCAGCAACCUGGACCCGACAUAUGAGAGGCAUUCAUGACAGGUUUGAACAACGUCCAAUACCGUUGGCAUUGUUGUAAAAAAAUCCAUGGAUUUAAAAAAAAUGUUCACGAUUUUGGGAACCUCAGCUUGCCAGCCGGAUUUCUAAAGUAAAAUCCAUCAAUUCCGAACAAAAUUCAUCAUAUGUGAAAAAAAAUUCAUCAAUUUUGAAAAAAGUUCACGUGUUUUUAAAGCUAAGGUGCUCCAACUCUUAGCUCAUUGAUCCCAACUCUGAAGCUUAGGUGCUCCAAAAUCAAGAAUCACUACAAACAAACACACAUAGAUCAUCAAUUUACUGUGACACAAAGUUUCAGAUAUAAAUUUGAUUCAUAUCUCCGGAAACAAAUAACACAAUUCUUUUAGAUUCUCUACAGGCUCGCAGGUUCGUCAUGUCAUCGUUCACCGGUGUAUCCGUCAUCAAAGGUCAAGAGGGGAGCUUUUGCAAGACGUCCACCGUCGACGCCAGCACGAACAGCGGGUACCACCUGCUUAUGGUCAAUGGCUACUCACGUACCAAAGAACAAGUGCCCAUCGGUGAGAGCAUCAACUCCGGUACUUCCGAGACAGGAGGCCAUGUUUGGUACCUCGAGUACUACCCAACGGCCAACGCUCGGCUUGCGUCGAUUUCAUUUUUCUCUAUGUUUCCCUUUUUCCAGGAAGACGAUGACGCGUUUGGUAACUUUGCACAAAUAAUCUGGUGUGCUAGUUAGAUAUUUCGUUUACUUUUUUUUGAAAAGGAGAUAUUUCGUUUACUAAAAUCUUAAUUAAUACAAGUCCAAUUCAAAAAUUUAUAUAUUAAUUAAAGUUAGAGUUGAAUUAGCAUGCGCAGUUUGGCAGCUUGCCGUAACCCAAGGUGAGUCCGAUUAGGAUUUGUGUGUUAGAGAUGGACUUGGAGUAGAAUAGAGAGCAGAUCAUCUGGCAAAUCAUGGUGGAACUGAUCGUAGUACGGCUUGUUGGCUUCGCAGAGGCCAUCCAUGUAUAGCUGAACUUUUGUCGGCUGAUUGUAACUCUACACUUUUGGAAUAAAACUCCCAUUUCACUCGCAAAAAAAAAGAGAUGGACUUGGAGUAGGACGUGUGUUAGAGAUGGUCUGAGUCCGAUUAGGGCUUUCUAUGUUGCUUGUCGGACGAGCUGUACUACGUAGGGUUAGAGAUAGAUAGAUCGUGUACGAGUAGGACCAGGUUCAAAUUAGUUGGUGUCCGUGUAGGACAUGAUUCGGCCAUGUGUUUAUAUACAAUACUCCAUAGCCACACGUAGAAACAAACGUGAGAUUUUUUGAGAGAUAAAACAAAAUUCAAGAACGACCAGCCGGCGGUGCCAGCUCUCUGUUUCUGACGACGCGCAACGUUGGCGCACAGCGAAGAGAGUAGCGGUGUCUCCGCACGGACAACGAUAGGCUCGUCAUGUCAUCGUUCACCGGCGUAUCCAUCGUUGAAGACCAUGAGGGGUGCUCUUGCAACACGUCGGCGGUCGACCCUGGCACGGACAUUGGCUACCAUCUGUUCAUGGUCAAGGGCUACUCGCGCACCAAAGAGUUGUUGUCCAUAGGCGAGAGCAUCAACACUGGUCCUUUCAUAGUAGGAGGUCAUGACUGGUUAAUCGAGUACUACCCUAACGGCGCAUAUCCGAGCUGCGCCAACUUCAUCUCUCUCUAUGUAUCCCUUUUCCACGACGAUGAAAAACUGGAUGCCAGGGUCAGUUUUAGUCUCGUCGACCAGGUUGAGAGGCAGACACCAAUGUACAUUCAUGCAACUAAUAGAGCUUGCAGGUUCGACAAUGAUGUUUCUUGGGGCACCAACAAGUUUUUGACAAGAGAGGCCCUUGAACGAUCGGCACAUCUAAAGGGUGAUUCUUUCACCAUCCGGUGUGACAUAAUGGUACGCAAGGAUCACAAUACUGAAGAUGCCGGUGGCCACGGCACCAAGGUGCUCCUCUCAGACAUAGACCAGCAUUUUAACAUUCUCCUUCAAACCAAGGUGGGUGCUGAUGUGACAUUUGAGGUUAGUGGUGAGAUGUUCACUGCACAUCGUUGUGUGCUUGCAGCCCGGUCCAAAGUCUUCAUGACACAACUCUUUGGUCCCAUGAAGGAGGACAUUACCACUUCCGGUGUCAUACAUGUCAAAGAUAUGAGAGCAAGCGUGUUCAUGGCAUUGCUUAGAUUCAUCUACACGGACUCAUGCCCUGAGAUAGAGAAGGACUACAUGGAGGAGGAAGAAAUGUCACAAGUUCUUGAAGAAGAACAAGAAGAUGGUACAGUAGAGGAUGAUGAAAACUGGCUACAAUGGCUUCAAGACUUGUUUGUGGCGGCAGACAUGUACGAUGUCGAACAACUCAAGCGCAUAUGUGAAAUGCGAUUGUCUGAUAACUUAAUUUUGAGCUCGGUGAUGUCUACCCUUGCUCUAGCCGAGCAGCACCACUGCCAGGGAUUGAAGGAGGCAUGCUUGAAGUUUAUUCAAGUCCAACCCCCCUGGUGCUUGCAAACAGUAACGAUGAGUGAUGGCUGGGAUCACGUAGUUUCAACCUAUCCCUCGGUUAUAAAGGAGAUUUUUUUCAAGCUUGCUUCGAACCAACGGAAGUGACACUCUUCUAUAUGGUACCGAUGUUCCUUAGUUAUACCUGAAGUGACCCUCUUAUAUACUGAUAAGGGAUCUUCUAGAGAUGUCGUAGUAUGUGUGUUUUGCUUUCAGUUUUCUCGUCAUGUAAAAUUAGCCUAUAUGCCGAAUCAAAAAAAUCGAACACAUGGACAAAUUGUCUCCUCAUGGAAUAUAUGGUAGGCGACAAAUUGAUCCGUAUUGCAGCAAUCUGUAAGAUUCACAGCUAGUCUUUUUAUCCUUGUAUAGUACUCUGUGUGUCGUCUCUUAUUAUUGCUUUGUGCCUUCCGUGUCAUGUAACCCAUUUAGUGAAGAAGAAUGUAUGCUAAAUCAGGAAAAUCCGUUUCUUCAUGGAAUGUAUAGUCUGCAAAUUAAGGUGUCCUCAGUGGUGGCAGCAAAAGUAGGCAAGUUUUGGUGGGAGUUUUUUUUAUUGAAUCCACAAAGGUGCGACUUACAUUCUAGUAGAAAAUAAAAUACAAAUUCAUGAAAUUUUGACUCUUAAUUGGCAUAUAAUAGUUUAAUUACCAUAAGUGUAACACCCACCGUGGCAAACAAACAAGGACGUGAGAAUUUUUUGUGCGAAUAGGCGAAAGCGUCUUACCCUCGGUGAAAACAAGACGAAUAGUUGCAGCUUUUACAACUGGACUAAAAGUAUCCUUAUAGUCGAUGCCAUACCGUUGUUUAAAACCUUUUGCUACAAGUCUUGCUUUGUAACGAUCAAUGGUUCCAUCGAAUUUUUCUCUUAAUCCUAAACACCCACUUGCAGUCAUUGAGGUUUUUAUCUUGCUGUGGAGGAAUCAUGUGCCAUGUGUUGUUUCUUUUUAGGGCCAUGUACUCUUCUUUCAUUGCUUUCUUCCAAUUAUCAUCACUAAGGGCUUCUUCAAGGGAAUAUGGCUCGCCUAGUUCACCUGUGGAACAUACCAACCCAAAUGUUGUCAUAUGUUUGUAAUUUACGGGUGGUAUUACCCCUUGCUAAAGACGGGUGCGGCGUGUCGUAGUUGGCUCCGGCACAGAAGAUCCCGUGGGAGCUACAGCAGCCGAUCCCAAGGUUGAUGCUGGUCACCAGCAGCAGCUGCAGCCGCUUCAGAAACAGAGGCUGGAUCCUCUGUGCACCGGGACGACGUAGCGACGUGAGACGGAGCCACACGCACCGCAGAAGAUCCCGCCUGGUGAGAUUCAUCACACGGCAAUGAUUGAGCCGGUUCCUCGCGCGUGGCAGGCGUGGGGCCCGUGCCAGGCGGCCGUCUCAGAUCCCGCCGCUUGUAGCAGACAAGCUGGACGGGAAAACGACCACCCGUGGGCCCUGGUGAGUGCGGGUCGUCGCCACCAGCUGCGUGCUGCCGCGUGGCGCAGGCGGGGCCGCCUGCUGACGCUCGGUCGGGUGCGGGAGAGGCAGCGUUGGGUGCGGAAUCCGGAGCGGAUCGCCUGGACCGAUCUGCAGGCGGCGAUCCCGGGGCGGAUCCUGCUGGCAGGUCUGCCACGCCUGCGGGCAUCGAUCCCGAGAGGGAUUUGCUCCCCAAAACCUGGCACAUAAAAUAUGGCCCUAUUGGGCAAUUUUCUUCGCUGUUUUCAACUCCGUUUUCUUAAGCGUGGCUCCUUGUAUCAUCACACAACUCAGGCAAAGUGGUGAGAGGGUUAGUCACGAAGCAUAGGCAGCCGAAGACACGAAGGUGGUCAUAUGUGGGUGCAACACCAUAGAGAAGAAAAUGCGGUGUGUGUGGCGCAAUGACACGAGAGGGACGUCGGUUGAGGAGGUAGGUGGCUGUGUGUAGGGCUUUUUAGGGCCAUGUACUCUUCUUUCAUUGCUUUCUUCCAAUUAUCAUCACUAAGGGCUUCUUCAAGGGAAUAUGGCUCGCCUAGUUCACCUGUGGAACAUACCAACCCAAAUGUUGUCAUAUGUUUGUAAUUUACGGGUGGUAUUACCCCUUGCUAAAGACGGGUGCGGCGUGUCGUAGUUGGCUCCGGCACAGAAGAUCCCGUGGGAGCUACAGCAGCCGAUCCCAAGGUUGAUGCUGGUCACCAGCAGCAGCUGCAGCCGCUUCAGAAACAGAGGCUGGAUCCUCUGUGCACCGGGACGACGUAGCGACGUGAGACGGAGCCACACGCACCGCAGAAGAUCCCGCCUGGUGAGAUUCAUCACACGGCAAUGAUUGAGCCGGUUCCUCGCGCGUGGCAGGCGUGGGGCCCGUGCCAGGCGGCCGUCUCAGAUCCCGCCGCUUGUAGCAGACAAGCUGGACGGGAAAACGACCACCCGUGGGCCCUGGUGAGUGCGGGUCGUCGCCACCAGCUGCGUGCUGCCGCGUGGCGCAGGCGGGGCCGCCUGCUGACGCUCGGUCGGGUGCGGGAGAGGCAGCGUUGGGUGCGGAAUCCGGAGUGGAUCGCCUGGACCGAUCUGCAGGCGGCGAUCCCGGGGCGGAUCCUGCUGGCAGGUCUGCCACGCCUGCGGGCAUCGAUCCCGAGAGGGAUUUGCUCCCCAAAACCUGGCACAUAAAAUAUGGCCCUGUUGGGCAAUUUUCUUCGCUGUUUUCAACUCCGUUUUCUUAAGCGUGGCUCCUUGUAUCAUCACACAACUCAGGCAAAGUGGUGAGAGGGUUAGUCACGAAGCAUAGGCAGCCGAAGACACGAAGGUGGUCAUAUGUGGGUGCAACACCAUAGAGAAGAAAAUGCGGUGUGUGUGGCGCAAUGACACGAGAGGGACGUCGGUUGAGGAGGUAGGUGGCUGUGUGUAGGGCUUCAACCCAAAAUGGUGGUGUGAGGUUGGCUUGAAGAAGGAGGGUGCGCAAGACAUCAUUUGUGGUGCGAAUCAUGCGUUCCGCUUUGCCAUUUUGGGGGGAAGUAUGGGGGCAGGAGAAGCGAUAAGCAACGCCGUUGGAGGAGAAGAAGGCGCGAAGAGAUGAGUUGAUAAAUUCACCACCAUUGUCACAAUGUAUGCUUUUGAUGAUUACAUUGAAUUGGGUGUAAAUAAACGUAAAAAAGUGUUGCAGGACCNNNNNNNNNNNNNNNNNNNNNNNNNNNNNNNNNNNNNNNNNNNNNNNNNNNNNNNNNNNNNNNNNNNNNNNNNNNNNNNNNNNNNNNNNNNNNNNNNNNNNNNNNNNNNNNNNNNNNNNNNNNNNNNNNNNNNNNNNNNNNNNNNNNNNNNNNNNNNNNNNNNNNNNNGCACCACAAGAUAGUAUUAGAAACCAGAGAAACUAACAACAAGUGAUGUCCAUAAAUCAUAGUGUAUUAAAUCAAAAGGGGCAUAAGUUUUGCUAAAAGAAGAGGCAAAGGGUAAACGAGGCUGCCGACCAAGUUGGCAAGCACUACAUGGCGUGUGGGGAGCCUUAUUACAAUCUAAUUGUUUAGACAGGGAAGAAAAUAUGUGGACGCCGGGAUGCCAAAGGCGACGAUGCCACAAGUCCGAGGGGGUGGCUGCAAGGAGAGCGGACGCCGGCGCCGGUUUAUUGCCAACGAUGGGGUAGAGAUCGUCGUGGCUAACGGAGAUCGUGAGAACUCGUCGAGUGCGAAGAUCCUUCACAAGAAAACCACACGGGUAAAAUUCAAUAGAGCAAGAAUUAUCUUUAGUGAAUUUACGAACAGAGAUGAGGCUAGUGACUACAUUGGGGGAGACAAGAAUGUUGGUGAGGCGAAAAUUAUGAGGGGAGAGGGUGGUAGAGCCCGUGGCAGUGACAGGAAGAUGAUGCCCAUUACCGAUAACAAUGCUAGAAGGUAAAUGCGAAAAUGAAGAACUCAACGAGGUCAGGUUACCUUGGGUGCCCGUCACGUGCGAGGAAGCGCCACUAUCGAGAAACCACUCGGGAGCCGGGGGCGUGGCGUAGCCGCCGUUGCUGAAGGCGGAGUUGAGCAUGGCGAGGUGGUCCCACGAGGGCUGUGGGGGCUGAUAGUAGGGAGUGGACGGCACCGGCGAGGGUGUCUAUGCAGGAUACGCCUGGGCGUGUGCGCCGGGUCGGGGCCCAAGAACACCGGCGGUGUUCGGCGGAAUCCAGCCAGGGCGGGUCGUCGGGAGAGCCAUCCCGUACGGGGCAAAGUACCCCGUGAAGGGUGAGAACGAAGGCGCCUGCUGACCGCGCCCGGAGUGAUCGCCGCGCCCACGACCACGACCGCGCCCAUGCCCGUGGCCGCGGUCACCACGCCCGCGACUGGAGGAGUGGGGCGGCGGAUGGGGAGCGUCGGAGGCGCGAUCAUAGGAGCGGGCAGCCGCGCGAUCACCCUGGCCGCGACCACCAGAGGAACCGGCCAAGGAACCGCCGCCCGCCAUGGCGAACGCGGAGGCGCCUUCCUCCGCCACGCGUUGUGCCUGCGACUCCUCCGCAAGGACAACACGGGAGAGGACGGUGUCAAAGGGGAGGCCCUGAUCACCAAGGACGACGUGGAUGGUGUCGAGCCGCUUGUCGAGGCCGUGAAGAAACUGCGUGGUGAGAUCCACCUCGGUAACGGCAUGGUCGAUGUCAGUGAGUGCGUCGGUGAGGAGUUUGAGACGGCUGGCGUACUCCGGCACCGAGAGGUCACCCUGCUUGAGGUUGCGGUAUUGGCGGUUGAGGAUCAUGAAGCGGACGUCGCGAUUGGCGAGGAAGAAAUCUUUGAUCUUGUGCCAGAGGGCGUAGGUGGUGGUGGCGCCAACAACGUGGUCAUAAUGGUGUCCGAGAGAGUGGCAUAGAUCCACAGAACGACAUGGGCGUCGAGCUCAAGGUAUUGGGACGGAGCAUUGGGAGGUGGAGGGUGGUCGAGGAGGUAGGAGACACCUUAGCGUACCAGGACCAUCAGGAAGAAAGUCUUCCACUUAUGAUAAUUGUGAUCGGCAGGGUUGAGGAGGAACUUGAUGUGGUUCGUGAUGUGAUCACGAAAAAUGGGGUGGGGAACGGCGGUGGCCGGCGAGGGGGUAAGGGAGGGGCCGUCGGUGGUGAAGAGAGGGGAAAAUUGAGAGGGUGCCGUGGCGGGGAAGGAGCCGCUGAAUAGGGUGGGGGACGUGCCAAAGACGAAGGGAGGGGUGGUCGGGGCGGUGGCCGGGGAGGUGCCGGCGGCAGGCGCCGAGGAGGAGGAGAGGGUGCCCGGCGACGUGGCCGAGCUCGUGGCGGCGGCAGAGGAGGAGGUGGUGUCGUUCGCGGCCAUGGCGAGGGUCCUGGCGACUGAUUCCAAGUUGGAAAGUGAUUUCCUUAAUUGAUUCUGUUUACAUCUCAAAGUAUACAUAGGGAGAGAAAGUCCCGAGAGAUAUGGCACGCAGGCCCUCAGAUCCUACAAUCUAGGAUCGUUACAACGUGCCAGUUAAUGUUACAAAUGGUACAUAAAUAUACAACUUAACACAGCACCCCAUACGUGAUGCAUGGUGUUCCAUGGCCUUGCUGCUGGCAGAUGUCGAGGAUGUUGGUGGCGUCGUACAUAGUGCGCUUGAGCUCGGUCACCCAGCCCUGCACGCUGGUGUCAGCGAUGCGUCUCCUCUCGGCGUCGGCCAGGAACUUCUUGAGAUCCCCAAGCUUGACGCCCAUCUUGUCGAUCUGGCCGGUGACGCCGAGAAGCAUCCCCACCUCGUCCUCCACCACCUGCUUGAGCAUGUCAGCGACAUAGGACGCGAAGGCAUCCAGCACAAUGGCCAUGGUUUCUGUUUCUUGUUCUCAGGCUCAGGCCGAAGGUUGGUUAAUCAACAGUGUGUCUCUGUGUGUGUCUGUUGCCUUGGUUAGUAGGUGGUACUUAGCUUAGGCUCCUUGCUGGCAAGCCUUUGUUCCUUCCUUGAGUGACGGCAAAGCAGUGGCGGCCGUGGCAAGAAAGCAAUUGGUCUCCUUAUUCAUCCAUGCUCGCGGUCGCGGACAGAAUCCUUGCAGUGGACAUGCAUUUCCUUGCUGGCCGCCUGAGCGCUCGGCUUGGGCUAGCUAAUAGGGAAAGGGAAAGUAGUGGCUGAAUCCCACCUCGAUGCACCCACGCAAGAAAACAUAUCAAAGUAUUUUGAAAAAAUUUAAAACUUUGUGGAAACGAUCAUCAACAAAUAUUAGAGAUGCUUGCCAAGUUUGGUGGUCAAAUGACAUCCAAGAAGAACUGUACAAAAAAAAUUAUAAAAAUUUUGGUCAAAAAGUGCACAUACAAUUUGACUAAUUUUGAGUAAUAUUUUUUGUAUAGAGCUCCGCGGAUGUCAUUUGACCACCAAACUUUGCAAGCCUCUCUAACUUUUGUUGAUGAUCACUUUCACAGAGUUUCAAAAAAUUUCAAAAUAUGUUGGUAUGUUUUUUUUUUGCAUGGGUGCGCUGAGGGUGGUUGUAGAAAAACCACUCUCAAUAGGGAAAAGAGGGACGAGAUCGCCGCGGCCGCAGUCUUCCACCGCUCUCGGCUUGCACUUGAUUUCGCUUUUUUAUUUCAGGGGUGUGUAUAUUAAUUCUUUGCCAAGUCAGCUCAUUACAAUUCGGUCUAGCUGUCAACAAGUGAUUGAAUGGGCCAAAUCCUUUGAUCAGUGUUUUCUGCAAAAAGAUUACUAGAAACACGGUGAAUUUUGCAACAAAUCAGCGACUAGGUGGAUUACUGCAAACCUAGCCGCAAUGUGAUAGUUUUGUGCAAUUAACUCUGAAUGAAAUCGUAGAAUCGAAAACAAUAGUUCCUUUUCCCGGGCACGCUGAAUCUUUGCCUACCUGAUCCGAUAGUCAUGCUCUUGAGAGAGAGAAUUUGCAAAUUAGUGCAAGUCAGUGAAAGAUCUAGCUUGCAAUAUCGGAUAUCAAAAAUAAAUCGGAAAUCUAUAUUUUGUAUGCAAUACUUGAAGGGCUAGUUGAAAGGGUUCCAUAGCAGGUAAAUACCACACGACGUAUUCCUCGUCCCUCAUCAAGUUUUCAACUCGUUUCCAUUUAUCCAGCGAAUGCAUUUCAUACACCUUCAAUCAUUUCCAGCAUUGCAAAUGAUUCAUGGGGACUUCCUGCGCAACAACCCGGGAUAGUAAAACACCAUCACACUGGCUUCCUUCCUGCGGCCUCGCUUGCUAUUACAGCUCUCAGACGCUUUCCUCGGCGACCAGGUACCACACCCCUAGUACGUAGUCUCCCUGCUGUCAUGCGCUUUCAGAAGAUAUACCUGCGUUGUUCAGAGGAUUCAUUACAUGCGUGGCCACACUGACGGAUUCCACGCGAGCUGCGGGUUAACGUAACUACUUUGCGCAUAAUGGGUGCAUCGCCGAUUUAUGCACGAUGCAAAAUCGGACGAUGUCCUGAAGUUUGCUUCCUCACAGCAACGGUUUGAUUAACAACAUCGUGCAGAUGACGUCAUGUCUAUAGCAACAUUCCUGGGUUAACAAAUGCAGACCACUGCGUUUCUUUUGCUUCCAGAAAGUAAGCGAUCAAAUGCAUAACUUACAAGGAAUACAAAGAGUUCCAAGUAAUGACUGCCUCCGUCCCUGCUAAUUUCUUACAUGACUUGUAAAUCAGAAUUCGAAUAUGUAACCAAAAACAAGAACUUCAGAAGUAUUGGUCUUAGAAAACUACCACAUUUAACGUUUCUCUAAAAGCUACAACUUUUGUUCUAAAAUUUUGCUAAAACUAUUCACUCGGAAGCAUAUUAAUUGUCGCUCAUCCUCUAUAACACUAAACUCCUUAGUUUUGAAGGCCUCACAAUCAAUUGAGGUCUUCAAUUUGAAAUUGGAUCAUUCAAUUUUGAUCGGGUCAACAAUUUCACAAGGAGCUCGCUCAUUCUCAAUUUUUUAAUACACUAUGCUCCCUAAUUUUAGAGCUCUCCCAUUCCAUUGAGGUGUACAAUUUUAAGCCUUGAUUUUGACUCUGUCAAUCCUUGGUUGUUGCAAUAAAAUCUUUAACUUCAUUAAGCUCUCUAAUUUUGAAGCCCUCUCAUUCAACUUAGGUCUUCAAUUUGGAUUGGAUACACGAUUGAUUGGGUCGUUGAUCUGGGCUUCAUGGUGGGAUCUCUUGGUUAAUGGGUCCCUUGUUUAGUGCCCGGAUUGAUGUGGGCCUUCCUUAACAGAAGGAAGUGCCACCUACGAUACAUGUGGCCAACGAUGUAAGUAACUUUCUCAUGUAUUUGUAUUAAUUAAAAGACGCCCUUCAAUCGCACGGCCAAAAAGAUCCACCCAAACACCAUAAUAAAAUAAGAAAAAUGAUACACUCAUGGACAAUUCACUAUGGAUUGGUCGUACUAAUUAAAUACUCUCCCACCAAUCACUUCCUUGAUUUGACCGUAAGGCCACGCUUCCCCUAAUCUCCAACCAUAAAUUGACACAUCCAUCUGUAACCAUGAUUCCACAAAGUUUGUCGGUACGUGUAACAUCUCUGAUAAAAAGAACACACACUUCAUUGUUUCCCCCACACGCCAAACCAACUAGCACGUAAAUAAUGUUCACAACUUAGAAAAAAUUACCACGUAAAAAUAAAACAUGUCCAACCCCAAGAACAUAAGCGGUGCAGCAAAGCGCACUGCCCUUCUAGUUUAGUACUAAAUCUGAGACAAUUAAUAUGGAUUGCAGGGAGUACAACUUUUAGGUAGUUGCCCUUUUAGGAUUUUUAUAACAUGGAUUGUGACCAAGGUUAUGGAUUCCGAAUGGACGAAUUUUCUCAUGGCUGGGCGAGAUUCUCGGUUACCAUGGUUACCGAGAAAUACCGAACAUAUUUCGGACGAAAUUUAUAACUAAAUUUUGAAUUCAAAUUCUUUUGAAGUAGAUAUAGAAUUGUGUACGUGCUAAGCGUACGUAUUCUAAAAAAUAAACCAAAAAAUGUGCAAAAGAGGGGACUCAAUCUGCCGUCCUCUCGAGGAGAGAAGUAGACGGCUACCACCACGCAACAGCUACGUUUAGUGAUACUCUUGAGAUGCUAUAGUAUUGUAGUAUACUUUGGACGUAAAAAAAUCAAUUUUUGUUUCGUAUAUGUUUCAUUCUUUUCUUAUAGCAAAACCUAUUACUCUUCCUUUUUCAUACUAUCUUGGCAGUUCUUUGCUUUUUUUCAUACUAUCUUGGCAAUUUUAAGAAUUUUAUAGUUCAGAGGAUGGCACUUUUAUUUUUGAGAGGAUGGCAUCUUUAUUUUUAAUGGCAUGGCAGUUUUAUUAGUAAGAACAUGCCAUUUUUAUUUAUAAUAGGAUGAAAAUUUUAUUAUUGAGAGGAUGCCAUUUUUAUUUUUAGUGGCAUGAUAGUUUUAUUAUUUUAGAGGAUGGCAUUUUUAUUUUUUUGUACUGCCACUUUUUUUUUGUACACAAGAUUUUUGGGUGAUAACUUUAAAUGUGCCAACUUUGUGGGUGUAAAUAAAUCGGCUCAUUUAAAAAUUAAAAUUCUUACAAUUGUUUUUUUUUCAAAAUCAGAUUUUUGGGCCAGCACCUUUUUUUCCUACGUGUUGCACAAUUGGGCCAGCUGGACCUCGUUCGAUACAUCACCCAGCCCCAGUGAAUGGAAAUGUUUGCUGGUCCGGAAUUACUCGUCGUAGAAAUGGAUAUACCUAGACAUAUUUUUAGUUCUAGAUAAUCCAUUUCUAAGCAUUCAUUUUCCAUGAGUUGCACGAGAAGUGUAAAAGAAAACUGGGCCUUAGUCUGAAGCCCAGCCCAGCAGGGCAGUUGAUGAGCAACACUGGAGCCCAUCGAUCUACUCCUCAUCCCAUCUCGUCUCUGAUAUUUUUUUUUAUAAAAAAAACUCAUUUCUCUGCAGCGGUGGAGGUGUCCAGCACGGCAGCGAAGCAGCCGCGGCGGCGAGGGCUCUCAGGAAGCUAGGCGCGGCAGCCGGCGAGGGCCAGCCUCUAGCAGCAAAGCGGCGACAAAGCGCACCGACACUCCGAUCCUCUCUGUUCUCCCAGGCAAGGCAUAUGUAAUUUCUUUCCCCCGAUUUCACCUCACUGUCUGUCCCUGUAGAUCGAGAGGCACUAAGAGGUUAUAGCAUCUGAACCUCUGAAAUCCUCAAUGUAUAUGCAACUAGUAGUAGUAUACAACAAGUCAAUAAAUAUAUAGAAUGUAUGUGUACUUUUGGUGCUUAUAACAAUCUCUAUUGUCACUUGUACCCAGGCCGGCGAGUGUCACUUGCUGCAGGAACAAGUUUUAUCAGACUUAAUUGGAACAAGAGGGGUGCUCCGCCAAAAGCAAAGGAAAGCAUGUACAGCUGCACAUCCUGGCUGCAUUAAUUUGAAUAUUUCCUACGUACAAUGUUUGCUAGUUGUGUCUUAACAUGAAAUGGACUAACUACAUACAUCAUGUAAUGGACUAACUACUAAUCAUAAAAAUCAGAUUCAAUGAAAUUUUGUUGAAAUUUUUAACCCUGAUAUCGUCUGCCAAAAUUAAGAUAGGGUUGCAGGAUAGUUUUGACACCUUCUUCGCAUUCCAGUCUCUCCCAGCAUCGAGCAUCAUCAAACCGUACCUCCUUCAGCUUUGGAGGCAAACUGUCCGACCAGAAAGGAAGCCUCUUCAAUGCCAGACUACCUUCAAGCUCAAGUCGCUCUAGGGAUGGGAAUUUCAUACCGUUGUCCCCAAUAGUUUCCAACGAUUUGGUAUAAAUAAGAACGAGAAGCUUGAGGCGAGGAAAUGUUUUUGUCUUGUCCUGUCCAUUGCACAAUUUGUCACCGUGGCACCUCAUAAAUGCUUGCACCAUACCAUCACAGGAAAUUAUAUGAAGUUGUUCAAGGCGAGGCAAAUACAUAACCCAAGAGAGGUGCAAUAGCUGUUGGCACAAAAACAAUUCCAAAUAAGUGAGCCUUUGGAAUAUAAAUGCCGGAGUUGCUCCCAUCCACUUUAUCUCUCUCAAGGAUCUCAUAAAAGUUAAGCUGAGUUUGUUGAGAGCACCAAAAUGGUUGUUUGGUUGUUCCGUGUCAUGUUGUACUACUGUUAUUUCUCGAGUGUCAAAUUCUUCAUUAAUAUCCAAUUCAUUGAUAUCCACUUCAUACAAGGUCCUUCGUGCAAAGUCCAUUGAUAAAAUACGAGUGAGUGCACAUACGUCAUUCAGAGCCAAAUAUCUAACAGGGAGGCUAUCCGCUUCUCCUAGUGACUCAAACUGAGCUAAAUCUCGGACCAAAAUACCAAGCGCUUUCAACUGAGAUAGGGUGCCCAACUCUCGGUAUAGGAAUUGGGUACAUUUUCUUAAGAAACUUCUCAAGUCUAUUACCUGCAAUGCUUUAAGGCUAGACAUGACCCCAGCUGGUAUUCUCACGGAACCAAUACCAGACUUUAGGUACAAGAACUUGAGGUUGAUGAGGUUUCCAAAGGAGGGAGGCACUUCAGUUUCCCCAAAUUGAUUUUCCGACAAAUCAAGGUAUUCCAGCUUUACCAAGGAACAUAAUUCUUCCGGUAUCCCCUUGAGGUUGUUUCCGCUCAAAUCCAGAUAUGUCAGUGAACUGGAAUUCUUAAUUUCUUCAACAAUUAAGCUUUCAUCAAAUUCGUUGUUCCGAAGGCACAAGAUCCUCAAUUUUAAUGGAUCAAGAUUAAACCUGAUAGGAAUUCUGUUGAACAUCAAGGAGAUGCACUCAGCUUUGCUCGAAAGGAUAAUAACUUUUUUGUCUCUGUCACCUGGUGCCGCCACAAUCCAUUUGUCAUUAUUCUCACCACAGUCACAAGAAAUCCAUAAAGCCAUAUCACGAAUCACAUCAUGCACUUUAACAUAACCAUGUGAAUUUUCGAAGGAAGAUCCUGGGCGAACAUCGCUGCCAUCUAGCAAACAUGCAGCUAUAAGGUCAGCUAUCAAACUAUAUGAUUUUCUGAAGGAAGAUUAUAUGUCAUGCUCAUUGACUAGACCUAAGCCCAUCCAGCAUUGAGCAAGGUUAACUUUGCGAAUGUUCUCAUCCUCUGGCCACAGUGCACAAGUCAAAAAACAAUCUCUUAAGGUCUUGUUUCUCAAAUUGUCAUAACUAAACUUCAGCCGCCUGAAAACAUUAGUUUCCAUUCCCAGUUCUAUUGGGUCUUUGUCAUCAGCGCAGCAUGACUGCCGCAUAUAUUGGAUGGCAGUUUCCCAUUGAUACUCAUCUUUCCGAUACAUUGCAUUUCCAAUAGUUAUCAAAGCUAAUGGCAAGCCUUUCAGUCCCUUCAUAAGUUCUCUAGCAAGAGCUUCAAUAUGGGGACUAGAAAGAGUUUCGGCACCAAUAUUUUCUUCAAAUAGCUGCCAUGCCUCAUGCUCCUGCAGAUAUGUGACUUUUAACUCUUUCUUCACCUUCAUUUGGCCACAAACUUUUCUUAAUCUUGUUGUUAGCACCACUUUUCUAUUGAGUUUGUUUACUUUUCCAAGGGGGUAUGGUAUCCCAACUUCUUCUAGAUCAAUUUCGUUCCAGAGGUCAUCCAAUAGUACAAGAAAGCUUUUCGUUUUCAUGUACUCAUGUAUAGUAAGACCAUUAGGACCAAUACUUUUCAGCCUGAGCCUUUCUAUGAUUUGUGACUGGACCUUUUCCACUUGGCACCCUCUGGAGGCAGUUACAAAGACAACAAAAUCAAAGUCCAUGCCCUCUCCAAAUGAGUUAUUGAUGUUUUUGAGAAGAUGUGUUUUCCCGACUCCACCUGGACCCCAAAUUCCAAUCAUUCCCACUUUGGGAUCAUCCUUAAUGUACUGGAGAGCAUCUUGAAGGUUACGGUUCUUAGCUGACAUAGAUGGACCAGGCAUCUCUUGGACAUGAGGUGGCAUUGACUCAACUGCAACAGUACUAGGACAAAUACUAAGACAUUCUCGAACCUCACGAAGCUUCUCAGAUGCCUCCAUGGCAACAUCCUUCUUCAACUUAUAGUCCACAGAGAUUACACGCACAACAUCAAUGAUUUUGGCCACUUUUUCCAGCCAUCUGUCGGCCUCAUUUGUUGAUUUCUUGCCUUCCCGCUCAGCAUUCUUAAUCUUCUGACAUACAUCCUUUUUUUCGCGAUCAAGUCUUCGGUGGAAUCCUCGAGACUUCCCAUAAUUCUUUCCGCCUUCAGGUUUAAAAAUAAUAUGCAUAUAUUAGCACUCAGUAAUGGCAUUAAUACUAUUUAGAAAUUUUAGUAUCGAAGCAAGCACUUACCAUACAUAAUGGGUUAUCCUUUCGAAGGUUUGAUCUCUUUACUGCAUCAAUGACAUCUUCCCACUGCCUUUCAUUUCUGCUUCUUCGCAUCAUCUUCCCGAAAUGUAUCAGCUCUGAUGGUCGGCCAAUUAGUUCUCUCACGAGAUCCUUAGCAAGUACCCCGACGAGGGGAUCAGUAUAAAGAUUCUCCUCACCAAAACUUUGUUCAAAUAGCUGGUGUGCCUCCUCCUCCUCCAAACCAAGCACUUGUAUAUAUUUAUCCACACUCAUCAUAUCACAUAUGGAUUGUGAUCGUGAAACGAUUAGCACCUUCCUCUUCUUUUGGUCCACAACUCUAAGAGGGUGUGGAAUGCCAACUGCUGAAAGGUCUAUCUCCUCACAAAGGUCAUCCACCAACACCAGAAAACUUCUUUUCUUGAGAAGUUCAUAUAUUUGAGCUGUCACAUUAACAUUCUGGUUUAUACCGAACCUGUUUAUGAUUUGAGAUUGAACUUUUUGCACUGUGCAUUCACUCAAGCCCUUAAUAAGGAUAACAAUAUCAAAGGGGCAAUAUUCAAGAAAUGAAUUGUUUAUCUUUGUGAGAAGAUGUGUUUUCCCUACUCCACGUGGACCCCAUAUUCCAAUCAUUCCCACCGUGAGGUCAUCCUUAAUGCACAUGAGAGCAUUCUUGAGAGUACGCUCUCUGCUUGGCGGAAGUUGAGCAGAGUGGGUGGACAAAUCUACGACAGGAGGUGGAGGUGGUACGCGUGUGACAUUAUCUGGUACCGGUACGCUACUGUUAUAUUGUCGCACAACAUCCACCUUCUCAGCCGCUUUCUUGCUGGUUUUAUAGUUUCCCCAGCAAUUCAGGGAGCACCCAAAGCUUCUGCACCUCUAAUCAAAAGACUCGCGGUUUGCCGCUUCUUCAGAUAUGGCUUGCUCCGCCCUUUGCACCCACUCCUCUGCUUCAUCUGUCGGUAUCAGGCCAUUCAUUUCGCCAUCUUCAAUCCUCUAUUUGACGCGAAGCAAGUUGCCACUCAAAGUCUCAGUUUCAGUCCUGUGAUUUGUCACGUUUGUGCGAGCGGUGAAGCAAUACGUGGCAUUUUUGGAGAAGAGCGUAUAGAAUGGACUUAUGACCGUGUUGACAGUAUUUCCGAGCAAGGGACCAAGCGCCGGUGCCUCAAUUGGCAUUUUUGGCACUUGUCCGAAGAAUCAGUACUGCAAGGCAGACAAUUGUUGUGUCUCAAUGAUGUAUAUGGCAAGUAAAAACACCAAUCAAUUAAGUUUAUGAAAAGCAUAGACUGCAUCUGCAUGCAAUGGCAGAUGAAGCGCAAGCUUUGAGAUGUUGAAUACUCAUAAAUCUUGUGUGAUUAUGUUUGAACUUGUGCAAGUUUACACUGUUAUACUACUUGUAACCCAAUAUGUCUUGCAUGAUUGUACAGGCUAACAGAUCCCUAUGAAGGACUUUUCUAUAUGGAAGGUGUAUUAUAUACUCCCUCCGUCUAGAAUUACUUCUCGGAGAAAUGGAUACAUCCAUUUUCCGGCAAGCAAUUCCGGACGGAGGGAGUAUAUGACUGCAUUAGAAAGGAGUUGCGGAAAUAUGUUCGAUUGUGGAGAUAACACUUGUUGUAAUAACAAAUAAACUCGCAACAAAGUGCUUACUGUGUCUCUUAUAAUAAUUGCAGGUAAACAAAACAAUCUUGGUAUAUAUGUUCCUCCAGGAGAACUAAUCUUGGUAUGUAUGUUCCUCGAGGAGACCUAACCGCACAAAUGAAAACAUGGCCACGAGAAGAACUUGUUUGAGUUUUGUUUCUGCAUUCAAAUAGGACACCGAUGUUAGACGAUGAUGGGAAAUCUUGUGUGAUUCUCUUUGAACUUGUGCGAGUUUAUAGUGUUAUACUAUUUGCAAGAACACUGGAUGGGACCAAAUCUAUCUUCUGUAAUUGUACAUGCUAACAGAUCCCUGUGAAGAACUUUUCUAGCAACUGAUUGUAGUAUUCGGGCCAUUCUGUUUAAAGAACUUCUCUAGGAACUCACAAACAUAUAUUUUUUACUUUUUGCGGAAGAACUGACAAACAUAUCAAAAUCUUCUUCUAACAGGAGUUAAUAUAACCAGUGGAGCCUAAAAACUUGAAAUAACUGUUCAUAUCAACAAAAUAAUUAAGGAGUUAACAAGGGAGCAUUACUGAAUUACUUGGUAACAAUAUUUUUUUUCAAUAGUAGCCAGGUGUGUCCUUAGUUUGGUGUUGGUGUGCCCCUCUGAAUAAUUGCUUUUUCAACAGUAAUGGACAAGUUUUUAUCAGUUUUCUGGCAGAAGCAUAUUGAGUAUCUAGAGACUAAAAAAUUCAUCAAGAGGAGAAUUAUCUGCUAGCGUAAGACAAAGUAGAAUAUAUAUCACGGGUGCGGCUAAUCUGCACCCGGGCUCAUCUGCACCCACGCUUAGUAAAAAAUUCAAAAAAAAUACUAGAAAAAUUCAAAAAAUUCCAAACUUUUUUGUGGUGGUAGAUAAUUUGACGCGUGAGGUGCGCCCCAAAAAUCAGCUCAUUUGAGCAUCUGAGCAGCUCUCGACAAAAAAGACAAAAUCAGGGUCUGUAAAAAUGUAUACUGUUCACGCACUGUUUUGACCCGAUUUGUCUUUUUUGCCGAGAGCUGCUCAGAUGUCCAAAUGAGUUGAAUUUUGGGGCGCACCUCACGCGUCAAAUUAUCUACCACCACAAAAAAGUUUGGAAUUUUUUGAAUUUUUCUAGUAUUUUUUUUGAAUUUUUUUCUGAGAGGGAGCAGAUGAGCCCGGGCACCGUUUUGAGUUUUCCAUAUAUCACGCUCUAUAUGGAUGACGUACUAUAACUUCAGCUAUAGCGGAUUGGAGUUCUGAAAAUAUGCCCGCUUGUUAAGAAGUUUGAACAGAUAAAAGAUAAAGCUAUAACAGAUAAAGUUGCAAGAAAGUGCUUACUGUGUCUCUUCUUUUAUCAGGGAAGAGCCCUUCUCCGGAACUUGUUUCAGAAGAAGUAUAAGGUUUUGUCACAAGGGAAACAAAACUAACUCCACGGGAAUUGAUCACAGAAAGAGAAGAGGACACAAAUGAAAACAGGACCAUGAGAAAUUCUUUUUUGAGUUUCGUUUCUGUAUUCAAAUAGAACAAGGAAGACAAGGGUAAUUCACGUUCAAUCAGAAAUGAAGUUCUGAAAGCAAAGAGUACCGAAAAUCAGCAGAGCAGAGCACCUCAACUCAGUUUUUGUGGGAUGCAGAAGAAGCAGAAGAGGAGGGAAAUGAUUGUGGGAGCUGUGGAAGGGAUCCCUUGGAAGUGAGAGAAAGAAUAGUCAACAACCAAGGUGCAGGAAACAAAGAUAGACUAGGUCAAAAUUAAGAUGCUCAAUUAUUGGCCAUUAGUUUAUAUCAGCUGGGUCUAAAAUACAUGGUGGAAGGUAAUAGCCGAAUCUUUCAAGCUUAAGAAGUGCACGUUGGCACCAGUUGGUAGGCUGACACCUAUGCAAAGUCGCAUGCCAAGUAUCCAUUAUUUAUGUUGGAAUUCAAUGAACCUAACAACGAUUCAUCGAUCCUUGAGAUGUGCAGGCUUGCAUAUGCGCAAGUUGUCUGUAUCAAAAUUACAUACCCAGCCCAUUGUAGAAAAAAUAAAUUAACUAGUGCGCUGAACAAAAUAGGAAAAGGUCAGUUGCUUCCAAGGUAGUUUUGCUACUAAUCUAACCAAAGUACAUCGUCCUACAAUUGCCUUGCCUAUGCAUAUAAGUACUAUGAGUAGUUUUAACAUGCUCCACCUUACCCCCUCUUUUCACCGUGAGAGGUAAGAGUACAAACUAGAUCUGAGCGUUGAUCUCAUUAUUUAGUGGCCUGAUGCCAAGUAUUAUGUAGUAUGGUUAUAUUUCUGCUCUGCCAGCUACUCCAAAAAGCGACUGUUGAAAAGCUAAUUAAAUUGGUUGGUGAUUGCUUAGGAGAUUAUGCAUGCAGGAAAAGAUGAAGGGGCCCUUUUUCUCAGUCAAGCAAGUAUAUUCUCUAGCCGACUUGUGCCUAGUGCGUGGAGAAGCUGUGUGUGCGGGGAGGAUGACAACGAAGGGAUGACGACCAACGAUUAUGACAUCUAAUCAUAUGGUGCAGAAAGUGGCUAAUCCAUGCCUCGCGUCGGUCGACCCAAAGUGCUACCCAAUCUGAAAACUACCUGCAAGCAGGCCCAGUAACCUGCAAAACCCAAAAGUGCAGUUUUAUAGCAUUCUGAUGAAAAUAGACAGAACAAAAAAUAAAUAAAUAACUAACCUGAUGUUGGAUCUUGAGGUGUAUCUCUCCUUGUGUGUGAUUUGAGUAAACUUGUGCGGUGAACCUUGUUCUUGUGUGAUUUCUCUUGUGUUCCUUUUGUUAUUUGGGACCCUCCUCAACAAUUUUAUUACCACAGAGAACCACUAUUUUAGCUCCGAUUAAACAACACAAAAAUGUUGUACCCAUACCUUCAUUCGUAGUGGGCUAAUACAAAACAUGGAAUAAUAAUUAACGAAAACCAGGAAUUAAGAAAUGGCAAGGCUGACAAUAAAAAGGCACAUAAAAACAACCUUUGGAUGACAAAGAAGACCGACGGUGCAGAAAACUAUUAGAUCCCUCGGUAGGGUACCUAGCGUAGCUGGAAGUCAUAGAUCGGAGGUCACACAGAGAAUUUACCCAGGUUCGGACCUCCAUAGUGAUACCCUAUAUCUUGCUUGUGUUUGUCAUAGAUGGUGGGCAUACCUCGAGCAAGGGAUUACAGAGAGAUGUAUCAGUCUAUCAAGAGUUGUUUCUAUGGUAGUAAAUGGGAUUGAGAGCCCCAUAGUCUCUGUUCGGAAAUAUAGUAAACAAAAAUCGCCCUACAAUUAUCCAGAAAAAAUAUGAAGAUACAUUAACGGUUUGGAUUUGAUCGUGCCCACCUUUGAGUUGCAGCGAAAGAAGAUGAGUCAUUGUAGAUCUUACUUGGAGUCCCUCGAACCAUAGAUGAAUGAUUCCGCGAACUGCUCAUCAAUAUUCCCUCGAACGAAAUACCGAAAGCACGACCUCUCUAUGAGUUACAAGCGUACGGUCUUUACGAUUCGGCGGCGCUUAGCCGUCCAGAGCUAAUCGUUGCCGAAGAAUUAGAGGGAGGAGAUUAGAACCAUACUCGACUUCUAAUUAUGAGGAUUAGAGGAUCCAGGUCAAGCUGUAAUUAAUCAACUAGGAUCAAUUAGAACUACAACUAGAGAACUAGAGGAGGCUCCAAAACUUAUGUAUCAAAAGUGCCAAAAGCCUCUACUAUAUACAGAUUGGAGGAGGGGGCACCACAAGGGGAGGGAAACUCGGAAAUCACUAAUUGAGGAAUGCUCCUUCCAAAGAUCACUUUUCACUUCCCUAGUUGCGACAAGUGGUGCGCUGCAUGCGCGCCACUUGUCACAACCCGGGAGUUUUCCCUUUUCUAAUAGAUCCGUUUAUUCAAAAUGUUUUCUCUUAAACCAUGCGUCCAAAUUUGAAGCCCUUUUGACCAUUGGAUUCCUCACAUCGAGAUCUUCAAAACUAGAUAUCAUGUUGAUAGUUUUUGAUGAAAUUUUUAUUUAAUGAAAAAAAUUAUGCCUCUUGCAGAAGGAACAAAUAAAAUAGAAAACAUGUUAUUUUUCGUUUCCGAUAGGCAUGGCCGUGCCUCGCACGGAAGCAAAACCGUGCCUCUCGCAGAAGAAAAAAAAACGUGCUUUCCCAUUUUCGAGAUGCACAAGCGUGCCUCUCGCGGAAGCAAAACCGUGCCUCUCACGGAAGGGGAAAAAAGAAAGAACUUUUUUUUUCAUUUCCGAGAGGCACGGCCGUGCCUCUCGCGAAAGCAAACCGUGCCUCUCAUAGAAGGAAAAGAACGUGUUUUUCCCCAUUUUCGAGAAGCACAGACGUGCCUCUCACGGAAGCAAAACCGUGCCUCUCACGGAAGGGAAAAAAAGAAAGCACUUUUUUUUCAUUUCCGAGAGGCAUGGCCGUGCCUCUCGUGAAAGCAAAUCCGUGCUUCUCGCGGAAGCAAAACCGUGCCUCUCGUGAAAGGAAAAAAACACGAUUUUCACGCAAAAAAAAAAUCAAAAACCGAGAUCCGUCAUGUAGUCCCGGUUGCGAGUCGGGAAACAUAGUUGCCGGUGAAAACCGAGUCGACGGCAGGCGAUGGUGGCAUUCUGCGCCGUUAGCUUCAUGAAGACAUCGUCGUGUAACUACUGUCGACCCACUCGUGCUGCUUCGGGGGAAACCCUAGGCUCUUGUCUUCCAGAUCGGACGAUGGUGGCACUGCGGUAUCGUUUCUCUCUUGGGAGCAUCUUCUUCUUGCACGGAGGUGGAGCAGCGCUGGAAGCCAGUGACAGGAGGUGGAACGGCUUCGUCUUGCACGGAGCUUCGGUGGAGAUGUCAAGUAAUGCAUGAUCGACAGGUGCUAUGCUAUGUCAUGCAUGUUCGGCAGGUGCUACGCAUGACAGAUCUUCCAUAUUCUUCGCAUCUGGAUGAACGAACGCAGGGCAGUGGCGCCGUUGUGCUCCAUGGUGGCGUCGACGGUUGGCCGGAUUGGCAAGGAUGAUGCGGAUCUCUCUCUCCUGUAGAUGGGUCAGCGGUUCGAUGAUGAUGACGGCUUCUAAAAUGUGUGCAUGUGGUGUACUCUUUAGAUCUGCUGCACGGGUUGUUGGUUUCAAUACGUUAUGUGGAUGAAUCGGCGACAACACCGGUUUCAGAUAUGGGAAGUGAGAGCACUUCAUAUUGUCAAGUUUAUAGGUGUGAGUGAUGGCUUGAUAUAUAUUCUUGUCAGACAUUUGUUGAAUAAUUAAUAAAGAUGAUCAUAUUUAUCGAUUGAUGCAGAGGCUGGGGUUUUAACCUCCGUUUCAAAAAAAAAACGCAUCCUAGAUGCAGAGGGUAAAUGCAUGCAUGCCAAAGAGAGGCUCUUGGUCGUCGCGCUGAUGGGGCGAGGCAAGUUGGACAUGUGGUGCUGCGGGUCACCGAUGACAGUGAGACCGAGGAUGCUGAAGCGUGGUGUUGAUCCGUGGGGAACGAAACGGUCCCGUCUCCACGUAUGAUCGCUCUACGAACGUUCCCAUUUCGACUCGUCGCCAUGUGCAGCAUCAAUAAUUCAAUAUUCAACUUCACUGCUUGGCUGCUGCUGCUGGGAGGUUUCGUCGUCCAACCACAAGGCAACCGGACGGGUGGUUGAGUUGAUUCAUUCCAGUUAACACGGGUAAUUGCCCCCAUCUCCUCAUUCAUAUAUGAAGCCACCCUGAUAGUUAGGUACGUAGGUCGUUGCAAUCAUUUUGAGGGCUUUGCUCCAUCAUCUCCUCUUGCCUGCCUUUUCUCCUGUACUUGGACCUUCGUUUUCCCUCUGAAGCACUGCUCGUUUGGGGUGCUCCAUUGCCAAAGCAAGAGCAGCAGCAGCAGCUGGCGUUACACUUCAUCCAGGUGAGUGCUCCAGCUCCAUCUUAAUUUGCUCAGUGCUUAAUUUAGGAACCAGUCGGACUUUUAGUUUGUUGUCUGUACAUGUUCUUUUGAACGAUUUCUUCCCCAAUGGCAUCGGUACUCUCACCGGCGACAUGUUCUUUGUCAUGCGGUGCCACCACUUGAUGUUGGUGCAUCAACAGCUUGCUAAUCCCCCCCAUGCUCUCCCCUGAUGAUGAUAAUCCAGCCUCUGCAGUUAGGCUGCCAAAGUGCCCAUGCCCAUGUGGUACUGCACAACAUCUCCAUCCGCACACCUUCGAUCACAGCCCGUAUCUUGUCUUCAGGCAGAUGGAAUAUUUUAAAUAGUGAGCUAUGCCAUUUAGCGGUGGCUCAACUAGAAGCUAUGAAAAGCUAUAGUGGAGCUAUAGCAAAGCUAAGUUCCAUUUAGUGUUUUCCUUAAAAUCAUGAAAUUUUGAAAAAGAAUAAGCACACAAUCAGUCAUCAUAUAUGAUAUAUUCUAUAUACUUGACAUAUACAAAUGUUGGGCUAUUCGCACAUCAAAACCCGAGCACCAAUCGGGUGUCAUAAUUCAAUAACCAAAGCUUUGCAUUGUAUAUAUCAUAAACAAGAAGAAAAAAUAACGCAGAAUGAUGGUUUUUUGUAUAGCGGCUUAGCGGGCUAAAUGACUCUAAAUUUAGCACUAUGACAAGAAAUAGUAGGCUAUUAGCGUCAUUUCAAAUUUAGCUAUAGAGCUCUCAAAAGCUAUGGAUAUAGCUAUUUAAAACAUUGGGCAGAUCUGACAACAAUUUUGCAAUAGUCCUAGCGUCACGGAUCAUGCCUCCCUGUUGCUGUUGGGCACUAUCUGGAGGUGGAGAUACUCUAUUUUACAAUAUUCCACCAUUUGGCAGCUUAAUUCAUCCUAUUAACGUUACCGAUGAGCAGGCUGGUCAACACGCCGCUUUGAACCACCAACUUCACAUGUAUACAGCUCAGCAACGCAACUUGCCCGAAUUGACUAUUCCCCGUCUUAAUAAUGACAAUGUAGUUUAAUGCUCCUUGACGGAGUAGCCGGUAUCCAUCACAUGCUCUUCAACGUGGCAAUCAGUGUUUCUUACCCUUUCUCCUACUUGUAUGUGUGAAACAGCAAAAGUGAUUUGUGAAUGAACUGUCUAAUUCCAUUGAUUGAAGAUUAGGGUAUGUAUACCCCAUGUACUGACGUUUGAUAAACUAGAGAACCAAUCAAAGCAUGGAUUAACCGGAUUUAAUUAAUUCUUAACUGGAUGUUCUCCUUUUGAAAGCAAUGCUUAGACUAGUCACAAUGGGUAGUAACUUAGACUAGUAACAUUUACUAGUCUAUGUUCUUACCUCUAUAGUGGGGAGUAACAUACGUAUGAUGUUAUGCAACACUUCAUUUAUUAGGUUGUAGACUCAUCUUGUCUUGAUAUGUGUGAUGUUACAGUAACUAGCUAUGUUACCACAUGCCUCUCUUUCCUCAUUAAUUACUCGCCACAUCAUGUUUUGCCUACAGAUGUGUGAUGUUACCACCUAUCUUAUUACCACUGACUGUGGGUAGUCUUACUAGCUUGGGUCUUUCUGAGCAGCAACCACAACCAAUCAGCGAGGAAGGGUCUACACCAUCCUCAAAGUUGACCAAUAAUGACAGUGAUAUGGUAGUAUAAUGCUCCUUAACGUGGUAAUCAGUACCCAUCCCAUGUACACAUCACCCACCCUUAAAUGAAGCUUCUUGAUGUUCAGAGACUAGCCUGUUUUGGUCUUGUUAAUUGUAUCUUGAUUCGAGAUUCAACAGCUGUGGAGCACACUUGCCCACAUCUCUUGUAGCUUGACCCUAUCUAUUCAUUUAUAUGAAGCAAAUGGUAGUGGUUAUGGGUCGGUUCAAUCCCUUCUUCCCCUUUCUCCUACUUUGAUCUUUUCUCUUUGAAGCAAUACUAGCUUGGGUGUUCUGUGAGCACCAGCUAGCUAGCAUCCGUAAUCUUCUUCUAGUUAGUGCUCGAUCAACACUUUUGGGAAUCACUCAGCCAUUCAGUUUUAUAGUUUGUAUGUAUAUGUUUUUCUGAGAGUUCUGCUUUAACAUUUGGAUCCAGGAAAUAUGGCAUGUUUUUGCAUUGGACGGUUAUAUAGCCUUUAAUGGGUUCCACGUCCCCAAACAAUUCAUGAUUCAAGGUUCUUGUUUUUACCAUCAUUCAUUAUUCAAGGGUUGUAGGACUUUAUGAUAUCUCGCCCAUUAGUCCAUUAUUCACGAUGGCCUUGCUAACCCUAAAUUGUUUUGUGUUUAAAUGAUGACAUUGUAAUCAAUUAAUUGUGAGAAAUAUAUAUCGAAUGCUUUUGACCAUUGCUCAUUAUUGUCUUUGUUCAAACAAAUUGUUUUGAUUUUCAUGGUACAACUUCCGUAUACUAAUGGAGAAAUUAAUAACAUCUUGGAAAAUUUCAUACUCCUAAGUUUGGUAAUACCUAUUACCUCCAACCACAAGGUAAAAGUGGAUGGUCCACAAUAGUUGGGAGCACCUUAGAAUUUCUCUACUACCGAACAAUCAGCUAGCAACACAACUUCACACAUACAGCUCAGCAAGACACAACUUUCCCAAACUACAACCAUAAUUGAAUAUAGGAGUACAUCGUUAGCAUUGACUAAUCCACCUCUACCCAAUAAUGACAAGAUUUUCCACAAAGUCUAAUGCUCAUUAACGUUCUACUUGCUAGUCAUCACACGGGUCACAUGUACUCAUCACCUCCAUCAAACGUAGCAAAUCAGGGUAGGAGGGAGUGAGGUCUGCAUCAUCCUCGGCAUUGACUAAUCCUUGUUUAUACCAAAUUAAUCAUUAAUUUUAACUGUUUACUCCCUUUGGUUGGGUUUAUAACUCGGGGAUGGCUUUUAACACCUUCAAUUUGACUAGUGAAACUGAUGUUGUUAGUCACACAUAUUUUGUUAGUCCAUUGAUUGAAGGCUUAAAAGCUCAUGCCGGACUUAUAAACCCAACAGAAUGGAGUAUCAUAUAUUCCAAAUUAUAAUGUUGCCAGGCUUGCUUAUUAAUUUUUUUUGAGAAGGGGGAGUACCCUUAGCCUCUACAUCAAGCAAUGCAGACAUCCAUUUUUAUAAAAAAAAUAGAGCAAGAAAGUACGAAACUCGUCUCAUGUUUGUAAACAAAAGCAAAAGAUAAAACCAGAUGCCACAAACAGAACAAAUAGGACACGAUGCCUAAACACAUAUCGUAUUAUUGUACCCCCAUCCAAACAUGUAUGUAGCUCGUGCUACCAUCUCCCAGCGGUUGCACCCAAAGGCCAGAAGCUCCCUAACUUCCACACGACUGAAUAAUGACAACCUACAGAUCCACCAGACGCCCAAACGAUAACCUGCAAAAAGUUUGUGAUAUUGGUUCGGUUAAAAACAACAUCAUUCCGACAGUUCCAGAUAACGGAAAGUAAUGCAUGUUACUAGCUGCGUUGGGAUUUUCCCCGAAGAGAAAGGUUGAAGCAAUAUAGUAGCGAAUAGUAUUUCCCUCGGUAGGGAACCAAGGUUAUCGAACCAAAAGGAGAACCACACAAACACCCGCCAAUAGUACCUGCAUAUAUAAAAGCAAAUACUUGCACCCAACGCGGGCAAGUAUUAAAUCUGGUAAUGGUAGACAAAUAUAUUGCAAAGUAAAAUAAAAGAAAGAAAAUUGCAGCAAGGUAUCUUUGAUUUUUAUAAUAUGAUUAACGUAGACCCGUGGGCCAUAGUUUUCACUAGAGUCUUCUCUCUUAUAAAAAUAAUAUACAGUGGGUAGACGAAUUACUGUUUGGCAAUUGAUACAAAAGCGCAUAGUUAUGACGACAUGCAUUCAUGGCGUGAUCAUGUAUAUAGACAUUACGUCCGUGACAAGUAGAUCGACUCCUGCCUGCAUCUACUACUAUUACUUCAUCAAUCGACCACUAUUCAACAUGCAUAUAUGGUAUUAAGUUCAUGACAAACAAAGUAACAUUUUAAGCAAGAUGACAUAAUGUAGACAUAAUAAAACCAAGCAAUAUGAUUAAACCCCGUCGUUUUCCCUUUAGUAGCAACAAUACAAAUACGUCCCUCGCUACCCCUUCUGUCACGAGGUGAGGACAUCACAAGAUUGAACCUACUACUAUGCACCACUUCCACUAAUGAUCAACUAAUCAACUUGGCCAAAGAAAACACAUAGAUUGGAAGCAUUACAUAGCUAUAACAAUCACACAUAAUAAAGUUCAGAAAAGACUCAAUUACUUUCAUUGAAUAUUCCAACCAUAAACCGACAAUUCACCGGAUCACAACAAACAAACCGUAAAAGAAGAUUACAUCGUAUAGAACUUCGAGGAAAUAUUGUAUUGAAUAUCAAAGAGAAAGAAGAAACCAUCUAGCUAAUCACUAUGGACACAUAGGUCUGUGGUGGACUACUCAUACAUCAUCGGAGGUCCAACAAGGUUGAUGUAGAAGCCCUCCGUGACCGAUUCAUUCCUCCUCCGGUAGAGUACCAGAAAAGGCCUGCAAAUGGGAUCGCAGAAGACCAGAAACUUGUGGCCGCGGAAAAAUAGUUUCGGCUGGCUCUCUUUUGGUUUUGGGAUUUAUGGGAAUUUAUAGGCUUAGAAUUAGGUCAAACGGAUAUACAAUGGGCCCAUAACCUCAGGUGGCGCACCCCCUGGGGGCGCGUCAUGUGAGCUUGUGGCUCUCCCGUACAUAUUUUGGCCUCCUCCCGAAGUUUCUAGGGGCCCUUCUGGCUGAGGAAAUACCACCGUAAAGUUUCAUCAUGUUUGGACUUUGUUUGUUAUGGAUUUUGUAUAAUAAAAAAUAUGCAGAAAACAUCAACUAGCACUGGACACUGAGUUAAUAGGUUAGUUCCUAAAAAUCAAGAUUGAUAAUAUAAUAACAUGAAACAAUCAAAAAUUAUGGAUGCGUUGGUGACGUAUCAAUGCACAAACUCCCACAUGAAUUUGUGUUGUUAUAUUAGUCUUCAGCCCAUUUAACCAGUUACCAAAUGAAUUGGAGAUGCUACUCGGCGGUAAAAAUUAAAUAACACAUGUAUUCUUUGCCAAAUAACCCAGCUAGUGGACAUUUGAAAAAAAAUGUUGAAUCGUUUCCUAUCCUCCCACCUUUCUUUUGCCAAGUUGUGCUUAGUAAAAAAUCACUCUCUUGUGCACAAACAACAUAAAGAUCUUGAUUUUUAACACACCUUAAUUUUUCAAAUAUGGGUCGACCUAGGGAUUUGUACAAUAUUAAUGAAGUCGAAUACAUAGAUUUGACUUAAUACGCAUGAAAUUAAAAAUUUCCGUCCGAAUGUAUUUGGCACAUUAGAUAGAUUGACCUCCAUCAACCUACACACAAAAUGUAGCCAGCUAUCCCAUCAUUCCCUCAGUAGUACAUGUCUGCACUAAACGUUUAAGGGAAAAUAACCUAGAAUUGUACUCACAAAGGCGCUUUAUGCUGCACAAUAUUUUAAAGCAUUGUAUACUGUAAGGCUAGACGCAUCUCCACAACCAAGUAUGCUCCCAGAAUCUAGUUGUGCGACAUUCGCCAAUGAUAGAUUUACUCAUGUUAAAGAAAGUGAUCCUUGUCUUCAUCAACCUCUUUCAAAAAGGAGAAUCAUUCGGCCGUGCCAUAACAUGUGCUAGAGUUUUCGAAUGUAGAUAAUUGUUACGCAAUAAUUAUAUCCACACCCCAUCCUCAUGUACCAAAAGCCGAUAUAACCAUUUACUAAGUAGGAACUUGUUCUUUACUUUGAGAUUUUCAAUACCCAAACCUCCUUGGUAUUUCGUUCUACUAAGAAUGUCCCACUUAUCCGGUUUGUACUUGGUUGUAUUCUCAUCAUUUUGCCAAAAAAAUCUCGACAGAUAAAAAUCUAAAUUUUUAUAUACCCCUACGGAUGCCUCAAAGAAAGAUAAUAGGAAUAUCGGCAUGCUUGUAAGCACAGAAUUAAUAAGAAUAAGCUGACCCUAAAUGACAUAAGCUUGCCCUUCCAAGAUCUUAGCUUUUUCUAAAAUCGAUCUUCAAUGAACAUUCAUUCUUUGUUGGUCAACUUCCAGUGAUGAAUUGGGAUCCCUAGAUAGCUAAUUGACUAAUAUAUCUUUUUUGGCCCUCUGUUCUCUCAUAUAUGCAGCCUGAUAGGUUGUCUCACUACUAGGAAAAGGGCUAUAGAUGUGAUGAGCACUAAUGGCGCACUGUACAUGUGGUGCGCCAUUACUAAAUACUAAUGGUGCACCAUGUGUUGGUGCGCCAUUAGUGUGCAAAUACUAAUGGCGCAUCCCAUCCCACGGUGCGCCAUUAGUAAAAAAAAAUUAUUUAUUUUUUCAAAACUACUAAUGGCGCACCGUGGGAGUGGUGUGCCAUUACUAGUUGAACUAGUAAUGGCGCACCAUCCCAUGGUGCGCCAUUGGUAAUUUGGCCCAAACAUUCCCCCGAAUGCACACACCCCCUGUGGACCGCCUUUUCAGUUUCAAAAAAAAUAAAAGAAAAUGAUAGAAGUGUCAAAAAAUAAAAGAAAAUAAGAUUCCCAUGUGAUAUGUGGUCUAGUUGUUAGGAAAAUUUACAAACAUGAAUUUUUGACUUUUUUGCAAAAUCUCUCGAGAAUUUGUAAAAAUGGGCAUAACUUUUGCAUACGAACUCGGAUGAAAAAGUUUUUUAUAUGAAAAAUCAUCUACUCGAAAAGUUACAUCUGAAUUUAAUCGGGGGAACCCCGUUAAACAUUUUCAAAAUCCUCAAAAACCUAACAGAAAAAAGAUACGGGGCUUUUAAGAUCUGGAGAGGCAAAAAAAUUCAAAAAAAUUCAAACUUACGAAUGGCGCACCUGCCCAUGGUGCGCCAUUACUAUCUUCCCGCCUUCAAAAUUCAAAAUAAAUCAAAAAAAAGUAAAAAAAUACUAAUGGUGCACCUGCCCAUGGUGCUCCAUUAGUAUCUUCCCGCCUUCAAAAUUCAAAAAAAAUAAGUAAUGGCGCACCUGCCCACGGUGCGCCAUUACUAUGUUGUAUAUAUGGCUGGGCGUGUCCUCUCCUUACCUCUUCAUUCUUCUCCUCCACUCCACCUGUCCUCCACUCCACCUCUCCUCCACUCCUCCACUCCAUCUUCCCUUCUCUCUUCGACCAUACGACCCUCCUCCUCUCCGGCGACCUCCUCCUCCUCCUCCUCUCCGGCGACCUCCUCCNNNNNNNNNNNNNNNNNNNNNNNNNNNNNNNNNNNNNNNNNNNNNNNNNNNNNNNNNNNNNNNNNNNNNNNNNNNNNNNNNNNNNNNNNNNNNNNNNNNNNNNNNNNNNNNNNNNNNNNNNNNNNNNNNNNNNNNNNNNNNNNNNNNNNNNNNNNNNNNNNNNNNNNNNNNNNNNNNNNNNNNNNNNNNNNNNNNNNNNNNNNNNNNNNNNNNNNNNNNNNNNNNNNNNNNNNNNNNNNNNNNNNNNNNNNNNNNNNNNNNNNNNNNNNNNNNNNNNNNNNNNNNNNNNNNNNNNNUCUCCCUCCUCUCCGGUGAGCUCCUCCUCCCUCAUCUCCGAUGAACUCCUCCUUCCUCAUCUCCGGUGAGCUCCUCCUCCCUCCUCUCUGGUGAGCUCCUCCUCCCUCCUCUCCUCCCAUCCCCUCAUGGUUUCUUCUUCCUCCUCUCCGAUGCUCCGGUGAACUCCUCUCCGGCGACGUCCUCCUCCUCUCCGGCGACGUAGGCGAGCGCCUCUGCGGUCACCUCCUCCUCCUCCUCUCCGCCGAACUCCUCUCCGGCAAACUCCUCUCCGGCAACAGAACACGGCAAAAGAACGUACAAGAUCCAAAAACGGGAACAAAAUUUGAAAUAAUAUCAUGCAAAAACACGAGCAAAAAAACGAGCAAAAAAUGGGCAAAAAAAUCGCGAUCCAGAUCCAAAUUCAAAAUUCAAAAAUAGCAAUGGCGCACGGUGGGGGUUAGACGGUGCGCCACUACUAUUUUCCCGCCUUCAAAAUUCAAAAAUACUAAUGGCGCACCGUGGCCUAUACUAAUGGCGCACCAGCGGCCUAUACUAAUGGCGCACCGUGGCCUAUACUAAUGGCGCACCAGUGGUGCGCCAUUAGUAUACCAGAUACUAAUGGCGCAUCAGUGGUGUGCCAUUAGUAAAAAAUACUAGUGGCGUGAUACUAAUGGCGCACCAGUAGUGCGCCAUUAGUAGGCAAAACUGGUGCGCCAUUAGUAAGCCUUUUCCUAGUAGUGUUUGUCAAUCCACUAUCUUCUUGCCCCUCCAUUUUUCGACAACCUAGAAGCUACCUAUGACCAUGCAGUUCUUCCAUGCUAGAAGUGCGCAAUCCAGAUCUUUGUUGAAUGGUUAUUGAAAAAUUAAUCGGUCUCUCAGUUUCUAUACAGUCUUUUGAAAUUUAUGUUUUGCAUUGUAUUUUUCCUUACAUGGAAAGGUUUGCUUUAUAUUGUAGAAUGAAUAAUAUAGCAGAAAUGGAAGCCUUGGAGCGUGUAUUUAGUGAUGCAAGUGCAAAGCCGAUCAAACUAUCAUAUGGACUUCUCGAAAUUAUUACGGAGAAUUUUUCGAACGAAAUUGGCCGUGGUGGGUUUGGAGUUGUUUACAAGGUAUGAUUUCUUCUCGACUAUCUCCCAGAUAAUAAUUUUUCACUUAUGAAACUAGUAAAGCAAAAUUCCUGGGCUGAUGAUAAUACCGUGAGCAAAACAGGGAUAUCUACGAAAUGGGGAGGUUGCUGUGAAGAAGCUCUCCAAUCCGCAUGCUUUGCCUGAUAGGAAAUUCCUGGAUGAGAUCACGUGUUUAAAAAAGGCAAAGCACACAAAUAUAGUAAGAAUUCUGGGUUAUUGUUCAGAAACGCAGGGGGAGUUGCUUGAAAUCAAUGAAAAACAUAUAAUGGCAGAGAUACAGAAAAAGUUGAUCUGCUUUGAGUAUGUUCCUAAUGGAAACAUUCAACACUAUUUGAAACAAGGUAUGGAGGGUACCAGUUGAUAUGUUCUUCUAUUCUAUUCUAAGCAUAUGGAAAAUAGUUGUGCCAAUUUUGAUCCACCGAUAUUAGCAUGUUGUGCAUCCGGCGACUUCAGACGUGCGAUCGAGUAGCAUCGUUCACUCUAAGAGUCGCACACACACACGCACACAUGCACGCACGCACGCGCGCGCGCGUGCACACACACAAUCAAAUAGGAUUAAACUCUAUCUUUGUUGUUACAAGAUAACUGGAGGUAUUAGGUGUGGGUACUAAAGAAGGAAAAUGUGGUAUCUAGGAUUUGGGCCUAAUUCAAUAUGUGGCUUCCUUAACUAUGUCAUUAUAUCUCACUAGUCUGUGUAGCCAUGACUCAAUUCCCCCUUUAUGAUAGUAUGUUGUGCACAACUCAAUGAAAUUAUUAAGGCCAAAAGACCGAACCAGAAAUGUGCUCUGAAGUUAAACUUCGUGUGGUAAUUAUUCUGUAUGGUUGCCCAUGUCAUCUAAAACACUAGCAUACACGAUAACAUCCCAUCAUUAUUGCUAGACAUGCGACUAUAAGUAGCACAUAAUAUCGACCAAGGGUUCACCAAAGCACAUCUAUCUACUCCUUAUGAUGUCUCAUGAUCUAGACGUGUAUUAACCCAUGGACUGAACAACUACAGUAACAAAAAUAAACAACAUGAGAAGAGUAAGAACUAGAGAUUAAUUAAAAAUACCAUUACAGAAAUUUUUGCUGAAACCUUGAUAUGGUGAUCAAUGGACUCGUAAGUAACUUACUAUGAGUGGUGAUCCGAACAGCACUAAAAAGUGCCCCCACCAUAAAUGGAGAGUGAUCAAUUCUGCAAACCAACUUGAACAUGUCAGUGGAAAAGAUCCCAGCGCUAGCUAGGAGUCGACAACAAGGGUCACCAAUAGUAGACCUCCGUCCUAUUCCUCUCAAUGUUAAUCCUCUCUAUGACAAGCCCGUCAGAACGGCCUGUUAGUUGAAUGUUACCACUGACGGCCUCCUUGUAGCAACUCAUCGAUGGUACUUUCUAUAGGUAAAAUGAAAGAAAUUAGCGACCAACGAUCAUAGAAGAGUGAAUCGUGAGAGGUGAUAGGUUGUCCCAGGUGGAGAAAAUGCAUGCAUUUGUCUAUGUUCCUCAAGAACUAUAUAGCAGUGCAGCCCCAGCAGCCCUCACAUUCUGUUGGAAAUAUGAGCAAUUUACCGAAUGAUUUUAUUGACAGAAAUACUAGAUAAAGCAUGACUAAUAUAGCAGAGAUAAAACAAGUCAUGCAGUUCGAGAUAGAGAAGGUAAAUAGCAUAUGUAUAUAUGAACUAGAUCCGAACACAUCUAGAACAGACACUAGAACAAGAAGUUGUGACAGAGCCUCUAACCGAAAGAGUAUGAGAACGUAUGGAACGGGAGCAGAUGCACCGGUCUUCGGGUCGGUGUCCUCGCCAGCCAUGUCGUCGAGGAGGUUGUCGACGUCGAAGUCCGGGGCGUCCGUGACGAAGAAGUCAGUAGUCGCGCUGAGCGCUCCCCAAAAACCUUAUCACCCUUCUUUCGUACAGGACUCAAAAGGUGUGGUUUCAGAGGCCUACUGUGUCUCUCUCAAGAGGAGCGACCUCUCUUAUAUAGGCACAGGAGAAGGAGGCGAACAGGCUGCGACGGCAGGUGAAGCAACAGAGGGAGACGACAGGAGGUGAAGCAACAGAGGGAGACGAAGUGAACAGACUUCAGCCGAAGAGGCGAGCUGUUCGGAUUCAGUGUCCACUACAGAAAAACGUUUCAGCUCCCGCUUGACCUUUCAUAUACCCGUCAUGCGUGGCAAAAAUUUAGACAUCGGCUCGGCUCAUUCCCGCAACUCGCGGCGCGUCGUGACGAGACGUGGCGAGGCGGGCGACGGAGGAGGAGCGCGCGUGGAUGUCCCUCUUGUUCUCAUCCUCAUACAUGUGGAGAAAGAGUCUCCCUUAUAAAGAGGUCCAACUCCCUCUAAACAAGCAAUAUGGGACUAAACUUUAGUUCCACCUCUUGCCUUGCAUGAAUGGGCUGCGUGGGCCUCUAGGAUUUAUUAGGAAUUUCUUAAACUGCUAUUGGGCUAGGCCCAAAAUAGACAAAAUUCCAGCAAUCCCCCACCAGAUCCCAGAGGCACACAAAAUUUGCCUUUGGUUCCAAAACACUGUUUUAUAUACCGGUACUACAGUGGAAAUUGUUAAGUUGAACUUCCACCUAGAACUCUAUGCUACACUAGUAAGCAACUUGGACAGUGAACUAUGCCUUGAACUGCAAGUUUUCUGUGAAUCUAGCUUCACAUAAAGCCUUGACCGAUACGUGGCUACCGUGGGUCUUCCCCGCCGGUGGAGCUUAUGCGUCAUACUCCAAGACCUUUCAUGAGUUUACUAGAGAGAACCUGACUCUCAUAGAUUGCGACGUUUAACAAUCAGACUCAUAUAGGUGCGUUCUUCAAAAGAUAUUUUGCAGGACGACAUCUCUGCUUCAAUGAGCCACUUAGAACAUAUUAGGAUAUAAAUCAAUCUGCCAUGCAGAUUACGAGAGUAUUGCAUCUUCAUGGAGUGGUAUUAAUAGUAAGGAUACUCUCCUCUCAGUUGACCAAUAGCUUGUCUUCCACAUCUAAUUCACGGGAUCUUCGAUCACAAAGAAUAGGUUACCACUGUGAACAACUUAUAUUGUAGGUCUCAUACCCAUCUCCCUUGAUGCAUUAUCUAUCACAUUACGUGAUAGACCCUUAGUAAAAGAAUCUGCCGGAUUCUUAGACGUUUGGAUAUAAUCCAAUGCAAUAACUCUGGGGUUUUUCAUUUUCCUGAUAGACUUUAACCUUCUUUGAAUGUGUCUUGAUGACUUCAUGUUAUCCUUUGAGCUGCUCACUUUCGUGAUCACAGUUUGAUUGUCAUAGUUCAUAAGGACACCCGUUACAGGUUUCUCAACAACCGACAAGUCAUUCAAGAGCCGGUGAAGCCAAUCUGCUUCGACCGUAGCUGUAUCUAGUGUUGUGAGUUCUGUUUCCAUUGUUGACCUCGUUAAGAUGGUCUGCUUGCAAGACUUCCAAAAAACAGCGCCACCUCCAUGAGUGAAUACAUAUCCGCUCGUGGCCUUUAUCUCAUCAGCAUUUGAGAUCCAGUUUGAGUCACUAUAUGCUUCAAGCACCUUUGGGUGCCCAGUGUAGUGAAUUCCAUAAUUCGCAGUGCCUUUCAAAUAAUGUAAGACUCUCUCUAGAGCUUUCCAAUGCACAUCUCUUGGUUUUGAGACAAACCAACUUAGUUUGCUAAAAGCAAAAGAGAUGUCAGGUCUUCUAGCACUGGCUAAGUACAUGAGCGAGCCAAUAAUCCGAGAAUACUUCAAUUGAUCUCUAGCAAUUCUUCGAUUCUUUUGAAGCAGCACACUAGCAUCAUAUGGUGUUGGAGAGGGCUUGCAGUCACUUUAGCCAAAGCGACUCAAGAUCGUUUCCACAUAGUGAGAUUGAAGCAAUGUAAUCCCACCGUCAUCAUCUCUCAACAACUUGAUGUUCAGAAUGACAUCAGCCACUCAUAAAUCCUUCAUCUCAAAACAACGAGAUAGGAAAUCCUUGACCUCCUUAAUAACAUUCAGAUUUGUUCCGAAAAUCAAUAUAUCGUCAACAUACAAGCAAAGGAUAACUCCCUCGCCCCCACCAUGGUGAUAGUACACACAUUUGUCAGCUUGGUUUACAACAAAGCCAACAGCUGACAAAUGUGUGUACUAUCACCAUGGUGGGGUCAAGGAUAACUCGCCUCCACCAUGGCGAUAGUACACACAUUUGUCAGCUUGGUUUACAACAAUGUGAGGUCAAGGAUAACUCCCUCCUUAAAGUUCUUUCAAACUUCUCAUGCCACUAUUUGGGUGCUUGCUUGAGUCCAUACAAAGACUUCAACAACUUGCACACUUUUCCUUCCUGACCAUCUAGUACAAAUCCAUCUGGUUGUUCCAUAUAAAUUUCCUUGUCCAACUCUCCAUUUAGGAAAGCAGUCUUAACAUCCAUUUGAUGAACGAGAAGACCAUGUGAGGCAGCUAGUGAAAGUAGAACUCGAAUAGUGGUCAGUCGAGCCACAGAUGAGUAAGUACCAAGAAGUCUUCAACUUCCUUUUGGGUAUAACCCUUAGCCACGAGCAGAGCCUUGGACUUUUCAAUAGUACCAUCAUUGUUGAGGAAAUCGUUAACUGGUAACUGCUCGGUUGGCUAGCGAGUAGGGGAUUAAUAUGCUAAUCCGCAAGUUAAUCGGCCAUUUAAUCAAUUAAUCGGACGAUUUAUCGGUUUAUCGGCUACUCGAUGACCCUACGAGUAGGGAUUAAUCGGCAAGUUAACUGGUUAAUCGGAUGAAUUCUUGAACAGGGAGUACCAUCAGGCCUAAGUUUCUUCUUGAAUACCCAUUUGCAUCCUAUAGGUUUGCACCCAUAAGGACGAUCAGUUAUCUCCAAGUUUCAUUUGCCAAGAUAGAAUCCAUCUCCCUACGAACCACUUCCUUCCAGUAGUCAGCAUCUUCAGAUGCAUAGGCCUCUAAAAUAGAUCUGGGAGUGUCAUCUAGGAGAUACACAAGAAAAUCAUCACCAAAGGACUUUGCAUUCCUCUGUGUCUUGCUCCUAGUAGGAACUUCAUUGUUCUCCUCCACAGGACUUUCAAAGUGUUCCAUCGAAAUGGCAGGUUCGAUAGUUGUAACUGGUUUCUGAUUCGAUGAACUAGGCAUCUCCUGAUUAGAUGAGGUAGUCAUAUCCUUCAUGGGAAAGAUAUCUUCAGAGAAAGUCGCAUCAUUCGACUCCAUGAUCGUACCGACAUGCAUGUUAGGUACCUCAGAUUUUACAACCAAGAAUCUAUAACCAAUGCUAUGAAAAGCAUAUCCCAGGAAAACACAAUCCACAGUCUUUGGUCCAAGCUUGCGCUUCUUUGGAAUUGGCACGUUGACUUUCACCAAACAACCCCAGGUUGGUAGAUAAGAGAGUUUUAAUCUUUUCUUCUCCCAUUCCUCGAAUGGAGUUAUCUCUUUAUUCCUUGUGGGAACUCGGUUUAGGACGUGGCAUGCAGUCAAUAUCGCCUCCCCCCACCAUGCCUUGGAGAGACCUGAUGUGUCUAACAUGGCGUUAACCAAAUCUGUUAGAGUACGGUUCUUUCUUUCUGCCACCCCAUUUGACUGAGGUCAAUAGGGAGGUGUCCUCUCAUGGAUUAUACCAUGUUCUGCACAAAAAGCAUCAAAUUCAUUGGAAAAAUACUCUCCACCACGGUCGGACCUAAGCCUCUUGAUUUUCUGAUCAAGUUGGUUUUCCACUUUAGCUUUAUAGAUCUUGAAAAAGUUCAAAGCCUCAUCCUUAGAUUUCAGAAGAUACACACGAUAGUAUCUAGUGGAGUCGUCAAUUAACGUCAUGAAAUAUUUCUUUCCACCUUUUGUCAAAACACCAUUCAUUUCACAUAGAUAUGAAUGUAUGAGCUCUAGUGGUGCAAGAUUUCUCGUUUCCGCAGUCGUGUGAGACAUACGAGGUUGCUUAGCUUGCACACAAACUUGACACUUAGAUCCCUUGACAGUGGUGAAAGUAGGGAUUAAGUUCAACUUCGCUAGUCGCGACAUGCAACCAAAGUUAACAUGACAAAGACGUGAAUGCCACACAUUUGAUUCACUAUUGUUGCAAACAUGAUUAACAACUUUAUUGCAAACGUCUGUCAAGGAUAAAUGAAACAGGCCUCCUGACUCAUAGCCUUUACCAACAAAGGUUCCAUACUUGGAUAUUACAAAUUUAUUCGACUCAAAGACAAGUUUAUAGCCAUCUCUACACAGAAGAGAUCCGCUAACAAGAUUUUUAUUGACGGAGGGGACAUAAUCCACGUUCUCCAGCUGCACGAUCUUCCCCGAAGUAAACUUCAGAUCGACCGUGCCAACACCACAAACAGAAGCACUUGAACUGUUGCCCAUCAGCACGAUUGAAGUCCCCGCGGUCUGAUAAGACGAAAACAUGGAAAUAUCACCGCAUAGAUGCACAUUAGCACCCGUGUCAAUCAACCAAUCAGGAGAAUGACAUACUGAAAGAAUAGUGGGAAAUAUACCAUACCCAACAUCCUUCAUUUCAGUGUCUCCAAUGACAACAUUAGCGGUCUUGCCGCCUUUCCCAGGAUGACGCUUAUCAUAGCGAUUAGGGCAACUAGGAGCCCAAUGAUAAGGAUCCCCACACACAUGACAAACACCUUUAUUCUUGUCAUUCUUCUUUUUGAAGUUCGUGUGUUGCAUAGCCUUGUUCUUCCCAUCAAACUUUGCUUUACCAUCAAACUUGCCCUUGUUCUUGAACUUGUGGGACUGGAAGUUCUUCUUCUGUACCAGAUUGGCACUAGAUCCUCCCUCAAUACGUCGAGCACGUGUGUACACCUUUUCUUCCACAUCAAGAGUGCCAAUGAGAUCCGGGACGGAAAACUCCUGUCUCUUAUGCUUCAGUAAGGUAGCAAAGUUCCUCCACGAAGGAGGAAGCUUAGUGAUGAUACCUCCGGCAACAAACUUGUCCGGUAGCAUACAACUGAAGUGCUCAAGUUCUCUAGCAAAUGACUGUAUCUCAUGAGCUUGCUCAACCACGGAGCGCUCGUCAGUCAUCCUGUAAUCAUAUAAUUGCUCCAUGAUGUACAGCUCAGUGUCAGCAUCCGAGACCCCAAACUUGGCCUCGAGUGCACCCCGCAUAUCUUUUCCAUUAUCAAUUGACGCAUAAGCAUCAACUAUGUUCUCACCAAGAACACUCAAGAGAGCAGCCUUAAACAGAGUAUCCAUUUUCUGAAAAGCUUGUGCCUGUUGAGCAUCAAGCUCUCCUUCAGAUUUGCCAAGAGUGGCGUCAUAGCAACUCAUUUUUUGAAACUAUAAGACUGCUACCACGCACCACCUCUUAUAGUGGAUACCCUCAAACAUAGUAGGUCUCAUGGAAGCAACAAAACCACUCGGGGUAAAUUGCCUAUAAUAAGGUUUUUGGAUUGUUGUAAAUAUGAGCAAUUUAUCGAAUGAUUUUAUUGACAGAAAUACUAGAUAAAGCAUGACUAAUAUAGCAGAGAUAAAACAAGUCAUGCAAUUCGAUAGAGAGAAGGUAAAUAGCAUCUGUAUAUAUGAAUUAGAACCGAACACAUCUAGAACAGACACUAGAAUAAGAAGUUGUGACAGAACCUCUAACAGAAAGAGUAUGGGAACGUACGGAACGGGAGCAGAUGCACCGGUCUUGGGGUCGGUGUCCUUUCCAGCCAUGUCGUCGAGGAGGUUGUCGACGUCGGGGAAGAAGUCGUCGUUGGCGAAGUAGUCGUCGGAGUCCGGGGUGUCCGUGAUGAAGAAGUCGGUAGUCGCGCUGAGCGCUCCCCAAAAAUCUUAUCACCCUUCUCCCGUACAGGACUCAAAAGGUGUGGUUUCAGAGGCCUACUAUCCCGACCUGCGGUGCACGCCGCAAGUCGGGAUGGGGAAGAUCGUAGCAGCAGCGCAGUGCUCAGGAGAGGAGCGACCUCAUCUUUAGGCGGUAUACCAAAAGAAAGUGAAUAUCAACCACUAGUCAUCUGUAUGGGGAUGAUGGUGGGUAGGGUAGUAGUAAAUAUGGGGGGUGGGGGAGGGGAAUCCCGGGAGAAAGCAAUACAUUUGAUUCAUACUUGUGGUGUCAUGAAUACUAGAUGACACAUGACCUCUUCUCAAGCUUGAUAAAAAAAUCGUGGAGAUUAUCUUGAUCAAUUUAUGUUGCAAGACAUGUGGACAGGAAUAAAGAAUCUUCUGCUUGCUUUUGCAGAGAGACAUCAUGGAGACGAUUGGCAUGUACGCUACCAAAUGAUUGUAGGGAUUUGUCAAGGGCUGCACUAUCUGCAUGAGAAAUACAUUAAUCACUUGGAUUUGAAACCUGAAAAUGUUUUGUUGGAUGCUGAUAUGAAGCCAAAAGUUACAGAUUUUGGUUUGUCAAGAUGCCUAGAUCAAGGACAAUCUAUUAUUACACAAAACAUACUUGGAACACCGUAAGUUAAGGCGGUCUCCUGACAAUCCCUGGUCAUUAGCUUUUUUCAUGCAGUGAUACUUGAAAUGAACUAACACACUACCGAUGCAGGCGGUAUAUUGCACCAGAAAUCAUAGACAAAGGAGAAAUAUCAUUUAAGUCUGACAUUUACGCUUUUGGUAUUAUUACCAUAGAAUUAUUAACAGGGAUCAGCAAAGCAAAUCUUGACAAUGUAAGGAUGAUUUAACUUUGCCUUCUAGUUGGCUUUUUUUAACUAUGUCAAAAUUUUACUUAUUCAUACUACAGUUAUAUACAAAUUUGUAGUAAAUUUUAUUUUUGACCACCUGGUUGUGACUUUCUAACAACUUCUAUCACAUUUUUAAAAUAUUUAGUCCACACCCUGUGUAUUGUGAGAAACUAUUUUACUAAAACAAGUCAAGUGGGACCAAGCUUUUUAGCUUUGAUAAUCCUUCUUACUACUUUAGUUUUGUAUUUAAGGUAACCCUCAUUUAGUGUCUUUUGAGAGAAAAGUUAUGAGAUAUGGUUGCUCUACCAUCUAUCCUCAUUAAAUAUGGUGUCACAUCAGUAUUUUUACCUAUGAAACCGUGGUAAGAUACUACUCCCUCCAUCGGUAUAUAUAGUGGUCAAGUGAAAGUGAAUAUGGCAUAUUUUCUUGAUGUCGUACUAUUUGGGAAAGUGCUACCAUCAUUCCGUCAUGUUUAAACCUGAUUUGCAGUGGGAUAAAUUAUUAGACAUGGACUGUCCACGAAUGAGGAGGUGCAUUGAAAUCGCUCGAAAGUGCACCGACCCUGACAAACGCGAAAGACCCACCGCACGUGAAGUAAUCCGUGACCUGGACGAGCUGGAGAGCAUGGUUCCAUGGUCCUCCAUGAACCAGGUAUGUAAUUAAGAUUGACCUGGGCGAGCUGUUUAAGAAUUCUUCACGUUCAGUUCACACUUCACACAUGCAUCCCUGGCCGCGCAGUCAACCAGGGAAUGUAUCUAGUGCACCGGGGCAAUCGGUGCUGCCGGUGCACCGAUCCCCCGUUACACAUUCAAAAAUGUUUAAAAAAAAUCCAUAAAAUUUUACGGCAUUGGCACAACAUCAAUGUAUGUUGUCCUAAAAAUUCAAACCAAAAUUUGAAACAUUGCUCGAGAUACAAAAUGAUAAAUUUGACACUGAAUAGUACAUAACACAGGUUGGGCUUCAGUUUUGGCCCAUUAGCAUAUUUAUGUCAAAUUUGUCAUUUUUGUAUCUUGAGUGAUGUUUUGAAUUUUGAUUCAAAUUUUUGUGACAACUUAUAUUGAUGUUGUGUCAAUGCACUAAUUUUUUUUCGAACAUUUUUGAGUGUGCAACGGAGUCCGGUGCACCGGUAGCACAAAUUGCCCCGGUUCACCCGAUACAUUCCCCAGUCAACCAAGAUGUAUAAACGCAGGUCACCCCCACUGUUGUCCCUGGAAAUGAGGUACUCGAUGUGUACCCGCUGGAGCUCAGGUUUCCCUUCGUGCCAAACAAGGAGAUGCGUUGCCACUUGACCACGACCACCAAGACAGAUUGUUUUGUCUUCUGUAUGCUCGUACCUGGAGUUCCGGAUAGAUACUCGGGUGACUUGGUAGGCAUUGUACCUGGAAUGUGCACUUCCGUUACCCCAGUAGUAAGGCAGGCGGAAGAGGAGCUUCCCUCAGGCACGGACGAGUUGGAGGUACUGUUCUGGCUCACAGGGUGCAAUGAUCCCGACAAACUCGCACUUCAGCUAUCAGCAUUAUCAGUGUACCCUGGUUCGCCCUCUCAAUAUGAAUUAAAGGCGGCAUUCCAUGAGCUUGGGUGGGAGCUACACCGGACGACGUUGACAGCGGUCGUCGUCGCCCCCGAGGAUGAUGAUCUAGCUGUGAGUAUAUGCCAUGCAUGCAUAUGUUGCUAUCUUAUUAGCUAGAUUUUAUUAAGUAUUAUUUAAUUAUUAAUUAUGUCAUUAUAUCAGCUAGUGGUGAAUACUCCGUGCAAAGAAGAAGAAUUUUUUUAUUCUAUCGAUUGCAUGGAUGUGCAUCCUACGGAGCCCUGGUGAGUAAUUGUUCUACCUACGUGGAAUAUACAUAUACUUCACNNNNNNNNNNNNNNNNNNNNNNNNNNNNNNNNNNNNNNNNNNNNNNNNNNNNNNNNNNNNNNNNNNNNNNNNNNNNNNNNNNNNNNNNNNNNNNNNNNNNNNNNNNNNNNNNNNNNNNNNNNNNNNNNNNNNNNNNNNNNNNNNNNNNNNNNNNNNNNNNNNNNNNNNNNNNNNNNNNNNNNNNNNNNNNNNNNNNNNNNNNNNNNNNNNNNNNNNNNNNNNNNNNNNNNNNNNNNNNNNNNNNNNNNNNNNNNNNNNNNNNNNNNNNNNNNNNNNNNNNNNNNNCGUAUUUUUAGAUCCUCAAGUUGACAAUUUUAUAAAAAGUAAUCUCAAAUUGACCAAUAAAACAUGGAUUAUGUCAUAAAAAAUAUAUUAUCGAAUUUAUAUUUGAAAUAAUGGUAUAAAUUUUAUGUCGUAACCUAUAUUUCGUAUUGAAUAUUUUACCAUUCUUUGGAACUAGCAUUUGUGAGGGCACCAUCUUUAAUUUGUUGUGCUUUGUAAAAUAAAUUUAUUUUUAUAUAGACUCCAAAAACAUGAAAUUUCAAAUUACUUGGUUCUAUAGCCACCGUGAAGUUAUGUUAGGUAAAAUAUCAACUAUGGUCAAAAGAAUCUAGCGAUACCACCAAAUUCUUCCAAUAAAUUAGUUGCGUCGUCAUAUGUUCGGAUAAUAUUUUUAUUCACAUGACUAACAAAGCAGAGGAAAAAAAACUACGAUUGCAGCACAUGCAAUUAAUCUUAAAGAAUUCAAAACGAAUAUCAAACACAAAUGUGUAUUUGAUUACUUCAUGUGCCGGAAACACAUAUGAACUCAUGAGCUGAAAUGUGUUUUCCAAAAUGCUUGACUCAGAGGAAACUUUCCCCUUAAGUUAAUAAUAGUGAUAAAAAUAAUAAUUCUUAAGAUUCAAGUCCUAUGUAUUGGACAAUCUCAAUAGAAAACUUUUGUCGGAACAAAUAUUGUUCAAAACACUUUUGAUAUUACCCUCGUUACAAGUCCACUUAUAUAUACGGUGGCGCUAAAGUGAGCCUGAGCGCAAAAGCGCUAAUCCUACGCUCCAGCCAGUGCCACUCAACCGAACCAACUAAUCAUUUUCCACCUCCUAGUAAAAUCCUUCACACAAAAAAGUAACGAGAUUAAAUUUGUUACCGGGUGCAUGUACCUCUCUCCAUGUCAAGCCGUACAAGCUAUUUACGUGAUGCCUUCUAGUAAAAUCCUUGUCAAACAUAGUCAAAUGAAUAAAUUCGUUACCGAAUGCAUGCACAGUACCCCACCCCGCCCCGUGCUACUUAUUCACCGUAAUAACUUGUAGUAAAAUCCCUGGCAAAUAUAGUAACGAAAUAAAAUACUUUGCCAACUGCAUGCAUCAAUACUCAUUCCCACCACUUACUAGCUAUUCAAUUAAUUAUUCCUAGUAAAAUCCUUCACAAACAUAGUAAUAGAAUUAUUAGUUUUACUGUCACUAUGCACCAAACCCACCACGCUCACACUAGCUAUUCAUCCUAAUGCCUCCUACUAAAAUCCCUGUAAAACGUAGUAACUAAAUUUUUACAAAAUUUACUAGAAGCAUGCACCGGGUUUUCCAUUACUGCAAUCUCUUUCCUAGUUACGCUCAAAUUUAAAGAUUUAAUUUGGUUACUAGCUGCAGCAAUGUUCACAUGGUAAUCAAACCUAGAAAAUACAGUAACUGGUUUAAGUUUGUUACUGGAUGCGUGCAACAGAUAAUUGCAUCGCCAACAUCUUCCUUUACUAUAUGCAUCACGGAACUAAACAUGGUAAUAAACCUUGAAAAUAUAGUAACUGCUUUAAUUUUUUACUAGAUGCAUACAGUGGUUCACCGGCUCGCCACCAUUUUACUUUGCUACUAUAUGAGUGACUCAAAGUACACAUAGUAAUCAACCAUGUAAGAGAUAGUAACACAAUUAAUUUGGUUACUGGCCGCAUGCAGCAGUUCACCGCCCACAAUCAUUUUCUUUUACUAGUAGUAACGAAUCAUGCAAAACACAGUAACAUAAUUAAUUUUUUUACUGGUCGCAUGCAACAGUUCACUGCCCAUCCUUUCGUAGGCUACGGGGCGGAGAGAUGUGCAUGGAAGGUAGUAACCUGUCGCCCAACGUCCUGAUUCAUAGGUCAUUAAUUGUUUGUAGUAAUAUACUCCCCCCGUCUCAAAAUUCUUGUCUUAGAUUUAUCUAGAUAUGGAUGUAUCUAACACUAAAACUUAACUAGAUACAUUCAUAUUUAGACAAAUUUAAGACAAGAAUUUUGGGACGAAGGGAAUAGAUAGAAGAGAUGGUAAUGGAUGAUAAUUGUUUACCAAGCAAUAAGAUGGUUCGAUUCCUUGGCCUGGUAAACAUAGUAAAUCCAUUCCAUUAUGUAGUAAUGAAUUACUACAUGCUACUAAUUGUUAGCAGUAAAAAUGGUGGAGUGGAUGGUAAUAAUGAAACAAAUUGUUUUACCAACGAACAAAUUAGACUACCCAUAGUGGGAGUAACAUAUCUAGAUAAAAUAGAUGGUGUGGCAAACAAUUAAUAAAGAAAGAGAGGCAUGUAGUAACAUAGCUAGCGAAAGUGCUAUUGUGAGCUCGAGCUCACAGGCACCCUUUGCUACAGUACAAACAAAAAAAUAUUUAAAAAGUUCAAAAAAAUCUGAAUUUUUUUGGCAACAAACAUUGACAUAUUUUUCACAUGCGUACAAAUUUUCAUGACAAAAUGACAUUCAUGCAGGUCUCAGCAAAAAAAAACAAAAUCGAUGCUCCAAAAUGCUUCCAAAAACAGUUUUUUUGGAGCAUGAUUUUGUUUUUUUUGCUGACACCUCCACAAAUGUCAUUUCAUCACGAAAAUUGGCACGCAUGUAGAAAAAACAUCAAAGUUUCUUGACAAAAAAAUUCAGAUUUUUUUGAAUUUUUUUACUAUUUUUUCGGAUUUUACUGUUCAUCCGGGAUCACUGGUGCCCGGGAUCAAUUCCUCCGCGUCCCAUAGCUAGUUACUAGUCCUAUGAGUAACAUCACACAUACCAAGACUAGAUGAGUCUAUAACCUAAUAAAUGAAGUGUUGCAUGACACUACACAUAUGUUACUACUCAUUGUAGGUAGUAACAUAGACUAAUAACAUAUGUAUGUUACUAGUCUAAGUUACUCUCUACUGUGGCUAGUCAGAGAUGCUUCAAUCCUGGCGUGCAUGGUAAACGUAGUAAAACUAGGCUCCUAUGUAGUAACGCAUUACUGCAUGUGCCUAUUGUUGAAACAUACACGACCCUGCUCUCUUAACGCAUUACUUCAUUCUAUUAUGUAGUAACAAAUUACUACAUGCUCAUUAAUUGCUAGCAGUAAAAAGGAGUAAAUUGUUUUACCAACGAACGAAUUACAGAUGCUUCAAUCCUAAUGCAUGGUAAAUGUAUUACUGCUAAGAGUAACGCAUGGACCAGAAUGUAGUAAUUAUUUUUCAUGAAGAAAUGGGAACUGGCAAAGCGAGUUGACCAGUAUUGCGUCGGUUGUGUAUAAUGCCUCUGAAAUGUGUAUGCUAAGUUAGCGCGUAUUCUGGCCGGUUGGAUCGAACUGGCCGGAGCGUACGCUAAGAAGGAAUGUGCACAAGCUGUGUGUGUGUGUGUGUGUGUGUGUGUGUAGAACAUACCACAUACAACCACCUUUGUUAAAAAUGCAUGAAAAUAUCUAUGAUUUGGUUCCCGCCCUUGAGUCAGAAGACAAACGUAAACUAAAUAAGCUCGACUUGGGUUGAUCUAAUGGGAUCUGCUGAACGCAGUUUACAACCAAUAGCACUAUAAAGUGUCCACCCAAUCCCACCACAUAAAAAUCCUAUUUAUAUAGAACAAUGAGACUGCAAAAGUGAUCAACUAUGAAGCGUGCCGUAUAGAGCGAGCAAAUCUGACAACAACGGUGUUAUCAACGCGAUAAUUGAGGUAGCAACCAACAUUGGCCAUAGGAAGUGAAUCAGCGUCAUGCAUCCUCUUCAAAUAUUUAUUUUAGUCUUGAAAUGCAACAAUAAGAAAGAAUAAUAAAAAGAGAAGGGGUUUGAGCAGGAGCAAUUGGAACUGACCCAUAUGUAUCCAUGCAAUAAUUCUAAACUGUCAUUCUUGGUGAUGCUAACGAUGGUGGUGUUUCCAUCCAUGCAGAAAUCAUUCUAAUGCCAAAAAUAAAAGGUGUGUGGAUUCCAAAUUAACCAUGUGAGGAAACAAACAAAAACAAUAAAUUAAUUACAAAGUUUUCCCUAUACAUUUGUGCACAUGAUUUUGGUUCCACCUUUAGAUAAAUAUUUUUUCUUUUAAAAAACUGGUUUUUAUGAUUUACUAAUUUAUCAAAUUUUAGUGUUGACAGACGAACAAAUCAAAUGAAGCAGAUAGAAAUUUACCUUCAUAGAAGGAAAAAUUAAAAAAAAAACAGAAUCAAAAACGGUGUACCGAUUUGUUAAAUUUCAGAGCUGCCAUUUAGAAAGAACAAACCAAAUGAAGCACCUAGAAAUGGCUAACUCAAAUUACCUUCUUACAAAGAAGACUGAAACCGUUUGCACAUUUCACGAUGAUAGCACACAUUAAGUUUCCUAAUUCCUCAAAGUCUAAAACCAAUGAGCAUAGCAGAAACAAUUACAAAUUUCUUCCCCUAAUUUUGAACCUGAUUUAAUGCUUGCCUAGGUAUAAAGUUGCACAAAUUAAUUAAUAGCGGCAACAAACCGGUACACCUUCUAUAUCCUCUCAGAUAAAUGGUAGAUUCCCACAUUGAUCCGUGCCGCUUCUAGCCUUACAUCUAUAAAAUAGAUCACUUUUAUUGAGUCUGCUGCCUUUUUGGUUGUCCACUUGGAUUUUUUUUCUUACAGAACCUUGGGGACCGUGAUAAGAUUUGAAGAUCACUAAGACUUGAUUCUGCAUUAUUUGAUUUAUAAGAUUGUACAUAGGAAUGAUAAAUCACGCUUAUAAUAUCACAACAAAAAAAGGUCAACGAUGACAUGAAUCCGGUAGAAAGGGAUAGCAAGCUGAAGCUAUUUAAAUAUGUUGUCAAAAUAAAUUUUGUAUAUGUAAUGCAUGAAGCCACGAACAACCUCCACGUAAAACUACGACAAUUAGAUAUACAUGAGUGACCACUUAAUUGAUAUUUGAAAUUAUUGUGAUGUUAAUUUCAUGGCCCCGUGAAAGUAUGAAAACCUUAAUUUGCCUAUAAAACAUUUGGGUAUAUACAUAAUAAUCUUGGGCAGGUAGCAACCCUAGUACGUGGGAGCAACUUGGAAGAGCUUUUCUUCCUUGUUCAUAUGUAGUGGUCUCACAAUUUACUGAGGGUCUAAAAAAUCGUAAAACAAAACUGCAAUAAAAUAUCUACCACCACCUGACUAACUUUCCACAACUGAUUUACAUAUAAAGUGGACCAGCCGAGGGCACAAAAGCGAGUUAUGCGGCGGCAUUGAGAAAUUAUAGAGAUUGUGUGAUACAUACCUAGCAGUCUACAAUUGAUCUUGAAGAGUUUGCAUGAGGCACGCCGUGCAUGCGCAGCAACUAGGAGACGAUCUUGUGCAUGCAUUGGGAGGAUUGAUUGAUCUAGGAGGGUUGCAUGCUGUACGCACAUGCGUGGGGUCCAAGAUUCAGACCUGAAACAAUCUUUUGUACGGGCACUGGGAGGAGGUCGACCAUCCUAGGAGAAGCAAAUACUGCGGCCGGCGGCCGGCGGCGACAUGUGACGAUCAGGAUUGCCUGGUAUGAGGGAGCGCGAGAAUUCCAAGGGCAACAUAGGUGCUCUACGGCAGAACCGCAGCCUUGGGAGGGUUGGACUUAUUAGAGCAAAUACAGCCGCGUCCCCAAGAGCCCCCCGGGCCAUUUUUUAGGGCCGACGCCGAAAAAAUGGCCCAACCGCGUCCCCAGAAGCCCAAUUUUCGUCGGAUCGGGCAGAAACUGGCGCCGGCGGAUUCAGACCGAACCCGGCGCAUGGGGCGCCCAGGGGCGCCGGGGGAAUUAAUUUUCGCGCAAAGGAACGGAGGGCCCGCCGAGUCAGCGACCCCCACGCAACGUCGUCCUCAUCGCCUUGGUUUCCCGCGGGGAAUCCAUGCCAAGGCUGCCGCCGGUCAGCCUUCUAUUGAUUCCUCCCGGGCGGGCAGAGCGGCGACACGCCCCCUCCUGCCCACGCGUACACACGUUUGCGGCCCUCCGACGCUAUAAAAGCCGCCCCCCUCCCUGGCCGGUGGACGCACCCGCCCGCAGCACCAUCCUCUCUCGCCGCUGACGCCCUCUCUUCCCCUCUCUCCCCGUCUAGCCAUCGCGUGCACGCUGUCGAUGGGUGAACGGUUGCCCGGCAAUGGGGCUGCGGCCAACGGCUUCGGCCGCCGUUCUCAGCACGAGUCGGAAGCCCACCUCCUCCACGAAGCGAAUUACCCGGCGCCGUCGGNNNNNNNNNNNNNNNNNNNNNNNNNNNNNNNNNNNNNNNNNNNNNNNNNNNNNNNNNNNNNNNNNNNNNNNNNNNNNNNNNNNNNNNNNNNNNNNNNNNNNNNNNNNNNNNNNNNNNNNNNNNNNNNNNNNNNNNNNNNNNNNNNNNNNNNNNNNNNNNNNNNNNNNNNNNNNNNNNNNNNNNNNNNNNNNNNNNNNNNNNNNNNNNNNNNNNNNNGCAACCCGGCAUCGAACACCCCGGCUACUUCCACGCCGAGAUCUACCGGGUUCAUGCCUCGCUGACGGAGGAGGAGCGAGACCACCCGGAGUACUUCACCGACGACCACGCGGACUGGGUGGCGUACUUCCAACACCGGCAGCAGGAGCGGCUCGCCUCCAGCAACAACACGCCAGUGGUACGGGGCGUAACAACAGUGACGGUCACCGCCUGUGGUGGGGCGCCCCCGGCCACACGCUCCACGCCGUUCUCGAGUUCCUCGAGCGCGGCAACGAUCUGCCGCUCGAGUACCUGGCGGCCCCGGCCCCCCGCCGGAGUUGUGGCCCAUGGCUACCGGGGCAUAUGCUGGGUGGGUCUUCCUCCUCCUCCUCCUCCUCUCAAUCCUCCUCCCACUCCUCCGGAUCGCCGACGCUCUUCAGCGUCAAGGCCGAGCCCGUGGAAAAGCCACUCGACUGGCGCACCCACGGCGCCGCCCUCGUCAUCAACGAGGGCGGCCGCACCUCCUCAUGUCCUGCCCCCCGCCUUGUUGGGCCGAGGACGGAGCCGGGGCUCGGCCCCGUGAAGACCAGGCACGACGACAAGGCCGCCAUGAAGUGGGCGCGGGAGGACUGGGCGCGGCUGAAGAUGGAGCGCCGGCGCCGCGCCCUAGAGGACAUCGCCGCUCGACGCCGUGGCCGCGACGAGGGAGGCGCCGUCGUCCUCGACGACAGCGACGACGAGGCGCCGCCGCCGGCCAAACCAGUCCGCCCGGGCGACCCCGGAUAGGGGUCCGGUAGGGACGGCCGCGGCGUGAAGGAGGAGAAGGAGGACGAAGGUGGCGGCGACUUCGGCGUGUUCAGCCAAUUCUUCAGCAUGUAGGCGCGGCAACAGCAAUAUUUUCUUCUUUUUAGUUGACUUUAAGUUUCUAUAUGUAAAAAAACCUGUGGAACGCCUAAAUAUCGCAGAAUCUUUGUCGUGUUUGCCGAAUUUUGGCCGAGUAUGUUUUUGAAAAUAUUUUCAAAAAAACGGCGUCUGGGGGCGGCGGCUGGGAAGCUGAUCACCCCCAUGCUUUUUUCUAGCCCCUAGGGGGUGAACGGCUGGAGAUGCUCUUAGGGUGACGGCCUUGGGAGGGUUGAACGUAGGAGGGCGACGGCCGAACCGCAACCUUGGGACGGUUGGAAGAGCUACGAAGAUCUUGGUUGCUUUUGUCCUUUUUUUUCUUUCUUCAAGUAAAAAAUACGAUCUGGUUGUAGAAUAGGAGAGAGACAUGGUGGUGAAAAACUGCUUUAGUGGCAUUGGUGGGUAAUUUCUUUUCAAUAGAUCCAUAUCUAUUGGUUGUCAUUUUUGUAGACAUUAAAUUGACGGCCAGAUGUUUCUGAUUAACGUAGGAUUUUCUAGAAAAAUCCUCUAUUUUUGACCCGUGUAUUCUUUUAGUAGAUAAUAGAUAACUCAAUCCAUAUGGAGUAGAAAAUAAUAACAAUAGAGCUAGUAAUACUAAUCAUGCGAUUGCAUACUAGCGUAGAACCAACAGAUCUUUGAACUUGACGUGUACAACAAGCACAUAAAGCAAGAGAGAAUGAAUAUAUCAUACCCUCUAGUCGGGGAGGAAUGGACAAAUGUGGCCUUUUUGGUCGCAUUGUAGUUGUCGCCCAUGCUGAGGUCAGCAAUGUCAUGGACGUAGUUGAAGUUGUUGAAGCUGAUGGACGAGGCGAGUAGUCAUGGCGAUACGCUUCCCAAAAAUUGAAUUUCCUUCAAGGGUGCUGUUUAGGAAGCCUUUCUUCCGUACAACUCUUAGUUAAUAAAAAGAAUUAUUCAUUCCAGCUGACAAAAAUAAAGAGUUGUUUCAAAGACUACCUCUCCCAUACAACUCAUAAUUAAUUGGAAAUUAUUUAACCAUUCAAAGUGGAAAAAAGUCGCACAUACGGCAUUGGUCUUUGCCCGGCUAACCUCGUUCCCGAAGCACGCCGCACCAUGAGGGGCGCUCGCGUAUCACUCCUCUUCUCUUGCUCCAACAGACGCAUCAUCCAUUUUGAACAAGCGCAUCAUAGAUUUUAGGUUCCUUAUGAUGGAACCGGCCCACCCAGGCUGAAGUCCUAGACUUGCAUGGGUGCUCGCAUAUUUUCUAGAUGCGUUUCAGGCUGCUGCCGACUAUUCUUUCGGUGCUAUGACUUGUCCGUCGACUAUAGGAUGCUUUUGAUGAAUUUUUAAUUUCAAGAUUUGUUGCUCGGUCUCUCUAUCACAGAUGCUCAUAGUGAUAAGGUGCACGUGUAUGUUCAUAGGUUAGAGUGUGCUCUCAUGUUGUGAGCGCCUUCGUCUGUACAAUUUUUUCUUUUUCAAAAAAAUUAUCCACUUCCUAUGUAAGACGGGACUCUCAUUCACAUGAUGACACCAUACAUGGUUCUAUGAGAUUUGUCCACAAAAUAAAAUGAUAUAUGGGCUGAAAGCUGAUGUAUAUUUUCACAUUAUUUUGACCAAAUUCUAUCCAAAAAAUAUGUGUAGGCCUUAUGAACACGAACUGAAAAAGUAUGGUAAUAGUUUCUCGUUAACUAAAUUUUCUAUUAACUGUCACAGGGUUGCAAUCUUUGCUAAAAAUAGAAAGGGUGUUUACCUUUGGAACUGGCAGACCAAUGAGAAAAUAGGAGAAUGUAACUCUGGUGUUGAUAUAUUGGGAUCUGAUUGUGAUGGAGAGAUGCUCGUGACCAAAUUUAUCUCUAGAAAGCAAUGGGUCGUAAUCGGGAACUCAGACGGGUUUAUCCUUGUGUGCACGUGUCCUUCAAUGGACCAAGUCACACAUUUCAAAGCUCACCGUGAUAGUCUCGGUUUAUUGGCAGUUCACCCAACUCGCCCGUUCCUGUUGUCGUGUAACAACAUGAAGAUGAAGAUUUGGGACUGGAACCGUGGCUGGUCUUGUAUUGGAAAAAUUCAUAGCACUAGCCGGGUGACACAAGUCAUGUUUAACCCCAGGAAUACUAACGAUUUCGCUACUCACCAUCAUGAUGGGAUUGUCAAGGUUUGUCUUCCUUAUCAACCUUUUCAUUCUUCAUUUACUCGCUUGUAUUAUACUGUAAUGAAUAAUCUAACUCAUUAGUUGUCCUUGUCCCGGGUAUCAUAAAUAAUAUAGAUGUGGAGAAUUGAUCAUCCCGACCCCGUCGGCACAACGCACCGCCUACAUGACAUGUAUGAGACUGCUAGCAGCUCUUUCACUUACACGGGUGAUCGGUAUUUCAUUGCUGCCAUCCACAACAGCAAGAAUGUUGCGCUGACCGUAAGGGCAUUGAUACCACUGACCGUAUAGAACACGUGGACUAAAACACACACGUCACUAAUCUGUGUACAUCUUUUUCCCCCCUUUUUUGUUGGGUUGAACCAGAUAUGGGAUUUGCAGAAAGAAGAACAUGUCUACACACUCACCACUGACGAGGUGACUGCUGCCGCCGUUUGCCAUCCAACACUUCCAGUAUUAGUUACGGUUUCAAAUGGCGGGACUAUUCAUGUGUGGGACUCCACUACCUACAGGUAUGUAAUACUACUCGUACAUCUGGUUUUAUUUAUUUAGUUUUCAAAACAACACUGAUCCACGAAUUCAGUUCAGACUAUUUUCCAGUACUACUAGACUUGAUCUCCCUAUAUGUCCCUUGGUGUGGAAAUAUAUCUUGCUAUCCCAUGUAUCUAAUUGUGAUAUAACAUUCUGGGCAUUAAGGUUAGGGUCGUUUCCUUAAGAAACAUUCAGUACAGCCUGAAGCACGUACACACACUCGUAUCUUUUUCCAACCGGGCCACCACCCCUUUCCAUUAGCACACACUCACUCAUAUAGUGUAACUACAACAUAUAUAUGAUAUAUUAUGAUGCUAGAAGAUGCAACUAACCAUGGACUUCUGACGUUUACAGGCUUAAGAAGGUCUAUGAGAAUUGUCCAAAGGACCCUAUUCAUAUCGGUUUUACAGGCUCAGAAAGGUAACCGAAUUUCUCAUCAAGUUUUUACCUGCUUAAUAUCAUGGCUUCUAUGAAAUAAUAAAUCUGUAUGUACACAUAAGGGGACACUAAGACUAAGUUGGACAAAACAAAUUUUACAUUAAUUGGAUAUGUACUAUCUUUUCCAAGGUUUUUGUCUGAAUGUGUUGUGUUCCACAAACCAGGAAUUUCGCAGUAUCAUUCCCAUGAAUCUAUGAAAGUUCUUGUAUCAUGGAAACAGUCUCUACGCAGGUGUAACUUAGAUAUGUAGAAUUACUGAAUGGUCCUUAGUAAAUCAUAGAGUAGGAUCGUGGCAAUUAUAUAUAGCUAGCCUUUUAGUUUUCGCUGCCUGUAUUAUGUCUGCAGUACUAAAUUUUGCCUUUUCUCAAACAUUUAAUCCGGAAUGUCUCAAUCAUGUAGGCUUGUGAUUGGACAUAGCAAGGGAAUAUCAGUAUUGGAUAUUGAUCUGGAAUAGGAGGUGGAUCUCAGUGAUGCCUGCACAGAGUGUAGUGUUCCGGUUAUAUAUCUCUUUGAAUUAGCUCUCAUCAAUUCAAAUUCAAAAUUUCAGUUUAUAUGUAAGUUUAUUUGCCGCAACAGGCUGACCUAAUUCCCUAUGUAACUGCUCUGCCUCUGGAUUGAAUUACAAUUACACCAUCAUUUUGGUCGACGUAUACUGUAACUCACUGAUAUUGUGAUGAUUGCAUCCAUAAAUUGCUGCACAUUCAUUCCGUAUGCAUUUAUAUUUUGUCAGUUCUAGUACUCCCUCCAUUCCAAAAUAUAGUGCGCCCGCGCUUUCCGAGGUCCAACUUUGACCGUAAAUUUAACCAACUAGACCAACUGCGGCGGGAGAAAAAAUUAUAUAAUUGAAAACUUCUUUCGAAUACGAAUUCACUGAUAUAAUUUUUGCUCCCGCCGCAAUCGGUCUUGAUAGUUAAAUUUACGGUCAAAAUUGAAGCACGUGGAUAGAGGAAGCACUAUAUUGUGGAAUGAAGGGAGUAUCAAAUAGGGGCGGCACUGCGCAUCUGCUUUUUCUUUUGCCAGUGGCAUCGCUACUAGCUGUGGAACAGCACUUUGCUCGUCAAGCGGCCUCCCUGCUGACAUGAAAAGUUGAAGGAUCAUCCCUCUGCAGUUUGGCCGUCCACAUCUCCAUCCCCAUGUACUAGUACUGAAGGGGCCGCACACAGGUAAGGUAUACUCCACCCCUGUCGCCAGGCCUUUAGCCUGCACGUAACCUCUUCAUCUAGUGGCGGAGACCCAAAUAUUUUCUUCCGGCAGACCCAGACACCAACUUGGCAAUUGUCCGAGCGUCACUGGUGAUGUCUUCCCGUCAGGGUAUUCAACACCAAAAACUGUGCUCCGUGUAAGAGCAUCUCUAGCCGACCCCAUAAAGGCUAUAGAGGAGUAAAAUUUGCAUCCGGCACCUAGCCAAAGUACUAAACUGAAUAGUGGACGCCUAAAAAAGUAAAAAUACUCAGCUGCGACCGCGCAGUGUAUGACAGCUGUUGACAUGGCCACCAGUCUGGACACCCAUGCAAACAGAGAAAGGCAAACAGAUUCCUCUUCACAUUGUCCUUGGAUUCAUUUAGCACGAUGUUUUUGACUUAUUUCUGUUUUUCUCGUCUACAUUUCCUACACAUUCAAGAGUUUGUAUUGCAAAUGAUUCACUGGGGCGGGGCCUUCCUAUACGACGACUUAAAAUAGUACAGCAGCACUGCGCUGGCUCCCUUUAUUGAACCGUCCCCUACGUUAGCGGCUGUAGACAGAUAUCUGGGAUGCUUUCUUUGGCCACCCGGCCGGUGCCACAGCCCUACUCUGGCCUUCACAAGAUAUACCUGUGUGGUUCACAUUAUUUGUUAACGACGCACGUGAGCAGCAGCAGAGGAACAAUUGCAGAUGCACAUUUGUGAUUUGCUUCCCGGAAGGAAGUGAAUCAAAUGCAACACUUGCCUACCAGUAAUUCUGAGUUUCUGACACUCUGAAGCGAUCAAGACCGCGCCUCUUUCGCAGCUAACUUAUCAGGUGUCCGUUUGUUUCCCUACAAGCAUCCCAUAAUCAGAGCAUCUCUUGCGUAUGUAGCUUGCCACCAAGACCCCCAAAAGCAGUUACAUCACCAGCUCACCAUAUAACUGUACUAGCAAGUGCAAUCAUAAUUCCGUGAGUAUUGAAACGGUGAAAGUUGAUCUGUUUGGUUUUUCAAAACCUUGACCGGAUGUCAGUACAACAAAAACAGGUGGAAGCAGGUGCUCCCUUUGUGCGAUGCGGAAAACGUCUUACCUCGCAGAGAGGGGACGCGUACAUGUUAUAUGCAGGGGUGCGAAACCCUGGUAGCGCAUACAGUUGGGAUCGAUCUCAUCCGGGAGAGAAGAUCUCGUACAGGUACAGGAGGUUACAACUUGGAGUCCAAGCUAGCUAGAGAUAGAAUUAUGAGCUAGAGAUAAACCUCCUAUCCUAACUACCAAGAUACAUACAACUCCCGCUAAGAUACGUCACAUGUGACGCGCACAAUGAAGGUACACAUACGGCUUGUUUAACACCCUCCCUUAAUCACAACUUCAUCAAGUUGAGAUUAUGCUUGAAGUCGUCAAAGCUUCUUGUAGGCAAAGGCUUUGUGAAUCCAUCUGCAAGUUGAUCUUUGGAGUGCACAAAGCGUAUAUCAAGUUGCUUCUGAGCAACUCUCUCUCUGACAAAAUGAAAGUCUAUCUCUAUGUGUUUUGUUCUAGCAUGGAACACUGGAUUUGCAGAGAGAUACGUAGCUCCAAGGUUAUCACACCAUAAACAAGGUGCCUAUUUACUUCGUAUGCCAAGUUCCUUCAACAUUGAUUGAACCCAUAUGAUCUCUGCUGUGGCAUUUGCCAAUGCUUUGUAUUCUGCCUCUGUGCUUGACCUGGAUACGGUUGCCUGUUUACAUGCACACCAUGAUAUCAAAUUAGGUCCAGAAAAUACUGCAAAACCACCAAUGGAACGUCUGUCAUCAAGACAACCUGCCCAGUCAAAGUCAGAGAAUGCACUGACUAAAGUGAAUGGUGAUUUGCUGAAGUUCAGUCCUAAGCUCAGAGUGUGCUUAACAUAUCGAACUAUGCGCUUUGCAGCUGUCAGAUGAACAUUAGUAGGUGCAUGGAGGAACUGGCAGACUUUAUUAACAGCAGAAGAAAUAUCAGGCCUGGUAAGUGUGAGAUACUGAAGGGCUCCUACCAGACUCCUGUAUUUGGUGCUGUCUUCUUGACUUAAGGGCUCGCCUUCUGCAAGGGAUAGCUUUUCUGAGCUGGACAAUGGAGUAAGAGAGGGUUUACAUCCUUGUAGCCCAGCUUUCUUGACCAAGUCAGUGGCAUACUUUUCUUGAGAGAGAACAAGUCCAUCCUUGUGCUUUUUCACCUCAAUCCUAAGAAAAUAAUGCAAAUCACCAAGAUCCUUUAAAGCAAAGUCUGCACUCAAAUCCUUAAGAAGUCCUGUGAUUGCUUUAUCAGAUGAGCUAGUCACAAUAAUAUCAUCAACAUAUAUGAGAACAAAUAUGCAUGUGUUGGACUUGUUGUAGAUAAACAAUGAUGUGUCAGACUUGGACGGAACAAAACCAAGUGCUUGCAUUUUGUGACAGAGGCGAGCAUACCAUGCCCUUGGAGCUUGCUUUAGUCCAUACAAUGCUUUAUCAAGCUUGCACACAUAAGAAGGAGCAUUCUUACUCUCAAACCCAGGAGGUUGUUUCAUAUAUACUUCCUCUUCCAGAACACCAUGGAGAAACGUGUUCUGAACAUCCAGCUGUCUGAGACUCCAUCCUCUAGAGACAGCAAUAGAUAAGACAAGGCGAAUAGUGGCAGCCUUUACUACUGGACUGAAGGUAUCCUCGUAGUCUAUGCCAUACCUCUGUUUGAAGCCUUUUGCAACCAAUCUAGCCUUGUAACGAUCAAUGGUUCCAUCAGCUUUCCUCUUUAUCCUGAAAACCUACUUGCAAUCGAUCAAAUUUUUACCUUGCUGUGGGGGAACCAGGUGCCAUGUUUUGUUUUUCAUCAAUGCCAUGUACUCUUCAUGCAUGGCUUUCUUCCACUUUUCAUCACACAAUGCUGCUUCAAGGGUGUUAGGCUCAUCUGGUUCACCUGUGGAACAAACCAUACCAUACUUGGUUAUAUGCUUGUAAUUAACAGGUUGAAUUACCCCUUGUUGCAGCCGUGUACGUCGUGGUUGGGAAACAUCAGGAUCGGUGGCCACAGAAGAUCCUGCAGGCUGCUCAUGUGUGACUACAUCUGAUCCCGAUGAAGAUGCUGCUUGAUUUUCUGCGCCUAACUGUUGAAGCGGAGUACGUGAGUUUGCCGCAGAGGAUCCCGCUUGAGCAUGUGCAUGUGCAUGCAGAUCAUCAUGGCGUGAUGAUGGCGUAUCCGCCUGAACCUCCACGCCGGUCGGGCCCUCCCUGCGUCGCGCGUCACCGCGCCGCGUGUACGUCACCGGAUUGGUGGCGUACCUCGUACCGCAGGUUGACAGGGACCGGUGCGGGGCCGCCUCCGCCCGACCGCACGGGGAUCGAUGCGAGAACGCGUCCGCCCGACCGCGUCCGUCACGUGGAUUGAGGGACAGCGUGGCGCGCGCGCCCGCGCCUGGGCCUGCUCCCGCAGCUGUCACGCCUACUCCCGCGGCUGUCGCUGCCCCGUCAGCAUGGAGAAAUCCCGAGGCGCCUGUACCUGCCGCGUUCGCAGGAACCGAUCCCGAGGCGGAUCCGGUUCGCUGCAGAUGGGCAGAUCCCAAGGCGGAUCUGUUUCCCUCGGGGAGGCACAUGAAAUACGGCUCAAUAGGCGCCGUUUUUUCUGCAUUUUCUGCAUCUGCUCCUGUAGUUGCCGCGCUGCUUUGUUCUGUUGCAUCAACACAAAACUCAUGCACAUCAUUAGAUGGGUUAGUCAAUAGAUCAUCAAUAUUUUGUCCCCCUUGAUCAAAACUAGUGAGAUGAGAGGGCAAAAGAAGGAUUUCUUUGCGAAGGAGUGCACCAGCAUUGGGAUGGAGGUCAGCAAACGGAAAUUCUGUUUCAUCAAAGACCACAUCUCGUGAGAUGUAGACACAGCCAGUGGAGACAUCUAAACACUUGACCCCUUUAUGCUGUGCACUAUACCCUAGGAAGACGCACUGUUUUGAGCGAAACAUGAGUUUGCGGUUGUUGUAGGGACAAAGGUUGGGCCAACAUGCACACCCAAACACACGGAGAGACUUAUUGUCUGGUUUAUUACGAAGAAGUCGUUCUACUGGAGUUUCAUUGUUAAUGACACGACUAGGUAGCAUGUUGAUAAUAUGAACAGCUGUGAGAAAAGCUUCGUCCCAGAACUUGAGAGGCAUGGAUGCCCUGCUAAAAGAGCAAGACCAACCUCGACAAUGUGCCUAUGCUUGCGUUCGGCAGAACCGUUUUGUUGGUGAGCAUGCGGGCAGGACACAUGAUGUGAGAUGCCAAGAUUUUGGAAGAACGAAUUUAAUUUUUCAUAUUCCCCUCCCCAAUCAGAUUGGACAGCAACUAUCUUGCUAUCAAACUUUCGUUCAACUAGUGCUUGAAAGUUUUGGAAAACUUGAAACACAUCGGAUCUCUUUUUGAGGAGAUAUAUCCACGAGAAUUUGCUAUAGUCACCAAUAAAACUGAGGUAAUAUGUGUGUCUACCAACGGAGGUAGGGGCUGGACCCCAUACAUCGGAAAAAAUAAGUUGCAGAGGUUUAGUAGAAACACUAGUUGAGAUGGGAUACGGUAAUUGAUGACUUUUAGCUCGCUGGCAUGAAUCACAAAUUGUUUCAACAUGACGCUCACCAACAAAUGGGAGCUUAUUUUUCCUAAGCAACUUUUCUACUAAAGAAAAAGAGGCAUGUCCUAGACGGUCGUGCCAUCGUGUGGACGAAAGCUUGAUAGCACCACAAGCUUGUUUAUUGAAUCUUCGAAACUCCGAAAUCAACGGAUAGAGCCCUCGAACACAUCUACCUCGAUAGAGGAUUUUCCUCGUGACCUGAUCCUUAAUCAAGAAGAAAAAAGGAUGAAAUUCGAGAAGAACAUUAUUAUCAAGGGCAAUUCUAUGAACGAAAAGAAGAUUUUUGUGUGCACUAGGGACAUGCAAGAUUUUCUUAAUGUGUAGUUUUCGACUAGGGGUACGAAAUAUAGAGUGACCAAUGUGACUUAUACCCAUACCUUCUCCGCUAGCAGUAUGAAUUUGAUCUUUGCCGCGGUAUUUUUCCUUCAUGGUGACCUUCUCAAGCUCGUUCCUGAUGUGGUUUGUGGCACCGCUAUCGACGUACCAAUUGGUGUCAAUACCGUAGGAACCAUCAGCGGCAGCAGCUACCUUGUCAUCAUCUUGGGAGUCCUCAUACUCAUCAUAGCGGUACCAGCAAUCCUUAGCUAUGUGACCUGGCUUCCCGCAGAUUUGGCAUCGCGGGGUUUCUGGACGCGUUCGGUUUCCUCCACCGUGCCCGCGCCCGCGCCCGCGACCACCCGAGCGCUGAGGAGAGUGGCCGCGAUCGUUGCCGCUGCCAGCAAAUCGCCCUUUGUAGCGCGAGGAGCCACGUGAGCGGGAGCCACCACCCCGGCCGCGCGACGCCAGGUUUGCAGAAGAUUUGAACCAACCGCUGGAUCCACUGAACUGUGCCAUGCGCUGGUCGAAGUUCGACAGCAUGGCGAAGAGCUCAUCGAGGGUUGCAGGAGUAACACGGGCGUCGAGGGCCGAUACCAGUGGCUGGUAGUCCGCUCCAACCCGUGGAUGAUGUACGAGAGAAGCUCGUCGUCCUGGAUGGGCUUGCCCGCCGCGGCCAGCUAGUCGGCAUAGCCACGCAUGGCGGCGAAGUAGGAGGCAACCGAGAGGUUACCCUUCUGCGCGUUGAUGAGGGAGGUGCGUAUGUUGUUGAUGCGACUCGCCGAUUGGGACGAGAACAUGGCCGCGAGCAUCGUCCAGAGCGCGCCCGCCGUGGUGACCGUGGUCACCGUGACCAGGACCUCCUUCGUGAGGUUAUUCAGCAGGUAGCCAAGGACCUGCUGGUCCUCCCGUACCCAUAUAGGGUGGAGAGGGUUGGGCGAUGAAGUCUCCUUGCCCUCCUUGACGGUGACGAGGAGCUUCGCCGGCUCCGGGUUGGUGCCGUCGACGUAGCCGAAGACGCCGGCGCCGCGCAGCUGAGGUGUGAUCUGCGUGCGCCAUAGCACGUAUUUCGUGCGUGAUAGCUUCUCUGUGACCUGAUUGUUGAGGCUUGGAGAGAAGGCGCUGGAGGAAGACAUGGCUAGGCUAGAUUGGUUUGACAGAAGCUCUCGAUGGGAAAAGGAAAGGCUCUGUUACCAUGUGCGAUGCGGAAAACGUCUUACCUCGCAGAGAGGGGACGCGUACAUGUUAUAUGCAGGGGUGCAAAACCCUGGUAGCGCAUACAGUUGGGAUCCAUCUCAUCCGGGAGAGAAGAUCUCGUACAGGUACAGGAGGUUACAACUUGGAGUCCAAGCUAGCUAGAGAUAAACCUCCUAUCAUAACUACCAAGAUACAUACAACUCCCGCUAAGAUACGUCACAUGUGACGCGCACAAUGAAGGUACACAUACGGCUUGUUUAACACCCUUUACAGAUAUGACUUCGACUUAGUUGUUAAACCCUCCAAUAAAAUCCAGUUUCCGACGAGGUCCAUCUGACAUUGCUGUUUCUUUCACCUAGGUCGCUUAUCUUUUCCUAAUUCUAGAUAUGACAGUUAGUUUGGAACAUUAUUAGAGUUGCGCUCAUGCAUUACUAUAAUUAAACAGGGUUCCUCUAAACAACUGAUUUCACAUAGUAGCACAGAGCAGGUGCAAAAACUGUGGUGGACCGAUCCGGCAGGUCAGGUUCUUCCAGAACUGAGACCAUCUAUAUCUCAACACAAAUUCGAGCCGAGUUUACAAACCAUAACCCACAAUGAGGUGAAGUUGUAUCUCAGAAUUUCUGAUGCAGUACAUUAUACAAACAAUCUGCCAAAUGCACUACAUACAAUGCAUCACACCGUGCAUCACUCGGAAAACAGAAAAACUAACACCAUGCCGUCAUAAUUAAGCACAAAACAGAGUAUUUGUAUUUAAGAAUGGUAAACAUGCAUUGUCAGACUUUACUGGUGUUGUUUGAGAGAGAAGAGCGUCUUGAAGAUGCCCACUAGAACACCAGCCACGGAGAAGACAGCGACAAUGGUUUUGAAGUUGUUGUAGAUGAACCUGUGCAUCUUGAUCCACAUCCACCUUUUGACCUUGUAGUCCUCCAUGCGCAAAAAGAAGCGGAUGUACGAGCUGCCCGCAGGAAGGUGCUUAGAAACACUUUUGAAGAACUCGAGCAUCUCUUUGUUUGUGAGUACUCCAUGCAGAAGAUGCUUCGUUCGUAGCUCGUGCACAUCCUCCUCACGAUCCAUGAGCAUCAAAAGGAGGGCGAGGUACGAGCAGACAGCCAACUCUUCAUCAUGACGUAGAUCCCCUGAGAUCGUGCAUAUCUCAAAAGCCGCCAUGUUUACAAGCCAACAUGCGCCUAUGUUGCUCAGCGCUAGGGGCGUCAUGAAAAGCUCGCCAAAGAGGUGGCCUUGGUUGAUGCCGAUUUCUGUGAAACUUCCAGUCUUGAUGGCUUGCAGCUUGAUGCCAAUUUCUGCAAGCUCGAGGGCAGUUGUAGAUAAUGAAAUUGUUUUUUUCUUGGUUGAUGGUAUAUGUCUUCUCAUAGGGCCGGGGUUAGGCUUAGCAACCGUUCGCGCGUUCAAGAGUUUCAAUGUUGAAGAAAACAUUUGCUUUGCCCUGAUGGGGGCUUUCAAACGAUUCAAUGUUGAAAAUACUUGAUUGAAGCAGGCCUUCUUGUUGACUUUGAUGGUUGUCCUGCUGCUUGUUUUGUUGAAUCGGACGAGACCAAGGAGAUGGGGUGGCCUGUACUUCUCAUCCAAGUAUGAAAUGUUUUGUUCUGGUAUAGUAUGAUACAUGUUUGUGAGACCUUCUCCCAUUACUGAAAUUGUCUUGUUCACUUGCGCGGACACAAACCCAAAGGUUAGGAUGGUUUCCAUAACUAGCCAAGGAACUUGGUCCUCCAGCAACAUUACAUCAUUAUAGAUAUGCAGUUUGUUGGAGUGAAAAACAUAUAGCAACUCUGGACAUAGAAGCUGCUCAUCGCCCAUAAUAAUCAUAAACUCAAGCAAGAAACAAGCAUCAUAGAACAUCAUAGCCUCAAAGUCAGCAUGACUUAUACCUGUCACCGCGUCAUCAGCGUAGAGGCGGUGGGCCUUGUCCGCAACCUUGACGACAGCCCCAUAGAUCUCCUCAAGCGAGUGGCCUGACCCAUUGAUGAAGUGGUGGGCAGCCACAUGCUUCACCUUCUCCAUCUGCCGGAGGUGGGGUGAGUCAUGGUGGUAAGGGCCGAUGGCCACGACCCUUGGCACAAUGUACUGGCUGCCGAGACCGUGUAGGCUUGCAGGGAACCCGCAGGGAACCUAUGCAUCUUAUCUUGUCUCUUGUGGAAAUCAACCUUGAGGUCACCUGCUCUACUUUCCUCAAGUACUGCUCCUCAACCGAAGCCGGUACUGCUGCAUCUGUAAAGACCACGAUGUGCUCAUCAUUCAACUUGCUGGCGGCUACAACUAGGAACCACCGGCACAUCUGUAAUCUCAGAGGGGGAAGCAGCCUUGAACUCUUGAGCUGUUUUCUUCAGGUAUUCCUCAACCGGAGCAGGUACUGCUUCUACUGAUUCCACGGCUUCCAUCCUCGAACUAAUUUGCUGGAUGGGUUAGGAGUGCCACACAGAUGUGUUAUAUCCCAGAGGAGAAAUCAAAUUGCUAGAACUAGCAUCGUUUCCAAACUAGAAAAGCAAAGUAUCGACGAACAGAUUAACAAACAAGAUGCGAAGAUGGCACUUCCACUGUCCUGUUGGAGUACUAUACUAGUGCAAAUGGUAUUAGCUUUUCCACUACGAAAAAAUGUAUAUUCUGAAUCUAAUUAACCACUCUUUAGCUUGUCCCCAUCAGCAUGGUGAGCUCGCCUAUGCUAACCACCCUUUCCGUUUAUAAGUUUGCUAAUUCCAAGGUAAUUCAGGGUUAGCCAAGGCCAUCCUGAACCGUAGAGUGUAGACUAUUGGCAAAAUAUCAUAAAGUUCUGCAGCACUUGAAUUGAAUCAUAAAUUCUUUGUAGAUGUGGAACAGUACAGCUGUUUGUAGAACUGACCAGUGCAAAACUAAGUCAUAUUUCUUGCAUCCCAACAUGAAAACAAAAUUAUCAAAAUAACAUACAUAUAAAUGAUGACUGAUUCUAAGAGUGCUCAACAAAUUAAGUGCUUAGAGCACUAACCUGGAAGAAGAUUAGAGAUAUCCCAUCUAGCUUCUGAUCAAGAGAACACCCAAGCUGGUAUUGCCUCACAAGGAAAAAAGCAAGCAAGGGAAAGGGGAAGAAGAUAUUGGCUUGACCUCUCGGUGCCAGGUUGCUUCCUAUAAAUGAAUAGAUGGGGGCAAUGUUGGAAGAAAUGAGGUCUCAAAAAAAAUGUUGGAAGAAAUGUGAGCAGGUAUGCUCCAGAUCUUGUGACCUUAGAUUCAAGAUUUUCAUUCUUAUUAUUAAGAGACUAGCUAGUCUCCAAAUAUUAAGAAUCUUAAUUAAGGGUGGGUGAUAUGUACAUGUGAUGGUUACUGAUUACCACAUUAAGGGCAUUAGACUAUCAUUAUCAUUAUUAAUUGACAACGAGGAUCAUGAAGACCCUUCCUCCCUUAAUGGUUAUCGUUGGCCUCCUCUAAGGUGAAAGAAGAUAAUAACGGGAUACAUGCAGCCCGCAGCCGGCCAUAUGUGAAGUUCUUCUCCCUAGUUUCAAAUCGGGCAUAUACAAAAGAAACGGUUUAAGAGCUGGCCUAGAACUUACCAAGAAGAAGUGUAGGGAUGCCAGCUAGUUUCUGCUCAGAAAAUACCAAGCUAGUAAGUAUUGCGGGGUGAUUGAUGAUCGUUGUUUUAUAUAUAAAGCGGGGCAAAAGCCUUUUCGGUAAGUAGGAGAAAGGGUAGGAAGUGGCUGGACCAACCUAGCGUACCAGGUUGCAUAUAUAGAAAUGAUUUUAAUUAGGUGUGCGUGAAAUUGUUUCAUUGGAAUCAAGAUUAAUUAAGACGAGCAGACAGUCUAGUCUCUUUACGUUUAGCAGCUCAAUUCAUCAUAUUGUCAACCUUACCGGUUACCACAUUAAGGAACAUGUGGUGGUACCAAUUAACACGUUAAUGAACAUUAGACUAUGGGCACGUGAUAAAGUAUUCCGGAUGUAUUUAAGAAGACCAAACAUAGUAGUGUCUUUAAAUUUAGCAGGAUAACUUACCCUAGGGCCUACGGUGGGUCUGUUGUUGGAUGUGAUGGCUACCAACAACCAUGCUAAGAGACGUUAGACUAUUAUUAGUACUCCCUCCGUUCCUAAAUAUUUGUUUUUCUAGACAUUUUAAAUAACUACUACAUACGGAUGUAUGUAGACAUAUUUUAGAGUGUAGAAUCACUCAUUUUGCUUCGUAUGUAGUCACUUUUAAAAAUGCCUAGAAAGACAAGUAUUUAGGAACGGAGGGAGUAGUAAUUAUUGGGUAGACGGGGAAUUAUUCAAUGCUGAUGACGGUGUAAACUAAUCCUCCAUGAUUGUCAUUGUUUGAGCUUCUCAGAGGUGAAAAGAGAUAAAAACCAGGUAUACAUACUUGCUGAGCAUAUAUAUAGAAAGAUUUAAGAGCCGGCUGGAGCACUAACCGAGUAGGUGUAGAGGUGCCCGCUAGUUGCUGGCUGCUGCUCAGAAAAGACCCAAUAUUCCCGCAAAAAAAAAGACCCAAUAUGUCUAGUACUGCUUCAGAAGGAGAACAUCCAAGUAGUAGAAGAAAGAGACAAAAUGCACCGAUUACUGCGUCAAGGAGCGGAAACAUGUCGUUGUUGGGUCGACGGGGAUUAGUCAAUUCGGGCAACUUGCGUUGCUGAGCUGUUUUAAGUUUGAAGUUGGCAGUUUUCAUUGGUAUUGGAAGAGCGACCUAUGCUAGUUAAUGUUCACUUGUAGUGGUGAAAAUGUUGCCUGAAGAACAGCUGGCAAUAUUUUGUUGCACAGAUGCUUGAUUUGCUAUCCUGAAUCCUGAUGCACGAUUUAAACAAGGAGGUACAAUUCCCAGUGAAAGUAGGUGUUUCGAAGAAAGAAAAACUCGGAUCGGUUGGUAAUGAAAUAGUACCUGAGAUUUGUAGUCAGAAUUAAACCCCGGUCCUCGUCUACCAAAGCUCUGCUCUUGAUAAGGAAAGGCGCUACAAUGAAUGGUUGGCCCGCCAUCUCUUCUUGGAAGAAAGGCGAUGCCGGCCGGUGUGCUCAGCAGCGUGCCACCGCUGCGUCGACGAGGCCCACUGCCAUCAUCUAUCAGCUAGCCUGAAAGAAGCCUGGUCUGCCAUGGCCGCUGCGGCGGGAUGCGGAGGAGCAGGUCGGCGGGAGCUCGUCCGCCGGUGGUCUUGAGGUGAGUUAUUUACCGAAAACCAUCACACUUGAGGUUAGGGUAACAGAUUGGUACCACAUUUGAAUCAGGGCAUAAAAAACCACCGGUUGACUAAACUUCUCUCACGAGCAAGACAUGAUCAUACCUUUGUACUCUUUGGGUGUUAAUCACAUAGCGAUGUGAACUAGAUUAUUGACUCUAGUAAACCUUUUGGGUGUUGGUCACAUGACAAUGUGAACUAUGGGUGUCAAUCAUAUACAGAUAUGAUUAUUGGUGUUAAAUCACAUGGCGAUGUGAACUAGAUUAUUGACUCUAGUACAAGUGGGAGACUGAAGGAAAUAUGCCCUAGAGGCAAUAAUAAAGUUAUUAUUUAUUUCCUUAUUUCAUGAUAAAUGUUUAUUAUUCAUGCUAGAACUGUAUUAACCGGAAACAUAAUACAUGUGUGAAUACAUAGACAAACAUAGUGUCACUAGUAUGCCUCUACUUGACUAGCUCGUGAAUCAAAGAUGGUUAAGUUUUCUAGCCAUAGACAUGAGUUGUCAUUUGAUUAAGGGGAUCACAUCAUUAGGAGAAUGAUGUGAUUGACUUGACCCAUUCCGUUAGCUUAGCACUUGAUCGUUUAGUAUGUUGCUAUUGCUUUCUUCAUGACUUAUACAAUGUUCCUACAACUAUGAGAUUAUGCAACUCCCGUUUACCGGAGGAACACUUUGUGUGCUACCAAACGUCACAACGUAACUAGGUGAUUAUAAAGGUGCUCUACAGGUGUCUCCGAAGGUACAUGUUGGGUUGGCGUAUUUCGAGAUUAGGUUUUGUCACUCCGAUUGUCGGAGAGGUAUCUCUGGGCCCUCUCGGUAAUACACAUCACUUAAGCCUUGCAAGCAUUGUAACUAAUGAGUUAGUUACGGGAUGAUGUAUUACGGAACGAGUAAAGAGACUUGCCGGUAACGAGAUUGAACUAGGUAUUGGAUACCGACGAUCGAAUCUCGGGCAAGUAACAUACCAAUGACAAAGGGAACAACGUAUGUUGUUAUGCGGUUUGACCAAUAAAGAUCUUCGUAGAAUAUGUAGGAGCCAAUAUGGGCAUCCAGGUUCCGCUAUUGGUUAUUGACCGAGAAUAGUUCUAGGUCAUGUCUACAUAGUUCUCGAACCCGUAGGGUCCGCACGCUUAACGUUAUGAUGACAGUUUUAUUAUGAGUUUAUAAGUUUUGAUGUACCGAAGUUUGUUCGGAGUCUUGGAUGUGAUCACGGACAUGACGAGGAGUCUCGAAAUGGCCGAGACAUAAAGAUUGAUAUAUUGGACGACUAUAUUCGGACACCGGAAGAGUUCCGGGUGAUUUCGGAGAAAACCGGAGUGCCGGAGGGGUUACCGGAACCCCCCGGGGAAGUAUUGGGCCUUAGUGGGCCUGAGGGGAGAGAGAGGGCAUCAGCCCAGGAGGUGGCGCGCCCCCUCCCUUGGGGAGUCCGAAUUGGAGUAGGGGAGGGGGGGCACGGCCCCUCUUUCCCUCUCCCUCUCCCUCUCUUUCCUUCCCCCUUCCUCCUUCCUAGUUGGACUAGGAAAGGGGAGUCCUACUCCCACUAGGAGGAGGACUUCCCCCUCCUUGGCGCGCCCCAAGGGCCGGCCGGCCUCCCCCCUUGCUCCUUUAUAUACGGGGGCGGGGGAGCACCCCAAAGACACACAAGUUGAUCUACGGAUCGUUCCUUAGCCGUGUGCGGUGCCCCCUUCCACCAUAUUCCACCUCGGUUAUAUCGUCGCGAAGCUUAAGCCCUGCGCCGGUAGAACAUCAACAUCGUCACCACGCCGUUGUGCUGACGGAACUCAUCUCCGGAGCUCGGCUAGAUCGGAGGCCGGAGAUCGUCAUCGAGCUGAACAUGUGCUGAACUCGGAGGCCCCGUACGUUCGGAGCUUGGAUCGGUCGGAUCGUGAAGACGUACGACUACAUCAACCGCGUUAUCAUAACGCUUCUGCUUACGGUCUACGAGGGUACGUGGACAUACACUCUUCCCUCUCGUUGCUAUGCCAUCACCAUGAUCUUGCGUGUGCGUAGGAAAUUUUUUGAAAUAAAACCCAACAGGCUCAGCUUCUUCCCGCAUUACCGGCUCAGCUUCUUCCCCCAUUGUUGUAUCAUCGUAUUCAGGGAACCCAUGGCCAGGAUAGUUGUCAUCGUCCUCUUCUUCUUCAUUGUCUUCCAUCAUAACCCCUCUUUCUCCGUGCUUGGUCCAAACAUUAUAGUGGGGCAUGAAACCGGACUCAAAUAGGUGGACGUGAAUGGUUCUUGACGUAGAGUAAUUGUGACCAUUCUUACAGCUAGCACAUGGACAAGGCAUAAAACCAUCCGCCCGCUUGUUUGCCUCAGCCGCAAGCAGAAAAGUAUGCACGCCCUCAACGAACUGGGGAGAGCAUCGGUCAUCGUACAUCCAUUGCCGGCUCAUCUUCAUUACACAACACCGAAUAGACCAAAUUAAUACAAGUUCAUACAUAAAGUUCAUACAACACUUAAAUGCAACAAACAAAUAACUCUCUAGCUAGAGCAUUUAAAUGCAACAACAAAUGCGAUCAAGAUCGCAACUAAGAUAACAAUUGAUCCAACAGCAUAAUGAUACCAAGCCUCACUAUCGAUGGCAUAUUUUCUAAUCUUUCUAAUCCUCAAGCGCAUUUUCUCCAUCUUGAUCUUGUGAUCAUCGACGACAUCGGCAACAUGCAACUCCAAUUCCAUCUUCUCCCCCUCAAUUCUUUUCAAUUUUUCUUUCAAGUACUCGUUUUCUCUUUCAACUAAAUUUAACCUCUCGACAAUAGGGUCGGUUGGAAUUUCCGGUUCACAUACCUCCUAGAUAAAAAUAUCUAUGUCAACUUGAUGGGCAGAAUUUGUCAUAAACACGAAAUGCAAAAAAUAGUUUUAAAAAAGAAUAUACCACAUCCGAAUCAUAACAAGGAUGAGGGCCGACGGGGACGGAUAUCAAAACCAUGGCACUAUGUAUAACAAACAACGUACGGGUAAGAUAAUUAUUAUACGAGUAACUAUAUAUCCAAAUCACACAAACAUCAAUUUUUUAUAUAAAAUUUCAUGAACAAGAGGCUCACCACAAGGUGGUGCCGGCGACGGGACGGUGGGGCGAUCGACGGUGGUUACGACGGAGAUUUAGAAGGCACUAAGUAAACCACACCUACAUAUGCAAACUAAGUGUUAUUUUGACCUCAAAUUGCAUAUAAAUCAAAUACUACCACAUAUAAUUCCUCCCAAAUUACUAAAACCCACAAUUAAUCACUAAACCAAUGCAAGAGCUAAUCUAGCAAUGAGAGAUGAAAGGACAAAGUUGCUAACCUUGGUGAUCAUUUGAAUGGAUGAGGGCCUGCAAAUCUUGACAAAUUUGGGGCAAAUUUUGUGAUGAACUCGAGAGGAAGAAGGGAAGAACAGAGGAGAGGGAGAGGGGAAAGGGGGAAGAAUAGAGUGUGGGUGGACGAAGGGUUUAUAUAGGAUGACCUUUAGUACCGGUUCGUGGCACCACUUUCUUUAGUGCUGGAAGGGCCCCACUCUGACAACAUCCUGCCACCACUUUCUUUAGUACCGGUUCGUGGCACGAACCGGUGCUAAAGGUUCACCACGAACCGGUACUAAAGAGCUCCUCCCGCCUAGCCGUUGGAACCGGCACUAAUGGACACAUUAGUGUCGGUUCUGUUACAAACCGGGACUAAUGUGUCUCACAUUUGACCCUUUUUCUACUAGUGUGAACAAGUUUUGUGCAAUAUUGAACUACAAAAAAAACAAGUUAGCACUACAAACACCAACAACAAGCAUGAUGAACAUGGAUGAAAUGGCACUUACCCUAUCUUCAUCAUUAGUGCCACUUGGGUUCAACUUGUCAACCGCCUUUUGUGCGGCCGCCCACUUUUGACAAUCUCGGCUGAUUGUCGACCACUGGGAGCGAAGAGAUCGUUCCAAGCAGUCAAUUUCACUCUUGUUGUGUAGAUCAAAGUGCUCCUUCAUCAGGUUCCAAUAAGCAUCUUUACUUUGAUCACCUCCAACGGAUGGAUCCCUCGACACUUGCAACCAAGUAUUGCAUAGCAAGACAUCUUCCUCAUUGGUGUAGUUGCCUCCUCUUCCUUUCGGUGCGUCGACAAUGCCCUCACCAUCCUUGUCCACCUCAAACACAUGGUCAUCAAAAUGCAUGUCAUUGGUUUGAGACCAAUGCAAAUUGUUGGAGCCAACACCCAUAGUUGACAUAUAUGCCUCAUCGUUGAAACUACAAAGUAUAUACAACGAAGCAAAUAAGCUAUCUAUAUGUAUGCAUUCAAAAAAUACAACAACAAAAAGUUGGCGAAAUUUUACACCUUUGGGGCAUUUCCUCGAACACCUUCUGCGCGUCGGCCGCCGGCUCAACAAGUGAGCUCGUCCGUGCUUCGGUAGCCGACGCACCCCUCGCACGCCCUGCAAGCUUCUUCCUCGACGGCUUCGAGGAGCCGGAGCCGUCCGCCGCCUUGUUCUUCUUCGCAGAUACCUUGCCCUUCUUCGGCCGCGCCGCAUUUGGGAGCUUCGAGAGGGGGGCACGUGGCUUCACAGCGGGCACCGGCGCGACGCCACCCGCCGCCGAGGUCAUCCGUGGCGGCAUGAAAAGGCCACACACUAUGUCGGUGCUUGAAGGAGCUCCGACAGAGGAGAAGCCAAAGCUUCCCGCGCUAGGGUUUGCGGCAGCGGCAGAGGGGUUGUGGGAGUAGGAAGGGGUGAGGGGGGUGCCAACACGGGCGUCCAUCGGGCCGAUUCACCGGCGGCGGCGCGGGCGGAGCGAAGGUGGCGCGACGGAGAGAGUGCGGCGCGAUUGCUCGCGUGUGCGGCGCGCGGAAGCGGGCGUACAAAAUACACAGCGUGCGAUGGCGAUUUGGACCGCGCGCCCAACUCUAUAUGCCGCGCGCUUAUUGCGCGUCCGCUGGAGCCCCUACAUCGAUUGCGCGCGCUAAAAAGACAAAUUUGCGGCGCGACCCUUAUUUAGCACGGCUGUUGGAGAUGCUCUAAGCAGUGCAGCGGCUUCGGUCGCCAGAGGUCGAGAGGAGUGAGGGGAGGGGGGGUCGAUGGGGAUUUUUUGGGAGGGCUGGCUGGGCUAGGUCGUUCGAUGUCUAAUGGGCUGUCUGGGAAUCGGGACCCAAUUAACUAAUAUCCUUCCAAGUUCAUGAAUGAAUCCUUUAAAUCUUUAUUUACUACUCCUUUUCUACAAUCAUUUUCCUCAAUUUGGAAUAAGGAAACAAUUCAGAUUUUGAUUUCUCCUUGUUUUCAUUCAACAAUGAUAAUUUCAUUUCAAUUUAAGUACCAAUUUUGGAACACACGCUGUCAAGAAAUAGGCAUGUACAUACUCUCUGUGCAUGGCAAUAUUAAUGUGCCAGUUUAUUUGGGCUGAGCUGAGUCCUGAAGGUAGGACGCACAAUCUUCUUUGAAACAAAUGCCCUUUGUAGUUAACUUGGCAGUGGUAGUAGCAUCAUUUAGAUUUCUAGUGCAAUCCAAUAUUUCAAUUUUUAUUUUGUUGGCUAAGUACACCUCUAUGCAACUUCCACAACAGAAUAUUCCAAACUAUAGAAUGGUCUCAGUGUACCAGUUUUUCGAAUCUCCAUUGAAAAACUUGAAGGAAGAUGCUCGCCAAAUGGUCGUCAACUAUUUUAAAAACUACUUUGACUUAUAUGGAGAACAGUAUUAGUACUGUAAAACUUGACCAAGAAAGCUGAUGUGUAACAGCUAUUUUUUAAUACUGUUAAAACAAUAUACCUUUCGAGAUGUAGCUAUGAUCUCCAAAACGAGUAAGAACUUUUUCAUAUCAGUUAUCGUUACCUAGUAUACCAUGUUCGGAAAGUUUAAUCGUAUAUGUUUUGUAGCUCAUGCAUUGCUACCAUUUUCAUGAGCAUGGAUCUGUUACAAUAGGAUGAAACAAAUUAUGAGGCUGUGUGAUGUAAAUGUGGAUAUAUAUCACAGGUGCACAGCUUUGGGCUUUCGAGCGAUCCAGGAAGGUAAACCUGGAAGCUGGAACAUAAGAACUUCAUUGAUGUCUCUUUAGUCUGAAACUCAAUGCGACCAUAGUUAAUUUCCUUCUACCAAAUUCCUUUCAUUCCCAUCUAUAAAAAGUUUCUUUUUAUGCAUGUUCAGUGCUCAAUUCAAGUAUGCUCACCAAGGGAUACCUUUUUUUUGACAUUUUGGUGCAAAGUAGCUUAAUUUACCUCUCCUACUGUUUUCUUCAGAAUUAGAUGUUGAAAAUGGUGUUGGAACUCUAUUUAAUUUUUGCUGCAUUCUUAGUUGCUAUUAUUGAUCAUCAACGGAAGAGUUGAUAAAAUUCAAAUUUAGUUCUCAAUUCUUUUUGGUUCAUUUAAUUAUAAAGAUCUAUCUUCCUAGGUCGACGGUGGUCCAACCGCACCCGUCUUUAAAACAAUAGAGUUUGGAGUCCCAUGUGUUAGAAAUUUCAUACCAUUUAAACAAAAUGUAGAAAAGAACAAGCUAUGUUUAUCUAUGACAUUAAGCAACAGCCAAUGUUUAUCUGCCGCGUUUAUAAAAAGAAAUCUUUAGCUAGAGCAUUAAAACUAACCAAAUCUUUAGCUACAACAGUUAAGGCUUCCCUAUCUUUCGCUACAACAUUUAAAACUAGACAUGGCAUUUAAGACUUCCCUAUCUUUAGCUACAACAUUUAAGACUAGACGAUAAAGUCACUAGCUAUGUUUGGCAAUGUAAAAAUACAACAAUUUGGAUAACCCAUUCAAUUUGUGCUUGUUACUGAUGAGUAAUUACAAUACUAGUUACAGUUCUGCUAUAUAUAUGGACCGGGGUAAGUAAUGGAUACAUAUCAAAACCCAGUGAAUUUCUCACACAAUGGGGAAGCACAUCAAGCACAAUGCCCAACUUGUUGUCUUGCUUUCCAUGGUUCUUCUAAGUUGCCUGGUUUCUUCAGCCGUACAAGGUAAUGAACAAUUGUAAAUAGUUAUUUCAUGAACUUUCAGUGUUCAUCCUUAUGUUUAAAGUUUGUUUCGUCAACCUUGAGUAUGCACCCCUUGGAAAGAUCUAGAGUGGUUUUCUACAUAGGCAUUAUCUACAUGUUCACAUGCAAAAUGAAAUUACCUUCAUGUUGAGCUGACAUAAAUUUAUUUGAUUUUCACUUCAGUGACGACAAGAGGAGCAACACAGCGGCUAUACGGCCUAACGAUGACCCUGACUGUGUGAGAGAGACGAAGUUGAAGUGGCCGCGGAAACGACAGUACUGCUGCAACUAUUUUGCAUAUACUGGUCCAUGCUACGAUGACUAUACUGUCUGCAAAGCCCAUUGCCCGUGAUUCAACACAAUUCCCAUGAAUAGUUUUCAUGUAAUAAGGAAGAGAUGAUAUGCAAUAAGUUUUCCUAUCAACAUUUACUUUUCCAAUUGCUUAAGUGAAUAAAGAUAUGAUUUCCAAAAUUAUUAUGGUGCUUGUACUUAUCCCUAUCAACUGUUUUAUCAAAAAUACAUUUUUCGUGCAACGGAGACA